GAUCUGAAGCGGCUAAACUGAACCAUGCUAUUACACAAUAGCCCAAAGUUGUCUGGUAGAUAUGAGUAUCAUCAUAUAAUUUUGUUUCUAGAAUAUGUAAUAGGUAACCAGCAAUGUUGUUGUCAGUUUACAAGAAUGCUGACGUUGUUUGAAUGCAUAUAUACUUACUGGAAUUAGUUUGAAUGCAUAUACAGUACCUUGAUGUUGAAUUUACAAGGUCCUGAUGGUGGAUUUGCUGUCUCAUAGAUUUUGUAAUUUACAGUUGCUCCACAAAUUUGGUGACUGUUGUUUGUACAGUGAGCUGAUAUAGAAUGCUUGAUCGCACAAACUAAUCUCGGCCGCAUAUUUACAUUACUCUUAUGUUGAAUUUACAGUAUGGUGGUGGUGGAUUUACACUGUCCUAUAGAUUUUUUAUUUAUUGUAGUAUCUCCAUAUAGUGUAUCAUUGUUGUUUGUACAGUGAGUUCAUAUAGAAUGCUUGAUCACAUGAAUUUGUCUGAAUGUAUAUUACAGUUUCCUGGUAUUUAAUUGAUAAUACAUUGAUGAUGGAUUUAUGGUCCUAUAGCUUCUGUAUAUUUUAGUAGUUAUUUUUAUUAGAAUUUUUUGAAUUGCUAUGAUGGAUUUUACAGUACUAUAGUAUUCAUAGAAGUCUAUUUUUUUGUUUUCAUAGUAAGUUAUAGUUAAUUGAUGACUAACCUGAUGAUGGAUUUACUGUUCUAUAGCUUCUAUAAUUUACUAUAAUUUUUUGAUUGUUUGAAUUUACAGUGACCUCAUGUUUGAGUUUACACUACCCUGUUCGAAGAUUUACAAUCGCUAUAACUUCUGUAAUUUAUAGUAGUAGCCUAAAGGUUGUGAUUGUUGUAUUUUAUAGUGACCUGGUAUAGAUUUUACACUAUACAGUUACCUGAAUUUACAAUGCUACAUUUUUCUGAACUAUUGGUGUUCUAGACAUCUUUUGAUGAUGUGCUUAGGUAUUGAUCCUUUCUUUACUGGAAGAACUAUUUGAAGGAGAUUGUGAGAGUACUGACCUGCAGUUUGUCUUCUUGGCGUGACUGAAGUUUCCUGAUUGUGUAGCUAUUCUGUCCCCUUCCUCCUCCAUCCUCUUUCUCGUUCUUAUCUGAUCAUAAAGCACACACUGUUACUGGUUGCUUCUCCUUAUUUUUACUGAAGUUCCAGUAUCUUUGUUGUGAUCUUGUUGUUACUGACUGGAAUCUUAAUAAAAUGAACACUGUAAAAUUCAUUAAAGCUGAAUAUGUGAUACACUUUAAAAGUUACUGUUUAUUGAUAGUGAGUUUACUGUAAAUUUCAACUGAAGCCACUGUAUUUCAAGCUUCAUGACGAUGAAAUGUUUAGUAGUAUGUGAUUAGUUCAUCAUGUGUUGAUCAUUGUACAGCAGGUUGAUGAUGAUUUUACGACAGCCUAAUGUUGAAUUUAUAGUAUGUUUGUGUUCAGGAGUUUCUUCCACAAGUAUCAACUUCAGAUCCUUGAAAAUGCCAUGAGAAUUUCAGGUUUUCUUUCAGAAGUGUUGUGAAGAAAACAAAACUGUCAAUAACCUGGAGAAGGUCGUGAGGGUACUGACCCGACAGUGUUGCUUUUUGGGCCCUUUCAUUGCUUGCUCAUGGAUAACAGAGCGCAUAGAUCAUACAUAUACGUGCAAUGUUUGUAGUGCCUGAAAAAAAUGGUUGAAUGCCCCUUUAUUUCCAGUCAAGUUUUUUUUUCUUCGUUGGUGUCAGAUUGUUACUGGUUGGCAUAUUUGAUGGAAGGCCAAUUCAAUUUUAGUUGAUUGUAAUACACACUCUUCCUUUUUUAGAUUGAAAGCCAUUUUUCUGUGGGGGAAUCCUAUACGGCGCGUACCGUGCGCCCUAGCGAGGUAGCGCGCACCCUCCCUCGCGUGCUGGGCAUUCUCAUGGGUCGGCCCAUUUUCAUUUUUUUCCUUCGUUGUUUCUUUCUUUCUUUCUUUUUUUCCUUUCCUUUUCUGUUUUUCUUUUUCUUUCUUCUUUUUUCAUAUUUACUUUUCACUUUCUUUGUGAAAUUUCUUUUCAAAUUCACGAAGAUUUUUUUGUUCACCGAAUUCAAAAAAUGUUCAUGGAAUUCAAAUUUUUAUUAGACUUAAUAAAUGUUUAUCAAAAUUCAAAAUUUCAUCGUUUUAAUUUUUUUUCACCAAAUUUAAAAUGUGUUCAUCAUUUUUUCAAAAGAAAGUUUUCGAAUACAAAUUUUGAUCAUCAAGUUAGAAAAAAAUUCACCGAAUUUAAAAUUUGUUCUUCAAGUUUAAAAGCAUUCAUCAUUAUUAAAGAAUGCUCAUAAUUUUUUAAAUCAAAAUAAAAAAAUGUUCAUUAAUAUGAAAAAUGUUUAUAUUUUUUGAAACCAUGGACAAUUUUUUGAAUUUAAGAACUGUUUUUGACAAUUCAAAACUCACACUUUUAUGGAAAUUUUAGAACCUUUUUGUAAUCCCGAAUUACUGUAACAUAGAAUAAAAGCCAGGAAAAAAACAAAAAAAUAGUGAAAGUUCGUCCCCGCGCAUGGGCCGGCACAACAGGGCGCGCGGGGGGCUGUGGGUUCGCGCUUUCGUGACCGCGGCAUGUACGGUGCUAUACGUGAAGUGUCUAUGUCAAGUGCUUUGUUUGGGCCAAGCGAAAAUAAUGAAAAAUAAAAGAAUAGCAAUGCCCAACCAAACAACAAAUUUAUAUAUGUAAAAAAACUCAACAUAGUAAAAAUAUAUUUUAUAAUAAGUACACAGUUAUAUAUAUUCACACUUUUUAAAAACUGGUCAAAAUUCACAAAAGUUGGUCCAUUUUUUUAAAAAAAGUUGCAUUUAUAAAUGUUCGAAUUUUUUUAUUAAAGCAUUUACAUUUAUUAACAAAAUUAUGUUUUUUGAAAAGAAAAAAGGAAAACAGAUCCAGAAACUUUUCCAUGAACUACUCUUCAAUCAGGCGAAGAAUGCCAAGGUGGCUUCUUAACGACCAAAAUUCAACCUAGAAGCAAAAAAUCAAUGUAGCAUUAAUAGUGACAUUUAUUAAAAGUGGAUAUAAGAAAUGGUGUGUAACGAUAAAGAACUUCUUCAGGACUGCGCGGAGUCCAAGGUUUGCCGGGUGCGUCGUUCGCGAACAAAGUUGCCCAUGUUUUUGGCUAAGGAAGGAUGUGUGAAUAAGCUUUGUAAAACAUGGUUCUAUGUUCCGCCCGUGUGUGUUAUUACGCUGGUAGGCUCGAAUCAGUGGAGACUGGUUAAUAAAUCACAACGAUUGCAACUCAAAGAAAAAAUUAUACCUAAUGACAAAUGAAGCAGGUUUUGCAAGAUUUCUUGCCCGUUGUAACGCACGGACAUUUGUACUAGUGUCUCCUUAUAAUAAUAAAUCACGAAUUGACUUUGUUGGGUUCACUGUCACAAUACACUUUCUUCUCAUGUCAUAAUACGCUUUUACGAUUUGUAUAGACAAAAUCAUAAUAUAAAGGAGGAGAUACUAAUAGCAUGUUCAUCUGUCCGUUUCAUGGUUCAUUUUUGGUUUGGUUUCAUGGUUCGGUCCGUGAUAAAAAUUUACAUACGUCUCUCACACAUACGCAUCGCAAGCUUCUCAUCCGAUUCACACACGCACGCCGUUUUGCUAGCGUGGCUAUUUUUUAUUUUGUAGGCCCAAAUCGUCUCAAUCUCAUAUCAGCCCAUGGACCAAGACUGGUGGGCCUUAAAAUGAUAUCCGCUCAUCCUCUCGCUCACAUCUAUCUCUCCUUAAGCGAAUCAACCUGUGGUCGAGAUGGUUAGGUGGACAGUGGUAUCCCCAAUCCAUCAGAGUUGAAAUCCCGGUGAUCGCAUUAUUCCUGGAUUUAUUUCAGGAUUUCCGGCGAUGCGCUUUCAGUGGGAGGAGAUGUUCCCGUCGACGACGAGGCGCCUACGGUGACUUCGUAAAUCUCAAGAUGAUAUGCCGGCUCAGUCUCUUGAAGGUGCUCAUAGGGGUAGGGUAUGCGUGUGUGCGUUCAUAGGGGUGAGUGUAUGCGCGUGUAUAUGAGCGCUUGUGUCUGUACUGAUGCUCAAAAAAAAAAUCUAUCUCUCCUUAAAAAAAAUCUAUAAAGAAAAUUUUGUCUCCCCGUGCGAUCUUCUCCACGAGCAAAGUGCCCCACCGGGGCCGACUCGAUCUCCUCUCCCGUCGACCCCGACACAAACUCCUAUUCCGAUUUGAGCACACGCCCAUGGGAUGACCGGCAGGGACUCCUUUUCCCGUUUCAUAGGCCGACGGGGGCAUGUAUAAAUCAAACCCCUGCUCGUUUGCUUCCCGUGCUUAACGCUGCUUGAAUCUUGUCGUGGCGGCCGUGCUCAACAUUGAUGUGUCACCGUUCUUCCAACCUUACUGGAAUCUUGCCGUUCUGACCUUGCAAUAUCUUCGUAGUGAGGGCUACACCAAGUAGAUAUGUAUACGCAGUUGUACGCAAGAUUUGGGUCUCUGUUCUCUGCGCCGCCGCCGUCUUCUACAGCCGGAGCAGCGUUGCCAUCCGCAAUCCCGCAUCUAUCCUCCAACGGCUGGAGCCGCACCACCGCCUUCCAUCCCCACGCUCCACACUGCCGAUCUCGGCUCCAUUAUCGCUCGUGCCUGCCUUUCACUCGUACAACGCCGCAGCAUUGAUGGCUUCAGAGACCACGGCACCCGCCGGCUGAGACGCGGGCAUGCUUGGCGCUGGUUGGAAGGGGACCGGCAAGGACGUCCUGGUCCUCCUGGCUGAGCUCCUUCACGGCACCCGCAGUCUGACCGAUGCUUACUUGGCCGUCGGCUGGAAGGGGACGCACGGACGUCCUAAUCCUCUAGGCCAAUCUCCUACAUGGCGCCUGUGCUGCGACCCAGGCCUGCUUGGCGCUGUAUGGGGGGACUCUGAUGGGUGAGGAACUAAGGACAAAGGGAGCUCGAUAGACAAGGAAUGAUGGAUCUGUGAGAAGAAGGGAGCUCCAUUAUAAAGAAAACAAAACUGAGAGAUAAAAGGAUUAUGGGUUAUUCUGAUGGUUGUUGGUAGUAGCAGGGAUGGUGAAAAUAAAUCUGCGCCAUGUCCUUUUGAGGGAUGCAUGAAGGAGCUGAAAACCCCGUUCAAAAACGAAAGGAACUGAAAACUCCAGCCCGGCCCAUCUGUGUGCGAGAGAGCAAAACCAAGUUUAGCAGACGAUGAGCAGGUGAGUGUAAGAUGUUGCAACACAAGAUUGAAAUCUGGUAUUCAAUCAGUCUUGUAUCACGAUUGCUUCAGUGGGCAGUUUAAAUUACAAUCUACUUUUAUUCGGAUUUUUCUUUUACUGAAGUUGCCCACUAUUUGUUACGUGAGGAUCAACAAAGUUAGAUCUUUGUGGGCAUAGUGAAUUUCCUUUUUGCUUGCAUGAGUUACACUUACACUUAAUUAGUAUGGUCAGAUUAGGUAAACUGCACAUAGUGAUUUUAUAUGCUCUGACAGAGAACUUUUAAGUGGGUCAAAUUAUCAGUUAAGUUAAUCUAUUUUAGAGAUGAACAUAAUAGCACAUGUACCUCUAAUUUAAACAUGUUAUGUCCGUUUAUUUUCAUCUACUGUGAAAGAGACAAAGAUACAAGAAGAUGAUCUGUUGACAUAUGGACUUCAAAAUCUUCGGUUCAAACAUCAAGAGUGGACAGGAUACAUUAUCUCGUCAGCUCAGGAACAUUAUACUCACCCGCUCCAAGGUCGUCAAGAAUGCAGGGAAAAAAGAUGACGAAGGUACUGGUCAUGACCCCCGUCGUGUGCGGCCACCAUGGUGACAGUACACGACCGGGAUUCACGACGGGGCUGAGGUGGAUCCAUGGCAAGAUCUUAAGCAAUUGUGCAUCUCAUGUCAUGUCGAUGUACGCGAUGCAGAGCGGGAAGGGUGUCAACAGCGACACGGUGAGGAGCUAAAAACAUACAUAAUCCUUUCAUGUUUUCUUCCUCGUUAGUUUUCAUGGCGGUUAUGUUCUAAUAGUGUAACCCUGUUGUAACGUACGGGCAAUUUUUCUUACAAUUUUUCUAGUCUCUCCCUAAUAAUAAAGUACGGAUUGACUUUGUCGGGUUUACCGUCAUAAUACGCUUUUUUCCAUAAAUUUACGCUUUCAGUUUUUUCCAUCUAUAUUAUUUUCUACAUCCGAUGUGGUACUAUUCAUAUGAUCAUUGCACAAACUCCCCUGAAGUUUUGAACAAUUAACUCGCGCUCCAGAUUUUUACUUCCUCCUGCCCCCAAUCCCAGAUCUUUCUUGUUGCCUUUGAUUUCGAAAAAUAAAAAAUCAGGAAAGUAUACGUGGACCUGUAAAAUCGAACUCAAGGCCUUCACUUCGGAGCCCAUGGGUGCAACCAAUUAAACUAGCAUAUGUUGGUGUUUGUGGCGGGCCGUUUGUACUAAUGAAAUAGUCCUGCCGCUGAGCUGCAUCUCUGGGCUUGAAAAAUUGCACCGCUCGGCCUACCCAAAUAGAGUGCUAGGCCUUUGCUGGGCCGCAAGCUGCGUGGGAAAAAUAGAUAGCGCUGGGAGUGACCGAAGUCAGGUGAGCAUCCACAUCGUUCGUUUAGAUCAAUUCAUAGCCCUUUAUAUACUAGAAAUUCUCCUGUAUGAUCAGCAAGUUGCCUAAGAAAGGUUAACGUGGGAGCAAGCUUCUAAGAGGCCGGGUUGUCUUGAGCGGAAAGGUGCCCGUGAACGCUGCAUUCCUGGGAUUCUGGCUUAACUGAAAGCAGCAAUGUGGAACACUAAAUUGAACGACCGCAAAAAAAACUCCAAACUAAAGUGGGGAUUGUGGGAGAUUUGAUUGCUGAAAUUCAAGAGUCUGGGAAAAUGAGCGCAAAACAAAAACGAAACCUACUUAAACAAGAUUGUGGAAAAUUAAUCAUUGCGCCGUGUUAUUUUAUUUAAAUUUCUGUUACUAAUCUUAUUUUAAACGGAAAAUCGAGCGUGUUAAUUGAACAUCACCUUUUUUUCCAAAACUUAAUUGAACAGUUCUGAGGUGAGGGAAUUAACAAAAAAUUGUGAGUUCCACAAGUUUUUCCAUCCAUUCUUCAUUCUAGCUAUUUUUCUUUUUGUUCUUUUACUGAAACUCUGGUGGACAUGCUGGUAAUAACAUUAUUUUUAUAAUAUAUCACUACAAAUGCGAAUAAUACCCGCUACUCGAGGAAAGAGGAAUAGGACAAAAUAUGAAGUGAACUAUAUGUUUUAGAAUUACGUUCCCUUAUAUCUAUAUUCAUACAAAAUUUGUUAGAGUUGGAUAGAAGAAUUGGCGCGCCGAGCAGAUUUGUAAAAUGAGCCGCAUUUUACAAUUCUCAUUAAAUUUGAAUCCAGGUUAAAAUUUUCUUCCGUUGCAACGCACGGACAUUUACCUGGGCCUACUCCCAGUGCGCCCCACAACUGGCUGGGCCUCAGCUCAUGGAUCGACCUUGCUGUGGCGGAUCGCCCGGCUGAAGCGGCAGCCCAAACAACCGAUGCCAGGGGGCACAAAAAUAAUGUGCGUCCGUGAGGGAUCGUGCUCCCGAUCUGAUGUAAACUACCGAAGGGAGCACACAACUGAGCUAGCACUCCAUUAUACCUUUAUGAGAGAUGAUUUUUUCAAAGAUAGUACCACCUUGCUACUUCACAUUUAGACCCACCAAUUUAAAUACGGUUAUAACUUGAAAUAAAUCCCGGGGCCAUGCAUGCACACAUCACGUCGAGGAGGGAUUGUAGGGUGAAGAAAAAUAAAUUCCUAGAAUUGUGAAGGAAAAUAAAUUCCCAAAAUUGUGGGUGCUGCAAUGCAUGCACAUAUCACGGGAAGGAAGGAUGUGUAUUAGGGUGAAGGAAAACAAAUCUCCGGAAUUGUAGGCGCUGCAUGAACACAUCGUGAUUAAAGGAGCAUCGUCGACCGACCUAUUAUGGUUGCCCACGCAUGAUACAAGAGAAUUAACAGCGUGUUUGGCAAAAAAUGGGAAGGGGAAUGAGAGUUUAAUGUAGGGAGUUGUAUUGAGAUUAGACAUGGGAUGAGUCGUUUUAUUCUCAAUCCUCUGUUUGGCGCAUGAUGAAAAUUAUGUGUGAAAGUUUGAUGAGAAAUUAUAUUCCCGUGUUUGGUUCGUGGAAAUUGACAAGGAAAUAGACAAGGGAAAUUAACGUAAGUUAUGAUGAAGGGCUAAGAUUGACUCACUAAAACAAUUCCCUUCCAACUCCCACCCCCUCCCCUGUUAAUAAAAUGGUGAGAGUUGGAGUCUCAAGUCCCAUGACUAUUCCCUUAUCAAUUCUCAAUCCCCCUAACCAAACAAUAGAUUUGAAGUCUCGUACCCCUUCAGUUCCCAUUCCCUAGCUCUAACUACCCCCAACCAAACAUGCUGUAAAGGAAUACAUGUUUAAAAAAAUAUUAAAGAACGUUGCACAAUUCACUAGAGAAAUAAAGGGAGGAUUCUUCAGUAUGAUUUUUCUUCAGCAGCCCAGUUUGCUUCACCAAUAUCCGCUAAACAAUUUGGCUCAUGGAGUACCACAUUCGUCUUGAAUUGGUUGACAAUGUGACAAAGGGAGGGGCUCGCGAAAACGGUGUGUUAAAGUGUGAUGACAAAGCUCACCUAGGGAUUGAUCAUGGUCGUCAUUAAUUGGUGGAUGACUGACAACCAUCGGCGAUGGUCAUGAAGAAGAGAAGUGACAACAUGAAUGUGCUACUACGUGCAUAUAAUGAUUUGUUUUCCCCGUUGCAACGCACGGGCGUAUUUGCUAGUCUCUCCCUAAUAAUAAAGCACGGAUUGACUCUGUGGGUUCACCGUCACAAUACGCUUUCUUCUCAUGUCAUAAUACGCUUUUACGAUUUGUACCCUAAUAAUAAAGCACGGACUGACUCCGUGGGUUCACGGUCACAAUACGCUUUCUUCUCAUGUCAUAAUACACGUUUACGAUUUGUAUAGACAAAAUCAUAAUAUAAACGAGGUGGUACUAAUUUAAGUGGACAUCAGAGAAAAAUGUUUCGUUCUUGGGCUCAGCCUGAUGUUUUCAUAAGUAGCCCAGGCUCAGCCGUCGUUGGAAUUGCUGCCCCGCAAUAGAACGCGAGGGUUUCCUCCACCGCCGUGAAUCUGCGAUCCCUCCGUUUCCUCCGCCGCCGCGACCCCAUCCCUCCGCUCCAUGGUGCCCGUCCUCACUCCACAGUCGUUGAAUAGGACGAGAUCGGUAGGUUCCGCCGCAUCUCGCGGGAUGCCCAACCCUUGUGCUCCACCUGGCACUGGCCUCCUUCCGGUUCCAUUUGUUCCCGACAGUGAGCACACACUAAAUUUCCAUGCCCUCUGAACGCGUGGUGGGGUUAGCAUGGACGGGCUGCUCGUCGGCCAUGCGGGGAGCACAGACGAGCUGCUCAUCGGCGUCCAUCCUGUGCAAGCAGCCCCCACCGACGACAACCGCCCAGCCUCCUUGACGGCACGCGCCUCCUGCUCCCGGAGCCCAGGCCCGGCCGCGGCCUAGGUCCUACCCGAUCCUACCUCCUUGUGAGAGCUCCUCCUACCUCCGUGGAAGGCGCAUGAGCUGAGCCCAGCCCGGCCAUCACGCGCCGGUGGCAAAACGGCAACCUUCAGGUCGCAUGACAGUUCAGUGGCAUGAGCAUGCUCUCCCCUGAUUGAUUUUGUAUGGUAGAUUUUGUUGUGGCGUGGGGGCAGCACCCAUUGUUGGGGAACGUAGCAGAAAUUCAAAAUUUUCCUACGUGUCACCAAGAUCUAUCUAUGGAGAGACCAGCAACGAGUAGAAAGAGAGUGCAUCUACAUACCCUUGUAGAUCGCUAAGCGGAAGCGUUCAAGUGAACGGGGUUGAUGGAGUCGUACUCGUCGUGAUUCAAAUCACCGAUGAUCCUAGUGCCGAACGGACGGCACCUCCGCGUUCAACACACGUACAGCCCGGUGACGUCUCCCACGCCUUGAUCCAGCAAGGAGAGAGGGAGAGGUUGAGGAAGACUCCAUCCAACAGCAGCACAACGGCAUGGUGGUGGUGGAGGAGCGUGGCAAUCCAGCAGGGCUUUGCCAAGCACCAUGGGAGAGGAGGAGCAGGGAGAGAGGUAGGGCUGUGCCAGAACUUCGUGUAUAGCUCCCAUGCGCCUCCCCACUAUAUAUAGGCGUGGAGGGGCUGGUUUCUUGCCCUCCAAGUCCAUUGGGGCGUUGGCCAAGGUGGGAGGAAAGAAAUCUCAUUAUUUCCUUCCCCACCGAUUGUUAUCCCCCCUUUUUAGGGAUCUUGAUCUUAUCCCUUCGGGAUAUGAUCUUAUUCCUUCUAAGGGGGGAUCUUGGUGCGCCUUGACCAGGGGUGUGGGGCCUUGCCCCCACUACCCACGUCCAUGUGGGUCCCCCCAUGCAGGUGGGCCCCACUCCGGAACCUUCUAGAACCUUCCCGGUACAAUACCGAAAAAUCCCGAACAUUUUCCGGUGGCCAAAAUAGGACUUCCCAUAUAUAAAUCUUUACCUCCGGACCAUUCCGGAACUCCUCAUGACGUCCGGGAUCUCAUCCGGGACUCCGAACAACAUUUGGUAACCACAUACAAACUUCCUUUAUAACCCUAGCGUCAUCGAACCUUAAGUGUGUAGACCCUACGGGUUCGGGAGACAUGUAGACAUGACCGAGACGUUCUCCGGUCAAUAACCAACAGCGGGAUCUGGAUACCCAUGAUGGCUCCCACAUGUUCCACGAUGAUCUCAUCGGAUGAACCACGAUGUCAAGGACUUAAUCAAUCCCGUAUUCAAUUCCCUUUGUCUAUCGGUAUGUUACUUGCCCGAGAUUCGAUCGUCGGUAUCCAAUACGUUGUUCAAUCUCGUUACCGGCAAGUCACUUUACUCGUUCCGUAACACAUCAUCCCGUGAUCAACUCCUUGGUCACAUUGCGCAUAUGAUGAUGUCCUACCGAGUGGGCCCAGAGAUACCUCUCCGUUUACACGGAGUGACAAAUCCCAGUCUCGAUCCGCAUAAAACAAUAGAUACUUUCGGAGAUACCUGUAGUGCACCUUUAUAGUCACCCAGUUACGUUGUGACGUUUGAUACACCCAAAGCACUCCUACGGUAUCCAGGAGUUACACGCUCUCAUGGUCGAAGGAAGAGAUACUUGACAUUGGCAAAGCUCUAGCAAAUGAACUACACGAUCUUUUGUGCUAGUCUUAGGAUUGGGUCUUGUCCAUCACAUCAUUCUCCUAAUGAUGUGAUCCCGUUAUCGACGACAUCCAAUGUCCAUAGCCAGGAAACCAUGACUAUCUGUUGAUCACAACGAGCUAGUCAACUAGAGGCUCACUAGGGACAUAUUGUGGUCUAUGUAUUCACACGUGUAUUACGAUUUCCGGAUAAUACAGUUAUAGCAUGAAUAAAAGACAAUUAUCAUGAACAAGGAAAUAUAAUAAUAAUACUUUUAUUAUUGCCUCUAGGGCAUAUUUCCAACUGUCUCCCACUUGCACUAGAGUCAAUAAUCUAGUUCACAUCGCCAUGUGAUUAACACUCACAGGUCACAUCGCCAUGUGACUAAUACCCAAGAGUUUACUAGAGUCAGUAGUCUAGUUCACAUCACUAUGUGAUUAACACUCAAUGAGUUUUAUGUUUGAUCAUGUUGCUUGUGAGAGAGGUUUUAGUCAACGGGUCUGAACCUUUCAGAUCCGUGUGUGCUUUACAAAUCUCUAUGUCAUCUCCUAGAUGCAGCUACCACGCUCUAUUUGGAGCUAUUCCAAACAACUGUUCUACUUGGAGCUAUUCUAAAUUAUUGCUCCAUUAUAUGUAUCCGGUCUCUCUACUCAGAGCUAUCCAGAUAGGUGUCAAGCUUGCAUCGUCGUAACCUUUACGACGAACUCUUUUACCACCUCCAUAAUCGAGAAAAUUCCUUAGUCCACUAGUUACUAGGGAUAACUUUGACCGCUGUCCUGUGAGCCAUUCUUGGAUCACUCUUGUACCCCUUGACUGACUCAUGGCAAGGCACACUUCAGGUGCGGUACACAGCAUAGCAUACUGAAGAGCCUACGUCUUAAGCAUAGGGGACGACCUUCGUCCUUUCUCUCUAUUCUGCCGUGGUCGAGCUUUAAGUCUUAACUUCGUACCUUACAACUCAGGAAAGAACUCCUUCUUUGACUGGUCCAUCUUGAACACCUUCAAGAUCAUGUCAAGGUAUGUGCUCAUUUGAAAGUAUUAUUAAGCAUUUUGAUCUAUCCUUAUAGAUCUUGAUGCUCAAUGUUCAAGUAGCUUAAUCCAGGCUUUCCAUUGAAAAACACUUUCAAAAUAACCCUAUAUGCUUUCCAGAAAUUCUACGUCAUUUCUGAUCAACAAUAUGUCAACAACAUAUACUCAUCAGAAAUUCUAUAGUGCUCCCACUCACUUCUUUGGAAAUACAAGUUUCUCAUAAACUUUGUACAAACCCAAAUUUUUUGAUCAUCAUCAAAGCAUACAUUCCAACUCCGAGAUGCUCACUCCAGUCCUUAGAAGGAUUGCUGGAGCUUUGCAUACUUAUUAGCAUCUUUCGGGAUUGACAAAACCUUCUGGUUGUAUCACAUACAACCUUUCCUCAUUAAAAUCGUCGAGGAAACAAUGUUUUGACAUCCUAUCUGCAAGAUUUCAUAAAUAAUGCAGUAAUCGCUAAUAUAAUUCCAACAGACUCUUAGCAUCGCUACGAGUGAGAAAAUCUCAUCGUAGUCAACUCCUUGAACUUGUCGGAAAACAUCUUAACGACAAGUCGAGCUUUCUUAAUGGUGACAUUUACCAUCAUUGUCCGUCUUCCUUUUGAAAUCCAUCUGUACUCAUUAGCCUUACGACCAUCGAGCCGUUCUGCCAAAGUCUACACUUUGUUUUCAUACAUGGAUCCUCUCUCGGAUUUUAUGGCCUCAAGCCAUUUAUCGGAAUCCGGGCCCACCAUUGCUUCUCCAUAGCUCGUAGGUUCAUUGUUGUCUAGCAACAUGACCUUCAAGACAGGAUUACGUACCACUCUGAAGUAGUACGCAUCCUUGUCAUCCUACGAGGUUUGGGAGUGACUUGAUCCGAAGUUUCAUGAUCAAUAUCAUAAGCUUCCACUUCAAUUGGUGUAGGUGCCACAGGAACAACUCCCUGUGCCCUGUCACACACUAGUUGAAGAGACGGUUCAAUAACCUCAUCAAGUCUCCACCAUCCUCCCACUCAAUUCUUUCGAGAGAAACUUUUCCUCGAGAAAGGACCCGAUUCUAGAAACAAUCCAUAUUGCUUUCAGAUCUGAAUUAGGAGGUAUACCCAACUGUUUUGGGUUUCCUAUGAAGAUGCAUUUUAUCCGCUUUGGGUUCGAGCUUAUCAACCUGAAACUUUUUCAUAUAAGCGUCGCGGCCCCAAACUUUUAAGAAACGAUAACUUAGGUUUCUCUAAACCAUAAUUCAUACGGUGUCAUCUCAUCGGAAUUACGUGGUGCCCUAUUUAAAGUGAAUGUGGUUGUCUCUAAUGCCUAACCCAUGAACGAUAGUGGUAAUUCGAUAAGAGACAUCAUGGUACGCACCAUAUCCAAUAGGGUGCAACUAUGACGUUCGAACACACCAUCACAUUAUGGUGUUCCAGGCGGUAUUAAUUGCGAAACAAUUUCCACAAUGUCUUAAUUGUGUGCCAAAACUCGUAACUCAGAUAUUCAUCUCUAUGAUCAUAUCAUAGACAUUUUAUCCUCUUGUCACAAUGAUCUACUAAUUCACUCUGAAAUUACUUGAACCAUUCAAUAAUUCAGACUUGUGUUUCAUCAAGUAAAUAUACUCAACAUUUACUCGAAUCAUCUGUGAAGUAAGAACAUAAUGAUAUUCACUACAUGCCUCAUCACUCAUUCGACUGCACACAUCAAAAUGUGUUACUUCCAACAAGUUGCUAUCUUGUUCCAUCUUACUGAAAAUGAGGCUUUUCAGUCAUCUUGCCCAUGUGGUAUGAUUUGCAUAUCUCAAGUGAUUCAAAAUCAAGUGAGUCCGAACGAUCCAUUUGCAUGGAGUUUCUUCAUGCAUAUACACCAAUAGACAUGGUUCGCAUGUCUCAAACUUUUCAAAAACGAAUGAGUCCAAAGAUCCAUCAACAUGGAGCUUCUUCAUGCGUUUUAUACCAUUAUGACUUACAUGGCAGUGCCACAAGUAAGUGGUACUAUCAUUACUAUCUUAUAUCUUUUGGCAUGAAAAUGUGUAUCACUACGACCGAGAUUCAAUAAACCAUUCCUUUAGGUGCAAGACCAUUGAAGGUAUUAUUCAAAAAUAGAGUAACCAUUAUUCUCCUUAAAUGAAUAACCGUAUUGCGAUAGACAUAAUCCAAUCAUGUCUAUGCUCAACGCAAACACCAAUCUCGGUGGUAGAGGGAGCGUGCGAUGCUUGAUCAUAUCAACCUUGGAAACACUUCCAACAUAUAUCGUCAGCUCACCUUUAGCUAGUCUCCGUUUAUUCCGUAGCUUUUAUUUCGAGUUACUAACACUUAGCAACCGAACCGGUAUCCAAUACCCUGGUGCUACUAGGAGUACUAGUAAAGUACAUAUUAACAUAAUGUAUAUCCAAUAUACUUCUAUCGACCUUGCCAGCCUUCUCAUCUACCAAGUAUCUAGGGUAAUGCUGCUCCAGUGGUUGUUCCCCUUAUUAUAGAAGCACUUAGUCUCGGGUUUGGGUUCAACCUUGGGUUUCUUCACUAGAGCAGCAGCUGAAUUGCCGUUUCAUGAAGUAUCCCUUUGUUCCCUUGCCCUUCUUGAAACUAGUGGUUUCACCAACCAUCAACAAUUGAUGCUCCUUCUUGAUUUCUACUUUCGCGGUGUCAAACAUCAUGAAUAUUUCAAGGAUCAUCAUAUCUAUCCCUGAUAUGUUAUAGUUAAUCACGAAGCUCUAGCAGCUUGGUGGCAAUGACUUUGGGGAAACAUCACUAUCUCAUCUGGAGGAUCAACUCCCACUCGAUUCAAGUGAUUGUUGUGCUCAGACAAUCUGAGCACAAGCUCAACGAUUGAGCUUUUCUCCCUUAGUUUGCAGGCUAAGAAAAUCGUCGGAGGUCUUAUACCUCUUGACGUGGGCACGAGCCUGAAAUCCCAAUUUCAGCCCUCGAAACAUCUCAUAUGUUCCGCGACAUUUCGAAAACGUCUUUGGUGCCUCUACUUAAACCAUUUAAUUGAACUAUCACGUAGUUAUCAAAACGUGUAUGUCCAAUGUUCGCAACAUCGACAAACGACGUUGGGGUUCAGCACACUGAGUGGUGCAUUAAGGACAUAAGCUUUCUACUGAUCGCAUAAUCGCUACUAUCAACUUUCAACUAUAUUUUCUCUAGGAACAUAUCUAAACAGUGGAACUAAAGCGCGAGCUUACGACAUAAUUUGCAAAAGGUCUUUUGACUAUGUUCAGGAUAAUUAAGUUCAUCUUAUGAACUCCCACUUAGAUAGACAUCCCUCUGGUCAUCUAAGUGAUCACAUGAUCCGAGUCAACUAGGCCGUGUCCGAUCAUCACGUGAGACGGACUAGUCAUCAUCGGUGAACAUCUUCAUGUUGAUCGUAUCUACCAUACGACUCAUGCUCGACCUUUCGGUCUCCGUGUUCCGAGGCCAUGUCUGCACAUGCUAGGCUCGUCAAGUUAACCCUAAGUGUUUUCGCUGUGUAAAACUGUCUUACACCCGUUGUAUAUAAACGUAAGAAUCCAUCACACCCGAUCAUCACGUGGUGCUUAGAAGCGACGAACUGUAGCAACGGUGCACAGUUAGGGGAGAACACUUCUUGAAAUUUUGUAAGGGAUCAUCUUAUUUACUACCGUCGUCCUAAGCAAACAAGAUGCAUAAACAUGAUAAACAUCACAUGCAAUCAAAUAGUGACAUGAUAUGGCCAAUAUCAUUUUGCUCCUUUUGAUCUUCACCUUCGGGGCUCCAUGAUCAUCAUCGUCACCGGCACGACACCAUGAUCUCCAUCAUCAUGAUCUCCAUCAUCGUGUCUUCAUGAAGUUGUCACGCCAACGACUACUUCUACUUCUAUGACUAACACGUUUAGCAAUAAAGUAAAGUAGUUUACAUGGCGUUCUUCAAUGACACGCAGGUCAUACAAUAAAUAAAGACAACUCCUAUGGCUCCUGCCGGUUGUCAUACUCAUCGACAUGCAAGUCGUGAAUCCUAUUACAAGAACAUGAUCAAUCUCAUACAUCACAUAUCAUUCAUCACAUUCUUCUUGGCCAUAUCACAUCACAUAGCAUACCCUGCAAAAACAAGUUAGACGUCCUCUAAUUGUUGUUGCAUGUUUUACGUGGCUGCUAUGGGUUUCUAGCAAGAACGUUUCUUACCUACGCAAGACCACAACGUGAUAUGCCAAUUGCUAUUUACCCUUCAUAAGGACCCUUUUCAUCGAAUCCGUUCCGACUAAAGUGGGAGAGACUGGCACCCGCUAGCCACAUUAUGCACCAAGUGCAUGUCAAUCGGUGGAACCUGUCUCACGUAAGAGUACGUGUAAGGUCGGUCCGGGCCGCUUCAUCCCACAAUACCGUCGAAACAAGAUUGGACUAGUAACGGUAAGCAUAUUGAACAACAUCAACGCCCACAACUACUUUGUGUUCUACUCGUGCAAAGAAUCUACGCAAUAGACCUAGCUCAUGAUGCCACUGUUGGGGAACGUAGCAGAAAUUCAAAAUUUUCCUACGUGUCACCAAGAUCUAUCUAUGGAGAGACCAGCAACGAGUAGAAAGAGAGUGCAUCUACAUACCCUUGUAGAUCGCUAAGCGGAAGCGUUCAAGUGAACGGGGUUGAUGGAGUCGUACUCGUCGUGAUUCAAAUCACCGAUGAUCCUAGUGCCGAACGGACGGCACCUCCGCGUUCAACACACGUACAGCCCGGUGACGUCUCCCACGCCUUGAUCCAGCAAGGAGAGAGGGAGAGGUUGAGGAAGACUCCAUCCAACAGCAGCACAACGGCGUGGUGGUGGUGGAGGAGCGUGGCAAUCCAGCAGGGCUUCGCCAAGCACCAUGGGAGAGGAGGAGUAGGGAGAGAGGUAGGGCUGUGCCAGAACUUCGUGUAUAGCUCCCAUGCGCCUCCCCACUAUAUAUAGGCAUGGAGGGGCUGGUUUCUUGCCCUCCAAGUCCAUUGGGGCGUUGGCCAAGGUGGGAGGAAAGAAAUCUCAUUAUUUCCUUCCCCACCGAUUGUUAUCCCCCCUUUUUAGGGAUCUUGAUCUUAUCCCUUCGGGAUAUGAUCUUAUUUCUUCUAAGGGGGGAUCUUGGUGCGCCUUGACCAGGGGUGUGGGGCCUUGCCCCCACUACCCACGUCCAUGUGGGUCCCCCCAUGCAGGUGGGCCCCACUCCGGAACCUUCUAGAACCUUCCCGCUACAAUACCGAAAAAUCCCGAACAUUUUCCGGUGGCCAAAAUAGGACUUCCCAUAUAUAAAUCUUUACCUCCGGACCAUUCCGGAACUCCUCGUGACGUCCGGGAUCUCAUCCGGGACUCCGAACAACAUUCGGUAACCACAUACAAACUUCCUUUAUAACCCUAGCGUCAUCGAACCUUAAGUGUGUAGACCCUACGGGUUCGGGAGACAUGUAGACAUGACCGAGGCGUUCUCCGAUCAAUAACCAACAACGGGAUCUGGAUACCCAUGAUGGCUCCCACAUGUUCCACGAUGAUCUCAUCGGAUGAACCACGAUGUCAAGGACUUAAUCAAUCCCGUAUUCAAUUCCCUUUGUCUAUCGGUAUGUUACUUGCCCGAGAUUCGAUCGUCGGUAUCCAAUACCUUGUUCAAUCUCGUUACCGGCAAGUCACUUUACUCGUUCCGUAACACAUCAUCCCGUGAUCAACUCCUUGGUCACAUUGCGCAUAUGAUGAUGUCCUACCGAGUGGGCCCAGAGAUACCUCUCCGUUUACACGGAGUGACAAAUCCAAGUCUCGAUCCGCAUAAAACAAUAGAUACUUUCGGAGAUACCUGUAGUGCACCUUUAUAGUCACCCAGUUACGUUGUGACGUUUGAUACACCCAAAGCACUCCUACGGUGUCCAGGAGUUACACGCUCUCAUGGUCGAAGGAAGAGAUACUUGACAUUGGCAAAGCUCUAGCAAAUGAACUACACGAUCUUUUGUGCUAGUCUUAGGAUUGGGUCUUGUCCAUCACAUCAUUCUCCUAAUGAUGUGAUCCCGUUAUCAACGACAUCCAAUGUCCAUAGCCAGGAAACCAUGACUAUCUGUUGAUCACAACGAGCUAGUCAACUAGAGGCUCACUAGGGACAUAUUGUGGUCUAUGUAUUCACACGUGUAUUACGAUUUCCGGAUAAUACAGUUAUAGCAUGAAUAAAAUACAAUUAUCAUGAACAAGGAAAUAUAAUAAUAAUACUUUUAUUAUUGCCUCUAGGGCAUAUUUCCAACACCCAUGAGUGUUGUGUACAUGUUCAAUAUGCAUAACAACUUGUCUGGUGACUUCCUCACCUAAUGUCAGAUACAAUUUUAGCAACAGUGAAUAAACGCAUAAUAGGUUCGUUAUCUGCUUUUGAAUGUUCAUAAUGUGUAAAAUGAUUCAAUUUUACUAUGAUUUUGCUUGAGAAGUUGAAACUGCAAAGUCUUGAGAACAUUUACUAUAUACUCCAACACUGCAGGCCAAGUCUUGAUGGAUUUCCAAUGUGCUUCUGGCCUCCCAAUUUUUUCCGUCAUGCAGCCGCUCCCCAUCUCCCUGCGUGGUCCCGUGAUGGUUUGACUAGGCGCUGCCUUGACGGCUGAGCGUGUGCUGUCCAUGUUAGCCGGCUCCUCCACCCAGGAGCCGGUAAGGACACUGCUUUGUCCGAACCGAUUGUCACGACCAUGCGCAGGUACACACACAUGUGCUCCCCUACCACCACUGCACUGAUUUAAGGCAAAAUCCAAUUGGGAGGUAUUGAUAGGCACCAAUGUGUUCUUGGUUGAGUUCCCAUGUCUUACAUUACGUUGAUCCUUUUGGUAAGAUCAAACUGAACAAGCUGAACAUCAGUUGCCCAAAAAAGCUGAACGUCAUGCUACAUUAUUCCCAAUUUUGUAAAAUUGAUCAUAAUACUCCUGCUAUCAUGUCAUGUUUGCUAAUACUUAUUGAGUUGUAAAACGAUGUUUUCAGAUUAUAAGCUAGCCCUUCUUAUUAUGUUUCAGAAGAUCGAUAAUACCCAUUACAUUACUACAAUGGUGUAAUAUGUCUUGAUAUGCCUUUUUGUUUUUGGUUAUUUUUUAGAACUUUUAGUACAUGUCUUUAUCAAGGCUAGAACUUCUGACAACUUUGAAGCAAGAAAGUUCAGAGAAAUUGUUCCAUGGAAUAGCUAAAUGAUAAUACUACUAUUCAUUUAUGAUUGAUUGCAACAUACAGAGAUAGAUAUAUUGAAGCUUGUAAUGGCUAACAACCAAAAUUAUGAAUCUGUUCUUGAUACUCUUUUUCUCUUUUCUUAAUAUCAUCAUAUACAAAUUAGAAGGUUUCUAACAUCUGCAUAUUUCACGUUUCAGAGAAGGUAGAGAAAGUGAUGUUCAGACAUUUCAGUGCAGCAACGGCAACACCUCCAAGUUGAGAAAUAUGUUCCUAUUUAUCCUUCUUUGCUAGCUGCGUUCCUCUACUAGGACCAUUGCUGUGCUCUGAACUUCAGAGUUUUCAUACACUCAAUGCUGAUUCAGUCAAAGAUCUCUGGGAAGAAAAUUAUUUCGACAAGAUUCACUCUACUGUGCCUAUCGCGGUCCUUUGGAUUAUAUCGAAGCGCAUGAACUCCAAGAUCUUCUGCGAUAUUUUUAAGGAAUUGCACAUUACUGCUAGCAAGAUUGCUGAUGAUCUUAUGUUGUGGUCCAACAGGUAUUCAAAUGAAAUUAAGAAAGGGCUCCUUAGAAAUUGGAGCACUAUGUUGUAUCACCUAUCUGUGAGAUUGUAAUUUUGUCCCUCCUUCUAUUCUCUGAAGUCUGGACUGAAAGUUAUGUGGUUCUCUACUACUCGAAGAAAGGUAAAUAGUCUUUUAUGUGAUUUAAUUUUCCAUUUGAAUAAACACUGUGUCAAUUAUACAAGAUGUCCAUGCAUGUCUUGUCUUCAGGUAAUGGAAAGAACAAUAUGACAAGGCCACACUUCUGCAUCUACCGUGACAUUUUUGUGACCAUAUUGUGAGUUAAGUAUAAUAAAAUUUGUUCUCUAUUGAAUUUGCUAUGGAGCGGAGCAAGUUAUCUAAAAGAGGGAGGGAUUAUAGACAUUUCAUUCAUGCCAUAGUUAAAAAUAGAGAUAGAAAUAGAACGAUGGGUGUAGAUGAAAAAGAGCCAUUACCCUUGCUUAAGAGUUAGGAGCAUAUGUUUUUUUGUGGGGAUUGGGAAUUGAGGAUUGGGUGAGAGAUUGAUCGAUUAUUUAUAUGUAUAUGUUGUGUGAACUAUAUUUAUUUUUCCGUGGCAACGCACGGGCACCUUACUAGUCUUUUCCUAAUAAUAAAGCACGGAUUGACUCCGUGGGUUCACCAUCACAAUACGCUUCCGCCCAGUCAUAAUACGCUUUUAUGAUUACGUUUUGGAAUUAACCGAUGUGGUACUAAUCAAACAUUUCGUUUUUGCCUUCGUGGUAGCACAAUGGCAGACAUGGGCUUGCUUUAGUCCAGCCCAUACACGUAUAUUAAAAAAACAGGGGAAAAAAGUGUGACACUGUGAUUUGAUCCCUGGUCUACCUGAUGUAUGCCAAUAAUGCAAACCACUCCAGCUACGCUCAUGUCUAUGCUAAUAUAGACGUUCGGAUUUUAAGAAUAGAGUAUGAGGCGUACACGGGCUGAGCAAUGAGCACGGGCGUGCUGGGCCGGGCCGACUGCUGCGGCGCACAGGACGGAUAAAGGGAGCCGCCUGGACCGCUGGAGGCAGUUUUUCAUAUUUGUUUACUUAUUAAAUAGUCCCACCUUGCUAUUUUACAUAAUUUUUUAUCAGUUUAUAUACGUUCUUAGGUUGUCUUGCAUCAAGGAGCUGCUUUGGAAAUUAAGCAAAGAAUAUGAGAUGAAUAAGAUUUGUCCUUAAUGGAACAAAUGAGGGGCAGAGCAAUAGGAAAGAGAGAGGUAAGAAAUAGACGGUAAUUAUUAUGGGCGCCAUAUUAAUCGAGGGAGUAAUUAACGGGCCAACAAAUGGGAUUCGUCACAUGUAUGACAUAAGGAAAGAAAAAGGAAAAAAAUAGAUUUCUUAUGAGAAAUAAAGAAGGAAAGAGAGGGAAAGUAAACUAGAUGGUAAUUAAGGACGUGCGGGAAUCGAUGGCAGGCGGCCCUCAUCUUACGAAUAAAAAUGAAGUGCCAUUCUUUCCCUACAUGAUUCUCAUUAAAUUCACUUUAUUUUUUUCUUUCAUUGCAACAGACAACAUGACAUUUUUUUCCUUACACUUAUAAUCCUUACUAAGCUUGCACCAAAUUUAUAACACAUUCAACAUUAUGUUGCACAUACAGUCCUCGCUAAAUUUAUGUCAAUUGUUUCUGCCGUUGUAACCCACCGCCAUAUAUAGUAUUUUUUAUAUAUAAAUGGAGGUAUAAUAUUAUUGGUCCUCCCAUUUCAUAUGGCCAUGGCGUUUCUUCAUACUGAGCUAGGCUAUUCUACGGAUCGUCUAUGCUGGGCCACUAGGCCUCUACCCACUUCUCCCGCGUAACAUUUCACCAAUAAAAAAACAGUGCCCUCCCAAUAGGUCCGUGCGAUCCGGCCCAACCAUCCCGUUUAGGAGAUGAGUCAAAAAUAGUUGACGGUGACUGGAAUCAAACGCGCAACCUCCACUGUUUUUGGUGCUGAUCAUGUUAUCCCGCAAAAAAGGUGUUGAUCGUUUUCAACUAAAGUUGAAUUUGGUGGUUGUUUGUGUCCUUCAUGGACUCGUACUAAACUACUACGAUAUAAAAUCCAGAUCACACAAACACAAGGCGCAAGCAUUAGAUUAUGUAGAUUUGACCGGGAUCUCAAACGCGACCGUUCGCUUAUCUGUCCAUGCGGGGGAUGCAAUUCUUUAUUGGAUCCAAAUUUAGGUGGAAUGUUCGCUGUGUAGUGGACAUCGUGACCGACAUUGAUGACAAAGAAAAGAAGAGGUAACAGGUAUUUCAUUAUGAUGAUGUUCCAUACUGCUCCUAUGGAGUCCCUCUUUGGACUAUUGGACGCGUAUAUUGAGACUACUUUUCCGGUUGUUGGCUGGAGCUAUCACUAUGACUGAAAAUUUCUUUUCAGUCAAGUAAAUUUAUAUGCUCACCAGAAACCAACGACAGGCCAACACUUAACAGCAGUCUGCAAUCUUUAUUAGACUAUGCCUAAGCCAAAUAUUGUUUUAGUUAGGCAAUGUAGAAAACAUGGUCGUGAUUUAUGUAGAUUGGGCAGUCCCUUCAAACUGCAUUUUUCAAUCUUGAUUGGACGAUUAUAUGUUUUCUUAUAGAAAUUGACUAUAUGUUUGAUGAUUGACUAAUUAUUUUUGCCCCAUCAGAUUAAACUAGGUCUUAAUUUGAAAGUACAAUUUAGGCUGCUGGUGCUGGUUUGUUUAUUGUACUAAUUAUGCUCUUUAGACAGAGACAUGUUGUCUUCCUCAUUUCUCAGUCGCUAUGAGCUGGGCAUAGAUCGAUGGCCUGGUUAAUCUUGAUUUAUUGCAACAUAUGUUUUCUCCACACAGGUCUAAAUAAUGCAACCUUUUCUUAGGCUGUGGAAAUAUGAUUCGGAUGGAGGUUGAUGGACUAGAGCAAUUAAAGGGAUGUGAUAUUUUUUUUCUCCCGUUGCAACGCAUGGGCAUAUGUNNNNNNNNNNNNNNNNNNNNNNNNNNNNNNNNNNNNNNNNNNNNNNNNNNNNNNNNNNNNNNNNNNNNNNNNNNNNNNNNNNNNNNNNNNNNNNNNNNNNNNNNNNNNNNNNNNNNNNNNNNNNNNNNNNNNNNNNNNNNNNNNNNNNNNNNNNNNNNNNNNNNNNNNNNNNNNNNNNNNNNNNNNNNNNNNNNNNNNNNNNNUAAUAUAAUAAUAAUAUAAUAAUAAUAAUAAUAAUAAUAAUAAUAAUAAUAAUAAUAAUAAUAAUAAUAAUAAUAAUAAUAAUAAAGCACGGAUUGACUCCGUGGGUUCACCGUCACAAUACGCUUUUCUUCCUGUGAAUUUACGCAUUCAAUUUGAAUUUAAGACAUAUAUGCAAGGUGGUACUAAUUCGGGGAACACAUCGCAAAAUUCGUUCGUCAAUUUUUGGAACACACAUGCGCGCUUCUGGGCUCGUCCGCCAACCUUUUCCCCCUUGGGCUUGAGCCCGCUGCAGUGUGGCCCAAGAAAAUCAGGAGAGAAAAAGAAAGGCUGCAGUUGGGGAUCGAACCCUGAACCUGCUUGCCUCCACAACUCGUACGAUCCACCAAGCUAGGACACAGUUGUAUGUACAAGAGUGGAUUCUUUCUUCUAGUAAAUAAUCCGGCUUGCUUAUAGCAGAAGCCUCUAAAGAACGGAAGGAAAUAAAAGAAGAAAAGUCAAUCUUCACUCAGGAAAGGAAAGCAAUUAAAAGGGGAAAUAAAUUUAGCCUUGCCUCAAGAAGGAAAAUAAUUGAGUGAAGGAAUAAAGUUCGCUUUAUCUCCGAAAGGAAAGAAAUAAAAAAUGGAAAAAUUCCCCUUGUGCCCGAUGAAGGAAAAAGUAUGAAAAGGUAUUAAAAGAAUGGAGGAAUAAAUUUAUCCUUGCCUCAAGAAAAAAGAUUAGUUCGUCUUGCCUCCGAAAAGAAAGGAAUAAAAAAUGUCCCUCAUGCCUGUUAAGGAGAAAAGCUUGGGCGUGCAUACCUCCUGAUUCAGUUGCACUCCAAAUCCAAUUUGCUCAUAAAAGUGCUCACCUUUAAUUGUUUUUGUGUCAUUUAUGCAUCUUAAAAUAUUUGUGUAGUGCUAACAUAAGUGUUCAUUUAUCAAAAUAAUGUUUUUAUAAUUUACAAAAUACUAACUCUUUUCUCAAAAUGAAAAAACAUGUAACUCUAAAAAGUGUUCACAUGCUUAAAAAUAUAUCCGCAAUUUUAAAAGUAUUCACUCUCUUUAAAAUAUUAUGUGAUUUUAAAAGUGUUUGUGUUUAAAAAAGAAUGUUGAUGCGUUUUCAAAAAAAAUACCAUUUUAAACCGAGAGGGCGUAAGAGGGGUGGUGUAUGAACUAGGCGUAGGCCAUAGCUCGGGAAGGACAGCUGUCAUGCCUAGCUCGACGAUAUUAGUUUUAAAUCCAUUAGACAUUGACUUGAGAUGGCAUAGUUUAGUGAUAGGUGUGAGUGCGGUGGCCGAGAUUAUCACCUUGGGGUUGACCAUGUUAGGACGCACUACGAUCACUUGGACACCGUGACAUGAUCAGUGAAGAUUGGAAGAAGAAUAAGCGACAACACGGAUGAGACGCUAUGUUCAAAUAGAUAACAUGGACCUGCGAAGGGGUUUUGAGUCAUGCUUAUUGUGACAGGAGUGUGAUUUUUACUCCCGUUGCAACGCACGGGCAUGUUUGCUAAUACAAUAAAAAGUAUGAACACCGACAACUGGAAUGAAGUGUAUGAACAGUAAUGUCGGUAGAAAUACGUACUCCCCCAAGCUUAGGCUUUUGCUUAGCUUGGUAAUCACCACACGUGGCCUGGAUAAUAGCCAGAAUGAUAGCUCGUGGAGGCUCUCGGUGCUGCCACCUCAGCCCAACAGGCACCCUCUACCGUCACGUUGUAUUUGCGUGCCUCUCUCUCAUAGAUGUAGUUGUUGACACCAGAUUUUGGCAUGGUCAAGAAUUCAGGUUCGUAUGCAAAAGUUAGAGACAACACUUCACAGGCCGGCCUUGAGUGAGAAAGUAUUUGGCCUUUGCUGGUUGAAUGAAAACCUUGUCGGGGUAAAACCUUGCCGGUGUGAAGGCUUGCCGGCGUGGAUAGCUUGCUGGCGCAGAAAGCUCGCCGUUGUGGAAGCUUGCCGGUGUGAAAUCUUGCCGGUGGAGAAACCUUGCCGGGGAGGAACCCUUGCCGGGGUAAAACCUUGCUGAUGUGAAAUCUUGCCGGGGAGGAACCCUUGCCGGGGUAAAACCUUGCUGAUGUAAAGGCUUGCCGGGUCGAAACCUUGCCGGUGUGGAAAUCUUACCCGGGUGGAAAGCCUGCCGGGGUGGAGGCUAUGAUAGUCAAGCCGACGAGAAGUUGAAGAUGGGAUCAAAAGGUUAUUCAUAUGAUCUUGAAUGGAAAAGUGUUUUACACGGAAGUUGUGAGUUUCGUCAAAACGAUCGAUUUUGAUAUAAAGAUAGUCUCAAUCCGAGGUCAUAUGCAAAAGUUAGAGACCGCACAGCGAGACCCUCCACCGAGCAAAAUAUGACGCCCGGAACCAGACACAUAUGUGGGUAUGUCUGAUGAGCUGCGUGACUCAUCGAAACGGUCAAGAUUGCUUUUGGGCUCGUUUCCAUCCGAGGUCGUUUGCCACCACAAAAAGGACCCGGAAAGUACAACCAGUUUAAACCGAACAGUUUUGGAAAGUUCGGAUAAAAACAAUCCGAAUUUGGCUAGGGUUUUGGAUGUGAAUUGAUGUAAUUUUCUUGUAAGGAAAGCCUAGAUAAAUCCUUUGCUUGUACGAGAAGUUCAGCCGCCUCUUAUAUAUGUUGGGGGUGACGGCCGAUUGAAACAACAAACAAUCGAACAAAUUAAUAUACUACUUUUUCAGUCUAUGUUUUAUCUCUCCACCGUUUUUCUCUCUCGUUCUUAGCUGUUCUUCGUGUUUGAGAGAUGCGAAUCUCGAGGCUCUAGGGGCGAGCGAAUCAACCUAGGGAAGCCCAUAGCCGCCGCAAUCCCUGACAGGGUCCCUCCCGCCACUGUCUUGCAUAUCGCACUGUCGGUCGGGUCUCCUUCAACGUGAGCUGCGGUGCAUCACCCCCGGCGUCGAGGGUACACGUGACGUGUUCGUGUGUAAACACACUUUUUGGCGACUCCGCUGGGGAAAAGAGGAUCUAUCGUCAUCAUCCACCAUGUCCAAUCUUCCCAAGCCAUCUGAGGUAGACGCCGAUAACAUCAUUAAGCCCAGUCUUGAUGAGAUAUCGGCCGAUCAUCGCCAAGUCUAUGAGGAGUACAAGAAGGCGCGCGAGGAGAAGGACAUGCAGGAGUUCCUUGCAAAAUUCAAGAAGGAUCGCCAAGGCAACAUCACUCCGAUUGAAGAAAUCAAGUUUCCUCCUCUUCAAGCCGAGCAGGUUAAAACCCCUGUAAGUACUACCUUUUCUCCUGAGCAGCAGGCUGAGAUUGAGAGUCGUAUUGCUGAUGGUAACAAUCUAGUCUAUCAAACUUUCAUAGAAAAUACUAAUGCUCAGAAGAGUAUAUCUCAAUCAUCUAGUGGUAAUGGUGGUAUAGCUCCUAGUGUGCAAAACCCUAAUCUGACUUUACCUAUUUCAUCGCACCUCCCAUGCAGAUGACUUAUUAUCCUACUCAAACAAAUCAGAUUGUGGCUGCACCCAUUAGUCCCAUCAUGAGAAUGCCGGGUUCGGUGGCAACGCCGAACCAAACCCUACCUACGGCUACAACCACUCGGCCAUUACCGAACUAUGGCUCGGCAUAUAUGCCACAGUUCCCACCUACAGCUAGUAGUCCUACUCUUCCCAUGCCACAGCAGCAAGCUUCAUCGUCUACUACAGACGAUGCCCUAGCUAAUUUAAGAGAGGAGAUGGCUAAGAUGCUUCGAGAGAAUUUUGGAGUUGAGCUACCUCAGAAUCGGAUUUACCAAAAGCCGUACCCUGAAUACUUUGAUGCCAUCCAGUGCCCUCCAGGAUAUAAAAUUCCAGAUUUUGUUAAGUUUAAUGGAGAAGGCACAAAAACCACAUGGGAGCAUGUUAGUCAAUAUUUAGCACAAUUAGGUGAGGCAGGCUCGUUAAAUGAAUUGAAAGUGCGUUUGUUUCCUUUAUCAUUAACUGGUACUGCAUUUUCAUGGUUUUCUUUUUUACCACAUGGUUCUAUUUGGGUUUGGUUGCAGCUAGAGCAGAAAUUUCAUGAUCACUUUUAUAGCGGCGACAAUGAGCUCAAGUUGUCACAUCUAACAUCGGUUAAAUAGAAGCAUGAUGAAUUGGUCUCCAAUUACGUCAAGAGAUUCAUAGAAACAAAAAAACAGUGGUUUAGUUUGGUGAUAACCGAGAGGGACUUGGCGGACCUAGUGCUGAGUGGUUUGAGAACUCCCAUUAGAGAAAAGCUAGAAGGCUAUGAGUUCUUUAUCAACCAAGUUUUAUAUAGGGCUUUGGCUCAGGAAAGCCGAAGCAAAGAUCUCAAAGAAGUGCACAGAUACAAAGUCGAUCGUCCAAAGAUGAAUAUGGUCGAAUAUGAUAGUGAUCACUCGGCCGAUGAGGGUGAUGUUUUUGCUACUGAAUUUGUUUGGCCAUCUAAGGCCAAACCCUUUACUUGCAAUGAUCUGAAACCGAUUCAUAAGAAUUAUGAUGAAGAGAUGAAGUUUACUUUUAACAUUGCUAAGUGUGAUAGAAUAUUAGAUGCUUUGCUGCAAGCUAAAAUUAUUAGGAUAUCUCAUACUUUACCGCCGUUUGAAGAGUUAAAACGACGUGGUUAUUGCAAGUAUCAUAAUUCUUUUUCUCAUGCUACUAACGAUUGCAAUGUUUUUCAACGACAGAUACAAUCGACCAUUAAUGACGAACGAUUGAACUUCUCUGAGAUGCAAGUUGAUAAACAACCUUUUCCAAUGAAUACCAUGGAUCUGGAUGGGAAGAAGCUACUCAUUCGGGCGGAGGUUGCCGAAUCUGCUAAUAAAGCUAAUGUCAUUGUUGGUGAGCCCAGGAAAGACAAAGAGGGCGACAAGGUCUUGGGGAGACAGGUUGUACUUGAUAAGCAACCCGAUGGCAAGGAAGUGAUCAAAAUUACCAUCAAGAAUCCUACACUCGGGGGGCAAGCACAGGUGCAGCAAGACACUCGAGUUAAAUUUGUUAAUCCCAAGAGUCCGGAGGUUGGUAAGUGGAAGAUGAAUGAAGCUAAAGUGCAGCGCAAGAAAAUCAAACCAACUUUUGAUAUGUUGUUGUCCAAGUAUGCCAGUCAAGCAACCGGUUCUAUCUCUGACCAGUCAUCAAAUUUGAAACGCUCAAGGUCACCUCCUCGGGAAGAAUUUCAACAUCAUGCAAGGCCAUAUGGGUCGUGGGCGCCGGGACCGUGGAUGCCGCCACCCCCCUAUGCGCCAUACUACAUGGGAGACUUCAAUGGAGGAUGGUGGCAGCCCCCAAUGGCCCCUUAUGAUUUUCAUCCAGGUUGGGAAGAACCAAGGAGGUCCGUUCAUGAGAGACUUUCUUAUCCCACACGAGGCCGUUUGAACAAUGGUGUCAAUCGGCCAGUGCAAGAUAAUCAGAAAAGGGUCAGCAAGCAAGAAUGGCGUGUUAAGUCGCCAAGUGCUGCAACGGUUGAGUCAAGGAAAGGCAAGGAAAAAAUCAAUGCCGACUCACUCAUCUUGGGCAUCGAAACAUUCGCCAUACAGCAGCCGAUUGUGCAUAGCAACCCGACUGAGCCGAUACUUGCUAUCACGCCAAAGCACUCGGCUAAUGACCAUGAAGCAAGAACUAGCCAAGUAAAGACGAGAGAUCUUAAAUACACUCAGCCAAAGUGGUGUCCUCCAGGGCUGACAAAACCACAAAAGAGGAAACUAGAAAGGCUAAGAAGUCAAGAGAUGAUAGAACAAGAGACCGAGAAGCAAAGGGAUAAGUUGUUCAACAACACUCGGCCCAUGGUGCCUACAAAACAAGUGUGGAGGCCUAAACAAAUACAAAAUGUAGUGGCUUCUACACCUAUCACAGCAGUGCCUACACCACUAAAAGAGGACGAUGUGAUCAUUGCAUCGUCCGAGUUACCUAUUGCUUCCUCUUCGCUUGAACAAAUUUCAGAAUCGGUGGAUACAUUAGGGGAAUAGGAGGAUAUGUUAGAUUACGAGUCUACACCGGUUCAUGAAGGUAUGGAUAUUAAUAUGGUGUAUUACUUACCCGCCGAGUUUCGUGCUGUAGAUGAGGAAGGGGAGGUGGCUCAACUGGAUUUUGGCCCUAAAAACGCAAUAUUCGAGAAACCAAAAUAACUAGUAACGCAUCAGAAACCGUUAUAUCUCAGAGGUCAUAUCAAUGGGUCACUGCUCACUCGGAUGCUGGUUGAUGGUGGUGCUGUGGUGAAUCUUAUGCCGUAUUCAGUCUUCAGAAAAUUGGGGCUGCAUGAUGAAGAGUUGAUAAAGACCAACAUGGUGCUCAAUGGAUUUGAAGGCAAAGAGAAAACUGAAGCCAAAGGUGUGAUGUAUGUGGAGCUUACAGUCGGAAGCAAAACUUUGGCUACUGCAUUCUUUGUCGCUGAGGUGCAAGGUAACUACAACAUCAUACUAGGCCGUGAUUGGGUUCAUGUAAACUAAUGCGUGCCAUCUACUAUGCACCAGUUUUUAAUCCAGUGGGUUGAUGAUGAAGUGGAAGUCAUUCAUGCAGAUAAUUCGGCCUGUGUUGCUUUGGCCGAUGCAUCGGUGGAUUGGCAACAUCCUAAUGCUACUUUCUUGACGGGGCGCGACUUACCAGAGUUUGAUUUUCUCAGCGCGACCAAGAAUGGUUUCGUGCCCGUCUCUUUAAAGCCGGUUGAAUGCAAUCGGCUCCAAGGUAUGAUAUGUGUAAAUGGAUCCUAACUCAGAGUGGUUACAAAAGCGACUUGUAGAAUAUCGGUCCGAUGAGAACGAUAUGUAUGAGUAUAUAGAAGAGUUAGAUGAUAUGGAUAAAUUAGGACAAGGUUUUACAUCAGCCGAUCCAUUAGAAGAGAUAGAUAUAGGAGAUGGUUCAACUUCUAGGCCGACGUUUGUAAACAAAAAUUUGAAAGCCGAUUAUAAAGCUAGGUUAAUCGAGCUAUUGAAAGAAUAUAUUUGUUGCUUUGCAUGGGAAUAUCAUGAGAUGCCAGGGUUAAGCCAAGAGCUAGUGGAGCAUCGGUUACCUAUAAAGGCUGGUUUUAGACCAUAUAAGCAAUUGGCCAGAAAGUUUAAUCCAAAAACAUAUGUCCGUAUCAAGGAAGAGAUCGGUCGUUUGCUUAAAGCUAAUUUUAUUAGACCUUGCAGGUAUGCCGAGUGGAUUUCUAACAUUGUCCCAGUGGAGAAGAAAGGAUCCGGCAAGUUGAGGGUGUGCAUUGACUUCAGAGAUUUGAAUAGGGCUACACCCAAAGAUGAGUAUCCCAUGCCAAUAGCCGAUAUGCUUAUUAAUGAUGCUUCUGGACAUAAGGUUAUUAGCUUUCUAGAUGGUAAUGCCGGAUACAAUCAAAUUUUUAUGGCCGAAGAGGACAUGUCCAAAACAGCUUUUCGUUGCGCUGGUUUUCUUGGUUUAUUCGAGUGGACAGUGAUGACAUUUGGAUUAAAAAAUGCUGGCACCACAUAUCGAAGGGCCAUGAAUUUGUUUUUUCAUGAUUUACUCGGUGUCAUACUUGAGGUUUAUAUUGAUGAUAUUGCUGUCAAAUCGGAUGCUUUUGAGUCUCACUUGGCCGAUUUGCGUUUAGCCUUUGAAAGAAUGAAAAAGUAUGGACUGAAGAUGAAUCCUUUGAAGUGUGCAUUUGGCGUGUCAGCUGGCAAGUUUUUGGGUUUCAUUAUUCAUGAAGAUGGCAUAGAGAUUGAUCCCAAAAAGAUAGAGGCCAUACAAAAAGUGGAGGCUCCAACAUGCAAGAGAGAUAUGCAAAAGUUCCUUGGUAAGGUCAAUUACUUGAGGAGAUUCAUAGCUAAUAUGUCAGCGAAGGUUGAUGUGUUUACUCAUAUCCUUCGGUUAAAGAAUGAUGCUGAUUUCACUUGGGGGGCAAAACAGCAAGAAGCAUUUGAUAUGAUCAAGAAUUAUUUGUGCACUCCUUCGGUGAUGAAAGCACCCAAGCAUAGGGAACCCUUCAUGCUUUACAUUGCAGCAGAGGAAGGAGUUAUUGGUGCUGUUCUGACUCAAGAAAUCAAAGGAAAAGAGCAUGCCAUCACUUAUUUGAGCCGCCGUUUAUUGGAUGCCGAGACAAGGUAUACAUUUAUUGAAAAAUUAUGUCUAUGUUUAUAUUAUGCUUGCACAAAAUUGAGACAUUAUUUAGUGUCGAAUGCUUGCACAAUAGCUUGUCAGACCGAUGUCAUUAAAUACAUGUUGCAUAGACCAAUUCUUAGUGGUAGAAUUGGCAAGCGGGCUUAUGCUUUGAUUGAAUAUGAUUUGGCUUAUGAAUCUCUAAAAUCCAUGAAAGGCCAAAUCAUUGCUAAUUUUAUUAUUGAACAUCGGAUUGAUGACAAACAUGAUGUUGAUAUAAACCUUGUCUCACUAGUACCAUGGAGAUUAUAUUUUGAUGGUUCGGUUUGUAGCAAUGGACAAGGUGUUGGUAUUGUUUACAUAUCUCCUCAUGGUGCUGUUUUUGAAGCCUCAUGCCACUUAGAAUAUUUUUGUACAAACAAUCAGGCCGAAUAUGAAGCAUUAUUAUUCGGCCUAGAGAUGUUACUUGCUAUAGGUGUUACACAUAUUGAGGCUUAUGGUGAUUCGUUAUUAGUAGUGCAACAAAUAUCCAAAGUCUUUCAAUGUUUUGACGAAUCACUUAAUGUUUAUCUUGAUAAAUGUUUAGAUAUAAUUUCUACUUUGGAUUUUUUUAGCAUUGCUCAUAUAUCUAGACAUGACAAUUGGAAAGCAAAUGAGUUGGCACAACAAGCAUCCGGCUACCAUGUUGAUCGUGGCAUGUUUCAUACCGAUGUCUAGUCUUGCCAACAUAGGGGAGGCCAAACCGGAGCCCACCGUUUUGGUCACUAAUGAAAUAUUCAAUGCAGGAGAAAAUCAAGACUGGAGGAAACCCAUUGUUGAUUAUCUGUGUGAUCCUAGUAGAAGGGUGGAUAGGGCUGUUCGGCGUAUAGCUUUUAAAUACAUAAUGAGAGAUGAUGGUCUCUACCGCCGAACGGUUGAUGAUGUUCUUCUAAAGUUCUUGGACGAGGACCAAUCGAGAGUUGCUAUGGGGGAGGUCCAUGAAGGUAUUUGUGGCACUCAUCAUUCGGCUCCCAAGAUGAAAUGGUUGCUACGACGUGCUGGAUUUUAUUGGCUGACUAUGAUUAAUGAUUGCUUCAGAUAUUACAAAGGGUGUGAAGCUUGUCAAAAAUUUGGUGAUAUUCAGUUGGCUCCUGCUGCUAUGUUACAUCCCAUUAUCAAGUCGUGGCCUUUCAAAGGGUGGGGUUUAGACUUUAUUGGACAAAUUCAUCCGUCUUCCUCAAAGGGGCAUCAGUUCGUAUUGGUGGCAACCGAUUAUUUCACUAAAUGGUAUGAAGCAGUACCUCUCGAGAACGACACAUGCAGAGGUAAUUAAAUUCAUAACCGAUCACAUUAUUCAUAGAUUCGACAUUCCUCAAACGUUGACUACAAAUCAAGGCUCAUCUUUUAUGUCACACCAAGUCAGAGAAUUUGCCGAAUCUCAUAACAUAAAGUUGCUCAAUUCCUCUCCAUAUUAUACCCAAGCCAAUGGACAAGCCGAGUCUAGCAAUAAAAUUUUAGUCAAACUCAUCAAGAAGAAGAUUGAGGAUAAUCCAAGGAGAUGGCAUGAGUUGUUGUUCGAGGCUUUGUGGGCACAUAGGAUCUCAAGUCAUGGUGCUACGAAGGUGACUCCAUAUGAGCUAGUAUAUGGUCAAGAGGCUGUUUUACCGGUGGAAGUAAAUUUGAAUGCUUUGAGAAUAGCCAAACAAAAUGAUUUAUCGACAGUAGACUUUUAUAACUUAAUGAUGGACAACAUUGACGAAGUUGCCGAUAAACGUUUGGCUGCUUUGGAGGCCAUAGAGAGAGACAAGUUGAGGCUGGCAAGAGCUUACAAUAAGAAGGUCAAGUUGAAGAAUUUUCAAGUUGGCGAUCUUGUAUGGAAAGUGAUUCUACCGAUUGGUUCAAAAGAUAGAAAAUUCGAGAAGUGGUCUCCAAGUUGGGAAGGUCCUUUUAGGAUCGCAAAAGUAGUUCCCGGAAAUUCAUAUUUGGUGGAAUCCAUGCAAGGGGCAUUGUUACCUCGAGCUCUCAAAGGCAAAUACUUGAAGAAAUACCGCCUGAGCUUGUGGCAAGAAGCCUAAAUAGGCAAUGGCCGAUACAUAAUUAUCGCCCUAAGAAAAAUAAAUGGCCGAUGGAGUGUUGACAUCGUCCUUAGAACAAACACAGUACAAGUUAUUUUUUGGCACAUAAGCUUUGCCAAAAAAACAGGGGGGCAUGUGCUGACACCAGAUUUUGGCAUGGUCAAGAAUUCGGGUUCGUAUGCAAAAAGUUAGAGACAACACUUCACGGGCCGGCCCCGAGUGAGAAAGUAUUUGGCCUUUGCCGACUGAAUGAAAACCUUGCCGGGGUAAAACCUUGCCGGUGUGAAGGCUUGCCGGCGUGGAAAGCUUGCCGGCGCAGAAAGCUCGCCGUUGUGGAAGCUUGCCGGUGUGAAAUCUUGCCGGGGAGGAACCCUUGCCGGGGUAGAAACCUUGCCGAGGUAAAACCUUGCUGAUGUGAAAUCUUGCCGGGGGAGAUACCUUGCCGGGGAGGAACCCUUGCUGGGGUAGAAACCUUGCCGGGGUAAAACCUUGCUGAUGUAAAGGCUUGCCGGGUAGAAACCUUGCCGGUGUGGAAAGCUUACCCGGGUGGAAAGCCUGUCGGGGUGGAGGCUAUGAUAGUCAAGCCGACGAGAAGUUGAAGAUGGGAUGAAAAGGUUAUUCAGAUGAUCUUGGAUGGAAAAGUCUUCUACAUGGAAGUUGCGCGUCUCAUCAAAACAAUCGAUUUUGAUAUAAAGAACGUGUCAAUUCGAGGUUGUAUGCAAAAGUUAGAGCCCGCACAGCGAGACCCUCCAGCGAGAAAAAUAUGACGCCCGGAACGAGACACAUAUGUGGGUAUGUCUGAUGAGCCGCGUGACUCGUCGAAAUGGUCAAGAUUGCUUUUGGGCUCAUUUCCAUCCGAGGUCAUUUGCCACCACAAAAAGGACCCGCAAAGUACAGCCAGUUUAAACAGAACAGUUUUGGAAAGUUCAAAUAAAAACAAUCCGAAUUUGACUAGGGUUUUGGACGUGAUUUGAUGUAAUUUUCUUGUAAGGAAAGCCUAGAUAAAUCCUUUGCUUGUACGGGAAGUCCAGCCGCCUCUUAUAUAUGUUGGGGGUGAUGGCCGAUUGAAACAACACACAAUCGAGCAAAUUAAUAUACUACUUUUUCAGUCUAUGUUUUUAUCUCUCCACCAUUUUUCUCUCUCGUUCUUCGUUGUUCUUCGUGUUUGAGAGCUGCGAAUCUCGAGGCUCUAGGGGCGAGCAAAUUGUCCUAGGGCAUCCCAUAGCUGCCGCGAUCCCUGACGGGGUCCCUCCCGGGUGCACGGGGUUUCAGGUCUGCAAAAGCGCCCGCCGACUGUCUUGCGUAUCGCGCUGUCGGUUGGGUCUCCUUCAACGUGAGCUGCGGUGCAUCGCCCCCGACGUCGAGGGUACACGUGAUGUGUUCGUGUGUCAACAGUAGUAUCUUCCUUUACUCUAAUGAUCAAAAAGAGCAUGUUCAGGAAAAAUAACAGGUACAAUGGGUUUUCUUAUCGAACAUUAAGUUAUAAUUAUAAUUAGUGGCUCCAAAUUUAAUGAACUUAUGAUGCUGCAUGGCACAAAAGUCUAGGUGCUGGGUAGGUAAAAUAGAAGGCCAAGGUGACACAUCUAGCUUCCUAGCUACACAAGAGGCAUAAAUCCCUCCAUAAAAGUGACCACUAUGAGCAUUGUGUUGCAACCUCUAUGCAACAAUUGCUCCAAGAUUAUAACAUUUAAUCCCUGUUAGAGCAGUGUGUAUGAGGAUCAAGUCAGGGGCACAGAGUGUACUACAAUCUUGUUACCGACAAUGCAUUUGCCAUUAAAGAGUGCAAAGUAAUGUAUGGGUGGAAAUUGUAUGCUUUUGAUCCUAGCUUGUGCAACUCCUGUAUCCUCACCACAACAAAGACUAGUUAAGAACAUCUCAUACUCAGAUUUUGGUGGUUCGUCUAUCGAACCCCAAUAUGGAUUUUUGCACGCAACACAGAAUUCUUCUAGAGGCAUGGUGAAAGCACUAUCAUAAUGGCUAAAUGAAACUCUAGAAUCACGAGAAUGAUAUUUAAAUUUCUUGGUGAACGAAUGGGUGAGGUUCAGAUGUUGAAUGCACUUAUCUACGAUGAAGGGAGCAAGCUCGGUGUUGUGAACAUACUGAAUCAAAUUCUUCCUUAAUACCUGCUCCUAUCAUGAACUCAUCACAUGGCCAUAGGCACGAUUUGGUAUCGGCAUCCCGCAUUGAGCUUGCACCCGGCUCAACAUAAGACUGUCUUAUCGAGCUCCCACUCGAUGAUGCCUCAGAGGACCUCCUCCUCAAAGAACUCCUCCUAAAGAGGUGCAUUUUUGUACAAACAAUUUUCUGAAAUUUUUGAGCCACAAAAUGAUAUCAACAAAACUUCACAAGAUUGAUUGCAACUACUCAUAUGGAUGUCUAGAGGCUAUAUCAAGCAUUCAAACUACUUGGAACUAAAAGAAUUCAACAUGCAAGCUCAUUUACAGCAGCACCAAGGGUAGCUAAUUACUCAAAAUAUAAACCACUAGAACAAAACCUAAUUGGAGCAAUGGAGGAGUCACAUACCAACUAGCAAUCGCCCAAAACAGUAUCAGAAAACGGAGCUUCAAGCAAAGAGAUCGAAAUUCGUGGGUUUGAGAGUAAGAACACGAGGGAAAGAGCUACAUGAUUUUUUUUCUGAAGGUAGGUGAUGAAGUGAGCUAAAGGAUAAUGAGGGGGCCCUUGUGGGGCCCACAACCCAACAAGGCGCGCCAGGUGGGUGUGGCGCGCCCUGGUGCCUAGUGGGCACCUGGGGCACCCCUUGUGGUGUUUUCAGUACCAAAAAUUCUCAAAUAUUCAGAAAAAAUUGUGUUAAAAUUUCAGGUCAUUCCGAGCACUUACAUUUUUUGGUACUUUUUUAUUGCACGGAAAAUUCAGAAAACAGGAUAUUCAUGGCAUUUUAUUGUAUUUAACUGAAAAUAACAGAAAACAAAAAGUGGGUACAGAAGGUUGUGCCUACUAGAUUCAUCGACCACAUGCUUCUCGAAAAUAAUUCAUUAAUAAGGUUGAUCAAGUCUUAUUAACAACCACUUUUGAUUAGCAUGAACCCGUAGAAUUUUCGUAAAACACUAAGUUACCUCAACGGGGAUAUGCUCUCCCAAACAAUAAGUGUUCCAUAUUUAUUUUUGACAGUAGGUAGAGGGAGUUGAAAACUUCCAAUAGUAAUUGUCGGAGUCUUUUCAAUAACAUUAAUACCAUUCACCUAAAAUUGUUCCUUCGGAAAGUGCACCAUAUGCUCAUUACCAUUGAUAUUAAAAGCAACCUUGCUUUUGUUGCAAUCAAUAACAGCCUCCGUUGUCGGUGUCAAAACCGGCGGAUCUCGGGUAGGGGGUCCCGAACUGUGGAUCUUAGAUCAAUGUGGAACAAGGGACGUGGGACACGAUAUUUACCCAGGUUCAGGCCCUCUUGAUGGAGGUAAAACCCUACGUCCUGCUCUUGUUUAUAUUGAUGGUGAUGUACCGAUUACAGAGUUGAUCUACCUUGAGAUCGUAUGUUGUGGUCUAAACCCUAAGGGUAUGAUGAAUGUCAUAAUGAUCUAUCGACUAGCCUGGCCUCGGCUUAUAUAAUGUACCAGGGGCCUAGUAUAACAAGAGUCCUAGUCAGAUACGUUGGUGGAGAGGAGUCCUUCUCUUGAUCACCAAGUCUUGUGGAAUCUUCCUCGUACAUGUCACAGGCUGUCCGAACUGGCCCAAUAGUGAACCGCCAUGGGGGUCCUCGACCCGAUCCACCUAGUUGGGAGACGACGUGGUGAGUACCCCCUAGUCUAGGACACCGUCACCCGCAGUGUUCAAAAAGGGCCUACCAAGGAUAAUCGACAUGUUGUCGUCCUCGGGCGUAUCAAGUAUAUCAAAGUUUAUUAAGAUAGUAACAUUUGCAACCACAACAGGCACAUCCUCACAAACAUCGAUGGGUAUGGUAGUUGAUUUGUUAUCCAUUUGCAAUGAUAUUUCAAUGGGUGUAAGUUUUUUCUAUAAAGUCUUUUGUGUAAAGAGAAAGGCAUAACACUAACACCAGCUCCUAAAUUACAUAAGGCAGUUUUGACAUAACUUCUUUUGAUGGAACAUGGUAUAGUUGGUAUUCUCGGGUCUCCUAGUUUCUUAGGUACUCCAUCCUUAAAAGAAUAAUUAGCAAGCAUGGUGGAGAUUUCAGCUUCAGUUAUUUUUCUUUUAUUAGUGACAAUAUCUUUCAUAUAUUUAGCAUAAGGGGCCAUCUUUAAAAUAUCGGUCAAACGAGUACGCAAAAGACUGGCGUAAGCAUUUCAACAAAGCGUUCAAAUUCUUCCUCAGCUUUUUCUUAGAUGGUUUAGGUGGAAAGGGCAUGGGUUUUUGAACCCAUGGUUCUCUUUAUUUACCAUGUUUUCUAGCAACAAUGUCUCUCUUAUCAUACCAUUUAUUUUUAGAAGGUGGGUUAUCAAGAUCAACAUCAGGUUCUAUUUCAGCAUCAUUAUCUGGUUCUUUAUCAUUGUCUCAUUGAGCAUCUAAAUGCACAUCAUCCUUGUCAUUCUCAUUAUCACUAGGUGAAUGUUCAUUACCAGAUUGAGUUUCAACAUCAGAAAUAGAUACAUCAUUAUCAACAUGAGAUGGUUUUUCUACCUCACAUUCACUAGAAGUAUGCAAAGUCCUAUCUUUUUUCUUUUUCUUCUUCUAUACCUAAUAUUAAAGUACGGAGUGAUAACCCACAAGUAUCGGGGAUCGCAACAGUUUUCGAUAAGUAAGAGUGUCGAACCCAACGAGGAGCUAAAGGUAGAACAAAUAUUCCCUCAAGUUCUAUCGACCACCGAUACAACUCUACGCACGCUUGACAUUCGCUUUACCUAGAACAACUAUGAAGCUAGAAGUACUUUGUAGGUCUUGUUGGAUAGGUUUGCAAGAUAAUAAAGAUUACGUAAAUAAAAAGUAGGGGCUGUUUAAGUAAAUAAGCAAUAAAGUAAAUAUAGAGAGUGUGGAAAAGUGGUGAUAGGAGUUGUGAAAUUGCCCCUAAGCAAUUGACUACUUUACUAGACCGAUAGAAAGUAUUAUGUGGGAGAGGCCACUGCUAGCAUGUCAUCCCUGACUUGGAAGUCUAUGCACUUAUGAUUGGAACUAUUAGCAAGCAUCCGCAACUACUAACGUUCAUUAAGGUAAAACCCAACCAUAGCAUUAAGAUAUAUUGGUCCCCCUUCAAUCCCGUAUGCAUCAAUUUCUAUGCUAGGUUGAAGCUUCUGUCACUCUCUGUUUCUGCGUUCUCAGAUUCUGCCCUUUCACCAUUUCUUAUACUCCCGGAGAUCCGUAACUCCGAUUGGGCUGAAAUUUUAACACGAUCUCUACCUGGAUAUUAGCUUUCUUGCGGCGAAAGAAGGGCAUCAACCGCCUCGUGGCCCCCUCGGGCACCGUCUCGCGUGGAUUUUUCUUCCCAAAAAUCAUAUAUAUUCCAAAAAAAAUCUCCGUCAGUUUUUAUCCCGUUUGGACUCCGUUUGAUAUGGAUAUUCUGCGAAACAAAAAACAUGCAAAAAACAUGCAAAAAACAGGAACUGGCACUGGAUCAAUAUGUUAGUCCCAAAAAUAGUAUAAAAAGUUGCCAAAAGUAUAUGAAAGUUGUAGAAUAUUGGCAUGGAACAAUCAAAAAUUAUAGAUAUGACAGAGACGUAUCACGGAGCCUUUCCCGGUUCUCCAUAAGUCACCUAUUUAUAUUUGUUGAUUUUGUGUAAAUCAUAAAGAUUGAUGGUUGAGAUUUAAUGGAUCUACGAUAACUGUUCGGACCAAUAUAGGGACCAAUCAAUUUUCUAUGCUAAAGUUUUCUACACUGUUGGUUCGCUGGCAUGCUAAGUUGGCUUGGGUGAUUUAGUUGUGCGUUGAUGGGCUUUCAUGGAACGCCAACCAUGCAUGGGCUUUUAUCUAUGUGUUCGUUUUCUAGAAAAAAUAUCUAUGCAUUCAUCCCUUGUUUCUUCUCUUCAUCAUUUGUUUUCAAACAAGCGGAUCCUAACACGUCCGUAGGAGUUCGUAUACAACAUCUCCACAUGUCUUAUAAAUACCUCUUCCAAAUCAAACAAUAUCCUGGUAAUCAACCUUAGCGGAAGGCGGUUUGGACGCAAUGGCGCUAUAGUGGGUCGUCCGGUACGUGGUUGCGCCGACACCGGCGCCAUCAUAUUGCCGUCUUCCAUCCACGCGAUGUAUCUCGUCACCUUUUGCAUGAUGGUCUCCCACACCCGCGCCAUCGCCGGCCGGAGCCUCAGGUGCGUUGCAACGCGAUUGAGGGAGUCCUAGAUUAGGGGGUAUCCAGACAGCCGGAUUAUAUCCUUUGGCCGGACUGUUGGACUAUGAAGAUACAAGAUUGAAGACUUCGUCCCGUGUCCGGAUGGGACUCUACUUGGCGUGGAAGUCAAGCUAGGCAAUACGGAUAUAUAUAUCUCCUCCUUUGUAACCGACCUUGUGUAACCCUAGCCCUCUCCGGUGUCUAUAUAAACCGAAGGGUUUUAGUCCGUAGGACAACAUACAGUCAUACCAUAGGCUAGCUUCUAGGGUUUAGCCUCUCCGAUGUCGUGGUAGAUCUACUCUUGUACUACUCAUAUUAUCAAGAAUAAUCAAGCAUGACGUAGGGUUUUACCUCCAUCAAGAGGGACCGAACCUGGGUAAAACAUCGUGUCCCCUGCCUCCUGUUACCAUCCGCCUUAGACGCACAGUUCGGGACCCCCUACCCGAGAUCUGCCGGUUUUGACACCGACAUUGGUGCUUUCACUGAGAGUUCCUCUGUGUCGUCGUCAUUAGGCCCGAUGGCUCCUUCAAUCAUCGAUAGCAAUGGAGUCCAGUGUGAGACUUUUCUCCCCAGACAGAUCUUUGUAUUCGGUGGCUUCGCACCGCAGGCCAAUUCGCUUGGCCAUCUGGAGCAGAUCGAGAGUUAUGCCCCUGGCCAUCAGGUCAGGUUUGGAAGCUUAAACUACACGGCUAUAUCCGCGGAGACUUGAUCUUCGACGGAUUCGAGCCCCUGCCUAGUGCGCCACACAGUCAUGAUGAGCAUGAUUUAGCUCUACCAUCGGACAGUGUUCAGGAGAUCGCACCGGCAACCGCUCCGACCCUCAAUUCGGAACCAGUUGCGCCAUCCAUGGAUGGGUGGAUAGACCCCGCCACGGAGGCCGCAUCCUCAGCGGCGAUCGAGCCAAGUAUCGACCUUACCCCUCACAAGAGCCAUGAUGCCAAGCUGCCAGAUCCUUCCCCGGCCACAGACUCCGAACCGCCUGCGCCCGUGCCUAUCGAAUCAGACUGGGCACCGAUCAUGGAGUUUACCUCCGCGUAUAUCUUUCAGUACUCGCCCUUCGGCGACAUACUAAACUCAUUAAGGUCUCUCUCCUUGUCAGGAGAGUCCUGGCCGAACUAUGUCCAGCAGGAUUGGGAUGCGGACGACGAAGAAAUUCACCGCCCACCCACCACCCACUUAGUACCAUUGUCGACGACUUGACCAACAUGCUCGACUUCGACUCUGAAGACAUCGACGGCAUGGACGAUGAUGCAGGAGCCGAACAAGAACCACUGCCCACAGGGCACUGGACAGCCACCUCAUCAUAUGAUAUAUAUAUGGAAGGCAAUGGCGACGAGACAGCGGAGGAUGACCCCUCCAAGAAGCAACCCAAGCGCCAACGUCAGCGACGCCGCUCUAAGUCUCGCCAAGCCAAAAGCGGUGAUACCGACACAGGAUAUAAUAGCACUCCGGACAAUACCGAAGACAACAACAAUCCUCUCCAGCAAGAUUUAGAGCAGGAGGAUGGAGAAGCCAGCCCUCCCGAGAGAGCGGGAGAUGGAGAGGCGGAGGAUGAUCAUUACAUGCCUCCCUCCGAAGACGAGGCGAGCCUCGACAAUGAAGAAUUUGUCGUGCCUAAGGAUCCCGUCGAACAAGAACGCUUCAAGCGUCGGCUUAUAGCCACGGCAAAUAGCCUUAAGAAAAAGCAACAACAGCUUCAAGCUGAUCAAGAUUUGCUAGCUGACGGAUGGACUGAAGUCCUUGCGGCCGAGGAAUCACUACAAGAAAUAUGUCAACUAGUGACCUUCUAUCAGUGACCCUGGAAGAAUUGGUCAUAGAUCUAUGACCAUUUCAGACCAAUUGGUCAAAAGCUGUUCGGGGGGUUCCAAACCCUAAACUACAACGACCAUUUUGGUCAGAAGGGUCGUAAUUUCCUUACACGAAAUGGUCAUAAAGCAGAUAGCACUGGUCCGCUGCCUUAUUUCUAGCUGAUCAUGACCAAUAUAGAUGGUCAUAACCUUGUAAAUUGUGGUGGGUUGCUAUGACUAGGCGCCACCUCAUCAAUUUUGCCUAUGUGUCAUGUCCAUGUGGCAGUUUUUGCCCUAGGUUGUGAAGCAACCUAUAUUUCUGUCAUUCCCAAAAUUCCCAAAAAAAUCUCAUAAAUUAUUUGGGUCAUAUCUUCGUCAAAUAUGUAAAAAACCUUCCUUGCGUAGUUCAAAAAUAAUUCAAAAAUAUUCAUUUUCCUAUUAUGUUCAGAAAAACACUUUGUGAAGGAAGUACCACUUUGGCAUGUCCAAAUGGUAUCCAUUUUCUACAGUGCUUUCCUCUACCCAAAUUACCAUCCUCCACCAAAUGCCAGCUCAAUCCAUUCAUUAUUUUGAGCCCGGCUUGAACAUUCGUAUUUAUGUUCAGUGUGGUACUUUGCAAAGCAAGUACCACCUAGGCUCCUCCUUUUGAGUUAAAAAUUUGUGAUGACGGUCUUCUUAGUAAUUGAUCAUCCUCAGCCAAAACUCACACCCAUUAGCCAUGUGCAUUUCCCGUACCGCUAAUCAAACACUUGGCUGCUUAUUAAUGUUUCAGCAUCGAUCGGUCUCCUCGUGAGAAUCUUAUGUUGUGAUUUUCUUCCUAGCACCUACCUGGAGAGUUCCCAACCCACUAGACAUUACUAGGCAGCCCAGAACACAUGGCAACGCCACGGUCACGCGGUGACCACGCGGCGGGCAUGCGAGUUUACGCGCUCUAGAGUUGGGGCCCUCGGCCACCGUCCAAACCACGACGUAUCGCCACCAAACCAUGUAUUUAUGAUUAAAUAGGUACUUAUGUAACUAGAAAUGAUUUUUGGAAAAAAAUAAAUAGCAACCUAUGAGGCAGCUGUAGUUCAAAUUUGAUCCGCUUCCACCAGAAUCAGCGGGAAUUUGUCUUUUUCACCAGAGGUGGAUCAAAAAUUUUGACACCCAAUCAUUUUGUCAAUUGUGCAUUAAAUAUGGCCUAGUAUUUUAUAAAAUUGAUUUGGUCCAAUUUAGCAACAAAUAUAUGGUAGGUCCUUCAUAAAAGAACUCAUUUCAGGCACUCAGAAAAUAGAAAAUAAAUUUUCCGUGCAAAUAAAAUGAAAAAUUCCUUAGGUAACAUUGUUUGCCAUUCCAAGAUGCACCCUUGUGCACAAUAUGAGAUCAUUUGAACAAACUAUGCCAUGAAUGUGGCCAUAAGAUUGAUCACUUUGGCUUGAAAGCCAUGAAUCUUCACGCAUGAUAGCUCAUUUCUGAGAACACUUUUUUAAAGUAAUUUCCCUAUUACAAGUUUAUUAUAUUUCUUGGAAACUUGGUCACAUAUAAUGACACAAUGCGAAACUUUUCCAAUUUUUUGAUUUUUUUGAAUUUUUUAUGCCCGUUUCAAAAUGCGGUCAAAACGGCGGGCUUGACCGUUCCUAGCUAGUGGUUGAAUCUUGGAAAGCUUUUGAUGUUUCUAUGAUUAAAUAGAUACUUAUUUACCUAGAAAUGAUUUUUGGAAAAAAUAAAAAGCAAACUAUGAGGAACCUGCGGUUCAAAUUUGACCCGCUUCCAACUGAAUCGGUGGGAAUUUGUCUUUUUCACCAGAGGUGGAUCAAAACUUUUGACACCCAACCAUUUUGUCAAUUAUGCAUUAAAUAUGGCCUAGUAUUUUAUAAAAUUUAUUUGGUCCAAUUUUGCAACAAAUAUAUGGUAGGUCCUUCAUAAGAAAACCUCAUUUGGGGCACUCGAAAAAUGGAAAUGGCUCUUUUGUGCAAUGAAAGUGAAAACUCCCUUGGGCAACAUUGUUUGGAAUUACAAGAUGCACCCUUGUGCACAAUAUGAGAUCAUUUAAACAAACUAUGCCAUGAAUGUGGCCAUAAGAUUGAUCAUUUGGCUUGAAAGCCAUGAAUCUUCACGCAUGAUAGCUCAUUUCUGAGAACACUUUUUAAAAAUAAUUUCCGUAUUACAAGUUUAUUAUUUUUCUUGGAAACUUGGUCACAUAUAAUGACACAAUGCGAAUGUUUUUCAAUUUUUUGAUUUUUUUGAAUUUUUUAUGCCCGUUUCAAAAUGCGGUCAAAACGGCGGGCUAGACCGUUCCUAGCUAGUGGUUGAAUCUUGGAAAACUUUUGUUGUUUCUCUAAUUAAAUAGAUACUUAUUUACCUAGAAAUGAUUUUUGGAAAAAAGAAAGAGCAAACUAUGAGGCUCCUGCAGUUCAAAUUUGACCCGCUUCCAACUAAAUUGACGGGAAUUUGUCUUUUUCACCAGAGGUGGAUCAAAACUUUUGACACCCAACCAUUUUAUCAAUAAUGCAUUAAAUAUGGCCUAUUAUUUUAGAAAAUUGAUUUGGUCCAAUUUUGCAACAAAUAUAUGGUAGGUCCUUCACAAAAAAAACUCAUUUCAAGCACUCGGAAAAUGGAAAAUGGCUCUUUUGUGCAAAGAAAUUGAAAACUCCCUUAGGCAACAUUGUUUGGAAUUACAAGAUGCACCCUUGUGCACAAUAUGAGAUCAUUUAAACAACUGUGCCAUGAAUGUGGCCAUAAGAUUGAUCAUUUGGCUUGAAAGCCAUGAAUCUUCACGCAUGAUACCUCGUUUCUGAGAACACUUUUUUAAAAUAAAUGUCGUAUUACAAGUUUAUUAUUUUUCCUAGAAACUUGGUCACAUAUAAUGACACAAUGCGAAGGUUUUCCAAUUUUUUUUGAUUUUUUUGAAUUUUGAUGCCCAUUUCAAAAUGCGGUCAAAACGGCGGGCUUGCCCGUUCCUAGCUAGUGGUUGAAUCUUGAAUUUUUUUGAUGUUUGUGUGAUUAAAUAGAUACUUAUGUACCUGGAAAUGAUUUUUGGAAAAAAAAUAAAUAGCAAACUAUGAGGCAGCUACAGUUCAAAUUUGACCCGCUUCCUGCUAAAUCGGCGGAAAUUUGUCUUUUUCACCAGAGGCGGAUCAAAACUUUUGACACCCAACCAUUUGGUUAAUUGUGCAUUAAACAUGGCCUAGUAUUUUAGAAAAUUGAUUUGGUCCAAUUUUUCAACAAAUAUAUUGUAGAUCUUUCAAAAACAAAGCUCAUUUCGGGCAUUCGAAAAAUGGAAAACAAAGUUUUAGUCAACUGUGACCAAUUUUUUAGUUAACUACGACCAAUAUAGAUGGUCAUGACAUCAUACGCGUGUAUUGCAUUUUGAUUGGUCUGUGGGUGUUUCACGCGGAUCAUGGAUGGAUCACCGUCGGAUGCUCCUGGAUCCAACGGCUGUCCUCACCCGAAGCCCACCUAAGCCGAAACCCUAGCUGUCCUGAGUCCUCGUGCACAUUUUCCAUCCACCCCCACCUCCUUUGUUUCUCUCCUCACUCUCAGAACACAUGGCAACACCACGGUCACGCGGUGACCACGCGGCGGGCAUGCGAGUUUACGCGCUCUAGAGUUGGGGCCCUCGGCCACCAUCCAAACUUCGACGUAUUGCCACCAAACCAUGUAUUUAUGAUUAAAUAGGUACUUAUGUAACUAGAAAUGAUUUUUGGAAAAAUAAAUAGCAAACUAUGAGGCAGCUGCAGUUCAAAUUUGACCCGCUCCCUACUGAAUCGGCAGGAAUUUGUCUUUUUCACCAGAGGUGGAUCAAAACUUUUGACACCCAACCAUUUUGUCAAUUGUGCAUUAAAUAUGACCUAGUAUUUUAUAAAAUUGAUUUGGUCCAAUUUUGCAACAAAUAUAUGGUAGGUCCUUCAUAAAAAAACUCAUUUCAGGCACUCGGAAAAUGGAAAAUGAAUUUUCCGUGCAAAGAAAAUGAAAACUUCCUUAGGCAACAUUGUUUGACAUUCCAAGAUGCACCCUUGUGCACAAUAUGAGAUCAUUUGAACAAACUAUGCCAUGAAUGUGGCCAUAAGAUUGAUCAUUUUGGCUUGAAAGCCAUGAAUCUUCACACAUGAUAGCUCAUUUCAGAGAACACUUUUUUAAAAUAAUUUCCGUAUUACAAGUUUAUUAUUUUUCCUGGAAACUUGGUCACAUAUAAUGACACAAUUCGAAGGUUUUUCCAAAUUUUUUGAUUUUUUUGAAUUUUUUAUGCCCGUUUCAAAAUGCGGUCAAAACGGCGGGCUUGACCGUUUCUAGCUAGUGGUUGAAUCUUGGAAAACUUUUGCUGUUUCUCUGAUUAAAUAGAUACUUAUUUACCUAGAAAUGAUUUUUGGAAAAAAUAAAAAGCAAACUAUGAGGCACCUGCAGUUCAAAUUUGACCCGCUUCCAACUGAAUCGACGGGAAUUUGUCUUUUUCACUAGAGGUGGAUCAAAACUUUUAACACCCAGCCAUUUUGUCAAUUAUGCAUUAAAUAUGGCCUAGUAUUUUAGAAAAUUGAUUUGGUCCAAUUGUGCAACAAAUAUAUGGUAGGUCCUUCACAAAAAAACUCAUUUCGGGCACUCGGAAAUUGAAAACUCCCUUAGGCAACAUUAUUUGGAAUUCCAAGAUGCACCCUUGUGCACAAUAUGAGAUCAUUUAAACAAACUGUGCCAUGAAUGUGACCAUAAGAUUGAUCAUUUGGCUUGAAAGCCAUGAAUCUUCACGCAUGAUAGCUCGUUUCCGAGAACACUUUUUUAAAAUAAAUGCCGUUUUACAAGUUUAUUAUUUUUCCUAAAAACUUGGUCACAUAUAAUGACACAACGCGAAGGUUUUCCAAUUUUUUUGAUCUUUUUUGAAUUUUUAUGCCCGUUUCAAAAUGCGGUCAAAAUGGCGGGCUUAACCAUUCCUAGCUAGCGCUUGAAUCUUGAAUUUUUUUGAUGUUUCUCUGAUUAAAUAGAUACUUAUGUACUUGGAAAUGAUUUUUGGAAAAAAUAAAUAGCAAACUAUGAGGCAGCUACAGUUCAAAUUUGACCCGCUUCCUGCUGAAUCGGCGGGAAUUUGUCUUUUUCACCAGAGGCGGAUCAAAACUUUUGAGACCCAACCAUUUGGUUAAUUGUGCAUUAAACAUGGCCUAGUAUUUUAGGAAAUUGAUUUGGUCCAAUUUUGAAACAAAUAUAUUGUAGAUCUUUCAAAAACAAAGCUCAUUUCGGGCAUUCGAAAAAUGGAAAACAAAGUUUUAGUCAACUGCGACCAAUUUUUUAGUUAACUACGACCAAUAUAGAUGGUCAUGACAUCGUACGCGUGUAUUGCAUUUUGAUUGGUCCGUGGGCGUUUCACGCGGAUCAUGGAUGGAUCACCGUCGGAUGCUCCCGGAUCCAACGGCUGUCCUCACCCGAAGCCCACCUAAGCCGAAACCCUAGCUGUCCUAAGUCCUCGAGCACAUUUUCCAUCCACCCCCGCUUUCUUUCUUUCUGUCCUCACUCUCUUCUCCUUCCUCUCGCACCUCUACCGCCCGCACGCGCCCCUCACCUCCUCCGAGACUGUCGGAGACCCCCACCCUUGCGGAUCCAACGCGCCGGCGCCUCCUCCGAUCCAGAUCGACACGCCCCUUCCGUCUCCCCCGCCGUUGCCGCCCCUUCCUCCCCCAGCCCCGACCACCCCCUUCCGCCACCCCCGCCCCCUCCACCUAAUCCGCCGCUGCCUCGAUGCCAUUGCGUAUGCCGACAGUAGCAGCAACCCGCUGCUCGCCGACUUCUUCUUCCCGCCCUUCGACCGCGUCGAGCCUACGCAACUCUCUGUCUCUUCCAUUCCCCUCCCGAUUCAUGCCCAUCCCACGGCGCCGCCGCCGCCGCCCAACACCCCCACCCUGGCGACCUCCCCACCGGCGAGCCCCUACAUACGUCGCGUGCACCUUCUCUCUUAGUCCCAGAUCGACCCAGCGGCCAGGACCCACGCGAAGCGACGGAGAUCGGCUGCGUCGCCCCGCUACCGCCUCCUUCCUUCCUCCCUCGGGGCGCUCGAAGACCCCGUGCUCGCUGCACCUCCUCGGCUCCGACCUUCUCCAAGCCAUCCAUGGAGCUCCAUCAUCAAGCUGCCUGAUUCGUUUCGAUUUUCUUCUGCUUUUGUUUGUUGGUCAGUUCUGUACUGUUGGUGAUGCCAUGGUCCUCCCUUUCCAUUGCUGCAGGAGAAGAAGAAAAAACCCGAGCAGGGAGGGAGGAAGCAAGGAAGGUCACCAUGGACCUCGCCCAACUCCCACCCUGCAGCUGCAGGUAACCCCCUCCCUCUUCCUGCCUUGUCAGACCUGAAGAUGCAGUAUCUGAGAUAUUCAGUGAACGUUGUGGAUGCCGCCUCUCUCCAUCUCUCCUAGUGCCCGAAACCAUCCUCCCCUUGUCUUCUUCUAGUUUGUUUUGUUAUUAUCUCCACAUCUGAUUUGUGCAGUUUGUGCACAUCUUGUCUGGUUGUCUGAAGGAAUGGGGCGGUGAUGCGUGCAGGUUCAGGAGAAUAAGCCAUGGAUGAGGAAGACUAAGGAGGAGCGGAGGGAGAUGGUCGAGUCCUUCGUCGACACUUACUGCCCCAUAUCUUUCCCCACUCGCCUUAGUUAUAGUUUUGAAUUUUGUGUGUAGGCAUGUACAAUCUAAUUAACAUCCUCAUUCUUCUGAUUGUUUGUGCUAAAAUGAAGUUGCCAGUAGGAUUUACUUCACACGUUUAUUGUAUUUAUUUCUUGGUGCCCUCUAUUUGUUAUUAGGAUUUAUUUAGUUCACAUGCUUUUGCGGCUGUUGGUAGUUUUUUUUGCAACCCUUUGUAGAAAGUUUGCAUUGCAAGCCUACUUCUCUAGCACAUUGUUUCUUAGAAUCAUGAUGCAACCUAUAUGUUCUAUGAUUUUGAUGUUUUUUUGUGGCGUGAUCUAGACUAUGAUUAUCCACUGUUCUUAUUUUUGCAAUUUGGUCUAUAUGAUUGAAUGCAAUGUUGAGAAAGUGUGUCUUCCUCUUGAGCAUCAUUUUGAGCAAAUGUUUUAUAUAGAAGUUGCCGCCACGGGUUCAAUUUGUUUCGAUUUGGCUGGGUAUGAGUCCCCCUGUUGCAAGGUGACGACUUGUCUCUCCCUUUGUUCGUUUCGCUCUGGCCACCAUCAAGUGUUUGAUUGGAGAAUACGCGAGGAGAAUAUGUCAUGUAUUUCAUUAGACAAAUAAUACUGCCUAUAUUUGCAUGCUUGAGGAAUGUGUCAAAUACUUGUUAUGUACAUGUAGUGGCACGAGAGUCAAGAUUUACUAGUGCUUGCCUUCUUGUGUUAUCUGGACACAUUGGUUAAUCUACUUUUCUUGUGAUUUCCCAAUUCAAUAUCUAAGAAAUGAAUCUAUAGACUUUAAUGAAUUCAAUGUAUGAUCCUGAUGAGAAUUAUAUGAUAUCUACCUGUUUUUAUCCUUGACCAGUAUCAAUUGUGGUAGCUCUUAAGCGACACAUACUUUUUCUCGCUCCGAGUUCCUAAGCAUGGUAUUAUAUUUUUGUUAGCUAGAACAUACACUCUUUGAAUUUCCUGAACAUUAGUAGCUAACUAAGUUGUGCCCCAUUAAUGCCUCAAUUGUUACAUUACAUCCAACGUUUUUGAGUCGCCGACUAAUCGCCGAGUCGUCGCAGCAUGGUUGGCUCGCGCAGGCGACUUGACUCAGGAAGCGAGUCGCGCGACUCGCUUGCUCGCCCGCGACUUGACGCGAUUAGUCAGCGGCUAGUAGCCACCAGUCGCGUGGUGUGACGCCCCGAUUCAAUCAUACACUAAUCAUACACGCAAACGUGUACGAUCAAGAUCAGGGACUCACGGGAAGAUAUCACAACACAACUCUACAAAUAAAAUAAGUCAUACAAGCAUCAUAUUACAAGCCUGGGGCCUCGAGGGCUCGAAUACAAGAGCUCGAUCAUAGAUGAGUUAGCGGAAGCAACAAUAUCUGAGUACAGACAUAAGUUAAACAAGUUUGCCUUAAGAAGGCUAGCACAAACUGGGAUACAGAUCGAAAGAGGCGCAGGCCUCCUGCCUGGGAUCCUCCUAACUACUCCUGGUCGUCGUCAGCGGGCUGCACGUAGUAGUAGGCACCUCCGGUGUAGUAGGAGUCGUCGUCGACGGUGGCGUCUGGCUCCUGGACUCCAGCAUCUGGUUGUGACAACCAGGUAGAAGGGAAAGGGGGAAAAGAAGGAGAAAGCAACCAUGAGUACUCAUCCAAAGUACUCACAAGCAAGGAGCUACACUACAUAUGCAUGUGUAUAUAUGUAAAGGCUAUAUCGGUGGAUUGAACUGCAGAAUGCCAGAAUAGGAGGGGAUAGCUAAUCCUGUCGAAGACUACGCUUCUGGCAGCCUCCAUCUUGCAGCAUGUAGAAGAGAGUAGACUGAAGUCCUCCAAGUAGCAUUGCAUAGCAUAACCCUAACCGAUGAUCCUCCCCUCGUCGCCCUGUGAGAGAGCGACCACCGAUAGUAUCUGGCACUUGGAAGGGCGUGUUUUAUUAAGUAUCCGGUUCUAGUUGUCAUAAGGUCAAGGUACAAUUCCAAGUCGUCCUGUUACCGAAGAUCACGGCUAUUCGAAUAGAUUAACUUCCCUGCAGGGGUGCACCACAUAACCCAACACGCUCGAUCCCAUUUGGCCGGACACACUUUCCUGGGUCAUGCCCGGCCUCGGAAGAUCAACACGUCGCAGCCCUACCUAGGCACAACAGAGAGGUCAGCACGCCGGUCUAAAUCCUAUGGCGCAGGGGUCUGGGCCCAUCGCCCAUUGCACACCUACACGUUGCGUACGCGGCCGGAAGCAGAACUAGCCCCCUUAAUACAAGAGCAGGCUUACGGUCCAAUCCGGCGCGCGCCACUCAGCCGCUGACGUCACGAAGGCUUUGGCUGAUACCACAACGUCGAGUGCCCAUAACUGUCCCCGCGUAGAUGGUUAGUGCGUAUAGGCCAGUAGCCAGACUCAGAUCAAAUACCAAGAUCUCGUUAAACGUGUUAAGUAUCCGCGAACACCGACCAGGGCCAGGCCCACCUCUCUCCUAGGUGGUCUCAACCUGCCCUGUCGCUCCGCCACAAAGUAACAGUUGGGGGCCGUCAGGAACCCAGGCCCACCUCUACCGGGAUGGAGCCACCUGCCCCUUCAGCCCCCAACUCUAAAUAGUACCACAUGUAUUGUAACUGUGUAAAGUAUAUAGUAUAAGCCCGUGAUCACCUCCCGAAGUGAUCACGGCCUAGUAGUAUAGCAUGGCAGACGGACAAGAGUGUAGGGCCACUGAUGGAACACUAGCAUCCUAUACUAAGCAGUAGGAUAGCAGGUAAUGGUAACAACAGUAGUAGCAAGGACAGGCUAUGCAUUAGGAUAGGAAUAACGGAAAGCAGUAACAUGCUACACUACUCUAAUACAAGCAGUAUAGAGAAGAGUAGGCGAUAUCUGGUGAUCAAAGGGGGGCUUGCCUGGUUGCUCUGGCAAGAGAGAGGGGUCGUCAACUCCGUAGUCGUACUGGGUAGCAGCGGCGUCGGUCUCGGUGUCUAGCGAGAGAAGAGGGGGAAGAAACAAUAAAUAUAAUGCAAACAAAUGCAUGACGAUGCAUGACAUGACAAAGUGUGGUGCUAGGUGUGCCCUAACACGGUACGAGGGGGUACCGGUGAAGGGGGGAAACAUCCGGGAAAGUAUCCCCGGCGUUUUGCGUUUUCGGGCAGAGGAGCCGGAGGGGGAAAGUUGCGAGUUGGAUAGGUUAGGGAUGCGUGGCGGACGAACGGGCUGCGUAUCCGGGUUCGUCUCGUCGUUCAGAGCAACUUUCAUGUUGAAAAUAUUUUCAUCCGAGGUACGGUUUAUUUUAUAUUAAUUUUAAAAGAUUUAAAUCAUAUUUAAGAUUAAUUUAAAUAUUUUAAGUCAACAUUAUCCAAAAUAGUGUUUGCUUACGUCAUCAUGACAUCAGCAGUCAACAGAGGUAUUGGCUGGGUCGCUGACGUGUGGGACCCACUGGUCAUACUCUGUUAGUUAAUUAACAGUAGUUAAUUAGGUUAAUUAGUCAUUAGGUUAAUUAACCUUAAUUGGUUAUUUUAAUCAGAAUUAAUUAAGUUAAUUAUUUAGUUAAUUAAUUAAUUAAUUUUAUUAUUAUUUAUUUAUUUAUUAUAUAUAUAUUUUUUAAAAAUUCUUUUUUUUAAACGUUCUGGGCAGGGGGCCCACUUGUCAUUGGCCCUGGGGGCCUAGUGGGUUUGCGGGUGCGGGCACCGGGCGUCGGCGCCCGACUGGGCGAGCGCCCAGAUCGACAGGAAGGGGGGGGGGGCAGCCACGGGCGUGGCGAGGCCGCCGGCGCCCACGACGCAGGCCAAGGGAACGGAGGGCGGCAAGAGCAGCAGCAGGGGAGACGGCCAUGGUGGGCGCGCACGAGACGGGGCGCGUGCGAGGCGGUGAGCCGUCCGAGCAUGCAGGGGAGAGCAGCACAGCGGGCGCAGCGGGGAGCGCGUGGGUGGCCACGGCGGGNNNNNNNNNNNNNNNNNNNNNNNNNNNNNNNNNNNNNNNNNNNNNNNNNNNNNNNNNNNNNNNNNNNNNNNNNNNNNNNNNNNNNNNNNNNNNNNNNNNNNNNNNNNNNNNNNNNNNNNNNNNNNNNNNNNNNNNNNNNNNNNNNNNNNNNNNNNNNNNNNNNNNNNNNNNNNNNNNNNNNNNNNNNNNNNNNNNNNNNNNNNNNNNNNNNNNNNNNNNNNNNNNNNNNNNNNNNNNNNNNNNNNNNNNNNNNNNNNNNNNNNNNNNNNNNNNNNNNNNNNNNNNNNNNNNNNNNNNNNNNNNNNNNNNNNNNNNNNNNNNNNNNNNNNNNNNNNNNNNNNNNNNNNNNNNNNNNNNNNNNNNNNNNNNNNNNNNNNNNNNNNNNNNNNNNNNNNNNNNNNNNNNNNNNNNNNNNNNNNNNNNNNNNNNNNNNNNNNNNNNNNNNNNNNNNNNNNNNNNNNNNNNNNNNNNNNNNNNNNNNNNNNNNNNNNNNNNNNNNNNNNNNNNNNNNNNNNNNNNNNNNNNNNNNNNNNNNNNNNNNNNNNNNNNNNNNNNNNNNNNNNNNNNNNNNNNNNCCAGGCAGCGACGUGCGCGCGGGGGAGAGGGGCGAGGGGAUCGGGAUCUCCUCCCGAUCCAGAUCCGAACGAGGGGAGUGGGGGGGAGCGAGUGGGGCGACGGGGUGGUUAGGGUUUCGGGGAUGAGUGGGAUAAGGGAGGUGUGGGGGGAGGCCGGUUGGGCUUGCGGCCGAAUGGGCCGGCCUGCUGGGCCGAAGCCCAGUGGGGGCCUUUCUUUCUUUCUUUUUUGUAUUUUCUUUUAUUAUUUCUUUUCUGUUUUAGUUCAUUUAAAAGCAUUUAGGCAUUUUAUAAAAAUGUGUUUACUACACCAUAUUUAUCUAUGUAAUAUUUAGUACAAACCGAACAUUUUUAUUUUAAUGUCUGUAAACUUUUAUUAUUUACCAAACUUUGAAUUUGAAUUUUGGACCGGUUUUGAUCUAACGAUAGAUUAGUAGCGGUAACCGUGGUGACAUGGCACCAUUAGCGUGGGAUAACUGUAGCUUAAUUAUCCGGGUGUCACACGUGGCUUGCUCCAGAUCGGCCCACCUGCCAGAGAUAUUUGGGGGGGGGGGGAUAAAUAGCGAGCCAUGCGGGAAGGAACUACGGAGGAAGAGAGGUAAAUGGAGGGAAACCGCGUGGGUCUCCUGACCUACGACUCCAGAUCGGCGGCUGCCGGCGGCGUGCCCCUCCAGAUCCGCGAGUGAUGCGCACACCCAAGAGCUUCCUCCGCCGGUGGCCUGCCCCCACUAGCCUCCUCCGCCUCUGCCUCCAUCUUCUCCUGCACCUGCGCCAGCAAAGACUGCAGGUAUGGCUCGUUGCCCCCUCUGCCUCUCUUUGCUCUGCUUCUGCUGCUGUGUGCUCUUCUUCUGCUGCUGCGUGCUCUGCUGCUGCUGUGGGGACUGGGGAAGUAGAAGGACCGAAGGAAAGAUAGUGUGGGGUGGGCUCUAUAUGUGCUCUGCUGUAGAUCUAUGUGCUUUGAUGCUCUAUGUAUUGAUGUAGUGAUGUGCGCUGCUGCUCUAUGUACUGAUGUGCUCUGCUGCUCUAAUUAGUAAUUACUAAUUACUACUUGUGCUGCUCUGUUUUUUCUGCAGGCACCUUGGCUGCAGCUAGAGGAUGACUGACCAAACUGUCAAUAGUGCAACCGGCGGCAAUGGGCCUGAGCUUGAGCAGUAUGAUCCAUCCAAGGAUCCUAAGCAGAAGGCAAAGUCGGGAGACCCUGGGUGGAAGUAUGGGUAUUGGCAUGAUAUGAACAGGAGGGAUAGGAUACGAUGCACUUUUUGCGGGACAGAUGUGCAUGCUGGAAUAGCAAGGUUCAAGCGUCACCUAGCUGGGGCUAGUACUAAAGGGAAGAAGAAUUCUAUAAAAUGCAAGAAGGUGCCAGAGGCUGCUUCAAAGGAGAUGUUGGAUUUCAUGAAGGCCUACGCAAAGAAGCAUAAUAUGCCAGGGGAGUCUGAUAAAGAAGAUACAACAACUGGUGAUGAAGAAGAGGAUGCAACAGCAACUCAAACUAGUAGUAGGACAAUAGCAAAAAGGAAGGCCGAGACUGUCCAAACUGAAUUACCGACACAAAAGGCUUCAAGAACAAUUGCCGGGAUGAUUAAGAAGACUCCGGAAGAAGUCAUUGAGCUAAGGCACUCGAAGAAUCCUUCUCAAGCUGCAUUGAACGCAGGUUGCUUCAAAAGGACCACCGAGGAUAAGGAUAGAGUUGAUGAUCAUUGGGCAUCAUUUUUCUAUGCUAAUGCCAUUCCCUUCAAUGUUACCCGAUCAAGAGCCUUUGAGAUUGCAUUGGAGUCAACCAGGCAAUAUGGUCCAGGCUACAUCCCCCAACUAUUCAUGCUCUUAGGCUUCCACUUCUUGUGAAAGCAAAGAAGAAGACACAUGCAUUGAGAGAGCAACAUGAGCUGGCUUGUCAAGAGUAUGGCUGCACAGUAAUGUCCGAUGGGUGGACCGAUGGGAGGACUAGGCAAUUGGUCAACUUCCUUGUCAAUAGUCCAGCCGGGACUUUCUUCAUUGAUAGCAUUGACAUAUCAGCCCUAGUAGCCAACAAAGAAUUGUUGGCAAAUUUGAUGGAGAAAAGGAUUAACGACAUUGGAAGAGGCUACGUGGUUCAGAUUUGCACGGAUAAUUAUUCUAACUACAAGGCAGCAGGUAGACUCUUAACGGAGAGGAUCCCUACAUUAUGGUGGACCCCUUGUGCAGCCCAUUGUUUGAACCUUAUGUUGGAGUCCAUUUGCAAAAUCAAGCAAUCCAGCGAGUGUAUUACAAAUGGCAAGGUUUUAGAUGAAAUGAGAGUGAAGACCGGCAACCGUGAUCUUGUGAGGGCUGGAGCUACUCGCUUUGCCACAAAUUUUCUCAACUUGCAAAGCUUGCACAAACAUAGGCAAGCUCUCAAAGAAUUGUUUGUGGGUGAUGUUUGGCAUAGCAAUAAGAAGUUGUCAACCUGACCGGUGAGACAAAAAGUUCAAGAAGAUGUGUUGUCCAUUAGGUUUUGGAACUCGGUAGAGACUUGCAUGAAAGUUUCUCUACCUCUUCUAAGGGUGCUAAGGAUUGUUGAUGGCGAUGAAAAGCCGGCGAUGCCCGAGGUUAUGGCAGCAAUGGAUUAUGCAAAGGAGAGAAUCAAGGCUGCAAGAGAUGACAAACCAACUUUGGUUAAGAAGGUGAUAAAAAUAGUAGAGGACAAGUGGGAAUCUCAAAUGGGGGUGAAGUUGUAUGGAGCUGCGCUAUUCUUAAACCCAAAUAGGAUCUAUGGUCUCAAAGCUAAGCCCGAGAAAGCACGAUAUUGUCAAAGGCUUAGGCAUAUGUUCAAUGAGGUGCUAUUGCACAUGGAGCCCGAUGAUGAUAAAGGAAGCGUGAUAAGUAGAUUGGCUGAUGACUAUGAAAGAGGUGAAGGUGAAUGCUUCAGCUCUAAGUUGGGAAUCAAUGACCAAACAAAAAAGAGUCCUCGUAAGUUACUUCAGCUCUAGCCUUCUACUUUUUCAUAAAUUUCAGCACCUAUCUUUUUUGGAUUACGAAUUCUAACAUUGUCUUCAUUUGUACUCAUGCAGUUCUUUGGUGGGGUGCUUAUGGUGGCCUUGCUUAUGAGCUGCAACAUUUAGCAAAGCACAUAGUUAGCCUUUGUGCUUCAGCUUCCGGUUGUGAACGAAAUUGGUCUUGCUUUCAAAAUGUAAGUAGUAAGUACCAACUUGGUGUUCAUUGUACUUCUGUAGUUCUUUGGUGGGGUGCUUAUGGUAGCCUUUCUAAUUGUUUUCUUGUAUGUUUUUUUCAGAUCCAUAGCAAAAAGAGAAAUAGGUUGGAGUUCCAAAGACUUAAUGAUUUGUCAUAUGUUCAAUAGAGCCGGAAGAAUGCCAAUAGGUUCCAAAAGAUUCGUGAGGAAGGCUCCAAAGGGACUAGGUCUGACCCAUUAGUCCUAGAAGACUUACAAUGGGACAAUGAAUGGGUUGACCAUAAUGCCCAGCCAGUUUAUGAAGGGGCUGAUAUCACUUGGGCUCAAGUUGACGAAGCUGCAACCUUAGAAGCCGUGGGAGUGGGAGCCAAGCUGCUGUUACUCAUGUCCAUUCUCGAUCUCGAGUGCACCAAGUUGGAGAAGAUGAGGACAAGGAGGAUGAUGCAAAUUAGGAGGUUGAGCUUGAAUAUUAUUCAACAAGUGAAGAUGAUCAAGAGGGAAAUCAAGGUGAAGAAGGUGAAGGUGGAGGUGAAGAGAGAGGCUCCAUUGGCUCUGAUGAUGAUCUGGAUUACUAGGAGAUUGAUGGAACUUGGGCUGGUGUGGCUUCAUUUUGGACAUAUGGAGUUGGGGGCUCUUAGGGCUGGUGUGCCUCAUUUUGGACAUAUGGAGUUGGGGGCUCUUGGGGCUGGUGUGCCUCAUUUUGGACAUAGUAUUUGGGGCUGGUGUGGACCGUGUGGCUUAUUUUUGGACAUAUGGAGUUGGGGGCUUGGGGUUGGGCUGGUGUGGCUUAUCUCUUAUUUUGGAAAUAGGAUUUGGGGUCGAUUUGGGGCUGGUUGUUAAGCGUUAAGAACUUGGUAGUUCAUAGUUAAAUGUAAUGAACUAGUGCUUAAUUUCUGUUGCUGUUCGGGGCUGGUCCCAAUUUUUGUUGUAAUACUUGUUGUUGUGAUCUGUGAUGGUAUUUAUAUGUAGAACUGCUGCUGUUUUCCUUAUCUGAAUCAGGUGAUCAGGUGCAAAGAGAAAAGGAUCAUCAAGGAAAACAAAUUGGGAUAGAUGGACACACAAGAAGUAAGUUCUCCUCUUUAUUUCAACUCAAAUGUGCAAGUUUCCUAUUACAUAUAUACUGCAAGGUGCAAACAACUUGAUGCUCAUGCUUGCUAUUACAUUUAUACUACAAGGUGCACCUGCAAUCAACAAAGACGAGCUUGCACAAGGUCAGAAAGGGAUUUCCAUUGCCAACUAUAAAAGAUUACAAGGUAAUAUCAAUCCUAAUUCUACCCCUAAAUCUAUUCUAAGCCAUGGCGACUUGGGGCGACUAAUCAAGCCAAGUCGCAGACUCAAGCCAGCAAGCCAAUAGCCAUAGCCUCGACGACUUGGCUUGACUCGGCGACUCAAAAAUAGAGAUUACAUCUAAAAAAGUUAGUCUCAACUAACUGUGAAAUUUAGAAUGUUCAAAUUCAGAUCUUAAGUUCUCAAACUGGAUCGGCUUUUGGACUUAUAUAUACACAAAUCAGUACUGAAGUAGGUUUGCAUGAUCUCCUGUUAGUACAGCAUAAAUAACUUCCCAUGUGAUUUCAGGUUGUGUUCCACGGACCUGCUGUUGCUGCUGGUUGUGUUCCCCGACCGAGUCCGCAAGUUGCUGCUGCUGGUUGUUUUCCCCGACCAUGUCCCCAAGCUGCAUCCUGCUGCCCCUGCCUCGUGCGUCCUCAACUUUGCUCAUGGACAGCUACUAUAGGUGAGCCAAUUGCCUCCAUCUGUUGCUACUACUGUUGUAGUUUGGUUGUAGGCGCAACUGUUGUAGCUCGGGUGAAAUCUUAGUUUGCCUGCCUUGAGAUAAUGAGAUGGAUAUAGCACAUAACAUUGCUUCAGACAUUUGCAAUGCAUCUCUUAAUUUAACAUACAUGGUUGGGGUAAUUCUGUUGUGUUAAGUAGAAAUAUUGAAAUACCAAGUAACUAUAUAUCCACAACAUUGUAAUCUGGUACCUUUUAUUCAGGGAUGUUCAAUAUCUGCCUCUGCUUCCCAAAGCAUAUUGAUAGUACAGACAUAUGCAGAAGCACAGAAGCUGCUUUUGCAUUAUCACUAUUGUUGGUUGCUGCUUUACUAAUAACUAGUCAAUAUACUGAUAAGAGAGGGGCCUGUUCCUAGCUAUAAAAUGUAGACAGUAUGGUAUGUGUUCAUGUGCAUGUUGUUUGUCAUGUUCUUGCUAACUACAAGGGAUUGUGUAUGGAAAACCAAUUAUCCAGUCCAUUUUUUACAAAAGGAUUAGUCUGCUUAAUUAGUCCUGAUGUUUUAUUUUAUGGAUUAGUUGCUUAUUUGGCCAGAUUUUCUGUCUUGCUUUUGGCAUAAGAAUAAGUCAAUAAGAACAUAAUAUUGAUAUUCUAUGUGUUAUUAGUAAAAUGCUCUAUUUUCAUGCAUCACCUUUCUUGUAUGCAUGAGUAUCUCGUUUUAACUAACUAGAGAACAAAAUCAUCGUACUAGCUAAAUUUGUGUUAUUAUUCUAAAGAAAUUGCCCUUUGUUGAAUGGUCUAUUCAGAAUAUAUUGGCUCCAGUGUUUUGAUUCUUCUCUUCUGACUCAUGUAACAGGGCGAUGGUCGAAGGCGUGAUGAUAGUUCUAUUGCUGUUCUGUUGGCCUAGUGUAGCGAAGGUCACGACCUAGUCGACUAUAUCUGUGUGACUGUGAUUGUAUUUGUAUCUGUGUUAUUACAUUAGUAGAGCUUGUAACCAUGUCAUAUGAUAGAAGGAGCCCAGUAUGUAAUUUGAAGCUUGUAAUUACACUUGUGGAGCUUGUAAUUUUUGUUGUCAAUGUAUCUAUAAUAGAUUUAUUCUCGCAGCUGUUAUUUGAAGUAUUACUUGUGUUUUCUGUCUGUUCUUAUUUAAAUAUGGUUAUUUAUUCUAUCAAACUGAAAGCUGAAGAAAAUGAUGCUGUCAAAAGUGUCCCACUUGAAUAGAACCUGGCAAUUGGGACCCAUUUAACUACUUUACCCGGAAAAAGAAAAACUAAAUUUGUUGAAUCAAAAAGGCCAUGGUCCAAAAAAUGAAAAGGCCGAAUUAUUGGGCUUGGCCCAUGAGGCUGACCGAAAUUAACAAAAAAUAUAUAUUAAAAAUGCUGAAUUAUUGGGCUCAGCCCAUAGAAACACCAAAUCGGACCGGGCUGAAUCUUGUCAAUGACCUUUUCAAUUGGUCACAAUUUUGCCACGUCAGCUUGCCACGUCGGAUCUGACGUGGCCUGGGCAGAGAGUUAGCGACCAAAACAAAAGGUCAUGGAAUCAAUGACCUUUUGUUUUGGUCGUGGAAUUCCACGACCUUCUCACAGAGAAGGUCGUUAAUUUCAGUUUACGACCGCCAGCUUUUAACCUUCUGUUUUUGGUCACAAAAAGGUCGCAAAUGAAAAACAAUGACAUUUCAGUGACCAAUAGUGAUGGUCGCAAGUUGACAUAUUUCUUGUAGUGAAUAUAAACUCGAACGCCGCUCCAAGAGUUACCCAAAGCGCAGGUUGCUACCCUGACUAGAGGAGGAAGCACCAAAACCUACAUCUCCAGCGUAUGACGCUGCUGAUCGGCCACCCCGUGGCCGCGACAGAGAGGCAUUUCAGCCAAAAGCUCAGCCCGCACCCCGACGCCACUCAAAUAAAAAUGUCAAGGCAUGGGGAAAUACACCAGACCUGCGAGACGUAUUGGAGGACAAAGCAAAACACGCAAGAUCGAUCUACGGAUCACGAGGGCGCGCCACUACGCGGGACGAUAACCAUCAUGUCGGAUACAGUAAAAGUAAAUCCGGCCGGGCCGAACACAACGGACAAGACUCAUUUGAGCUGCGUCGCGACAUACCCCAGUACAGAGGCCCCGCACACCCCCUAUGCUUCACAGACAAAGUAAGGGAUCAUCAAAUCCCAGAGGGUUUCAAACCCGUAAAUAUAGAAUCAUACGAUGGCACAACAGAUCCUGCGGUAUGGAUCGAGGACUUCCUCCUGCACAUCCACAUGGCCCAAGGUGACGAUCUAUACGCCAUCAAAUACCUCCCACUUAAACUCAAAGGACCAACUCGGCAUUGGCUCAACAACCUGCCAGCAGAAUCCAUUGGCUGUUGUGAAGAUCUGGAAGCCGCAUUCCUCGACAACUUCCAGGGCACUUAUGUGCGACCACCAAAUGCCGAUGACUUGAGCCACAUAAUUCAGUAGCCAGAGGAAUCGGCCAGGCAAUUCUGGACACGGUUCCUAACAAAGAAAAAUCAAAUCGUUGACUGUCCGAAUGCAGAGGCCCUAGCAGCUUUUAAGCACAACAUCCACGAUGAGUGGCUUGCCCGGCACCUUGGCCAGGAAAAGCCGAAAUCCAUGGUAGCCCUCACAACACUCAUGACCCACUUUUGCGUGGGAGAAGACAACUAGCUGGCUCGCAAUAACAUAUCAAAGAACCAUGGUACUUCGGAUACCAAGGAUGGCAAUGGGAGAUCACGUCGCAACAAACACAAGCGUCGCAUCAACAACGACAAUACCGAGGAUAUGGCAGUCAAUGCCGGAUUCAAAGGCUCUAAACCCGGUCAGUGGAAAAAGCCAUUCAAAAGAAGCACUCCGGGCCCAUCCAGUUUGGACCGUAUACUCGAUCGCUCGUGUCAAAUACACGGCACCCCCGACAAGCCAGCCAAUCACACCAACAGGGAUUGUUGGGUGUUCAAGCAGGCCGGCAAGUUAAAUGCCAAAAACAAAGAUAAGGGGUCUCAUAGCAAUGACGAGGAGGAGCCCCGGCCGCCGAACACCGGAGGACAGAAGAGGUUCCCCCCACAAGUGCAGACGGUUAACAUGAUAUACACAACCCACAUCCCCAAGAGGGAGCGGAAGCGUGCGCUAAGGGACGUAUAUGCGUUGGAGCCAGUCGCCCCAAAGUUCAACCCAUGGUCCUCCUGUCCGAUCACCUUCGACUGCAGGGACCGCCCCACUAGUAUCCGUCAUGGCGGAUUUGCCGCACUGGUCCUAGACCCAAUCAUUGACGGAUUUCACCUCACUCGAGUCCUUAUGGACGGCGGCAGCAGCCUGGACCUGCUUUAUCAGGACACAAUGCACAAAAUGGGUAUAGACCCCUCAAGGAUCAAACCCACAAAAACGACCUUCAAAGGCGUCAUACUAGGUGUAGAGGCCCAUUGCACAGGCUUAGUCACACUGGAAGUGGUCUUCGGAUCCCCGGAUAACUUCCAAAGCGAGGAGUUAAUCUUCGAUAUAGUCCCGUUCCGCAGUGGCUAUCAUGCACUGCUCGGGCGAACCGCAUUUGCGAGAUUCAAUGCGGUACCACAUUAUGCAUAUCUCAAGCUCAAGAUGCCAGGACCUCGGGGGGGGGGGGGUCAUCACAGUCAAUGGAAACACAGAGCACUCUCUCCACACGGAGGAGCACAUUGCGGCCCUCGCAGCAGAAGCGCAAAGCAGCCUCUUAAGGCAAUCCACCAGUUCAGCGAUUGAAGACCCGGACACCUUCAAGCGCGCCCGGAGUAAUCGGCAACAAGACCGCCUGGCACGUUCCGAGCUCGCAUAGCAAUGCGGCCCCACCCCAGUACCAGCCAAACGGCGAAAUCCGUGCCACGCGUACAUAAUUACGCAUUAAAAAUCCCAUGGGCACAGGUGGGGAGGGGGGCACGACUACGGCACGCCCCAAGACGCGAUUCAACCGCACUAGGGGCUUCCUGCUUUGUUAUUUUUCUCUCUUUCAGGACUUUAAUCUCUGGAAACCCCAUCCGGCAGUACGUUUGCCGGACACACGAUGCAACAACCAAGGAGGCAGAAAGCUAUGUCGCACCAUGGAACUCCCAGGUGGUCUCUGAUAACGAGUGAAAUACUUGCUUUAAAUACCAUUCCUUAGCUUGCCCUUGGAGGGGACAUGUCAAAUAGUCCUACUUUUUGCUUAUCGCAAUACUUGUAUCAUUCUUCUUUGACGCACCUUUUUGAAUAAACAAUGCUUAGCACUAGACUAUUACCACAUUCUCUNNNNNNNNNNNNNNNNNNNNNNNNNNNNNNNNNNNNNNNNNNNNNNNNNNNNNNNNNNNNNNNNNNNNNNNNNNNNNNNNNNNNNNNNNNNNNNNNNNNNNNNNNNNNNNNNNNNNNNNNNNNNNNNNNNNNNNNNNNNNNNNNNNNNNNNNNNNNNNNNNNNNNNNNNNNNNNNNNNNNNNNNNNNNNNNNNNNNNNNNNNNNNNNNNNNNNNNNNNNNNNNNNNNNNNNNNNNNNNNNNNNNNNNNNNNNNNNNNNNNNNNNNNNNNNNNNNNNNNNNNNNNNNNNNNNNNNNNNNNNNNNNNNNNNNNNNNNNNNNNNNNNNNNNNNNNNNNNNNNNNNNNNNNNNNNNNNNNNNNNNNNNNNNNNNNNNNNNNNNNNNNNNNNNNNAGUGCGGCACCCCGAACUUAUAGCAUUAUAUGCAUCAGCUCCGAAUCAUGUCUUGGGUCAAUAGUUGGGUUUGCCCAGCUCCCAUGUUUUGGUACCUUAUGUUCCGCUAUAUCAGCUAAGGUAGCACUGGUAGAACUACUGUGAUUGUGCCCCGGUUCAUCUGGGCUAAGCACCUCAGUAGAGAAAGCUAAAACUGACUGUCAUGAUAAGGUGAGAGCUGGUCGCUGUUCGAGAGGUCUCGAGUCCCUAAAGACUUAUGGCGCUUAGAGCAAGGAGUCGGCUUUGUCUGGCUUAAGGCGUGUAUAGCGCCCCAAACUCGGCCUUCUGAAUACUAUGGGCUUCGCCAAAAUUUAAAAUUGUAGACUUCUAUGGCUAAGUGAGAGUGAUAAAGCAUUAUAGUCCGCUUGCCUUGUUCGUUGUGCUGAGCACCUCCCUCGAAGGACCCAACAAUGGGAAAAAGAGUGCUCAGGUUUAUCCCGAACACCCCAGCACUCGUGGAAUGGGGGCAGAAGCCGACGACUGGCCAUCUCUCAGAUUUGAUAAACGGCCGGACAGAAGGUAACAUUUUAAAUUCAAACAAGCAUUGCAUAGCGCACAUGAACAAGUUUUCAUAAUAUAGGAUCACACGAGCAAGUUCAUUCAAAAAUUACAUCCUUUGCACACUCGUCCGCCACAAGACGGGCACCCUUCAGGACACCCUCAUAAUACAUCUCGGGGUGGCGAUGCUCCUUGCCCUACGGCGCCCCCUCCUUCACCAGCUUCUCGGUCUCCAUCUUGGCCCAGUGCACCUUUGCACGGGCAAAGGCCCGGCGUGCACCUUCGAUGCAGACGGACCGCUUUAUGGCCUCGAGCCGUGGGCAGGCAUCCACAAACCGCCUCACCAGGCCGAAGUAGCUGUUGGGAAGGGAGUCGCCAGGCCACAUCCGGACUAUAAGGCCCCUCAUGGCCUGUUCAGCCGCCUUGUGCAGCUCGACCAAUUGCUUCAGCUGGUCGCUCAUAGGCAUCGGAUGUUCGGUCCCAGUAUACUGAGACCAGAACAGCUUCUCCGUCGAGCUUCCCUCCUCGGCCUAGUAAUAUUUCGCGGCAUCCGACACGCUGCGGGGCAAAUCUACGAAUGCUCCUGGAGAGCUUCGGACUCGCGUAAGUAACAAGUAAUUUACUUUCACAUGCUUGCUUUGCAUAUUGAAUGCGUUACCCGCCACUAUCUUCCUCAUCGCCUCAAUUUCCUGGAGGGCCUUUUGAGCCUCAGCCUUGGCAUGCUUUGUGCUCUCAAGGGCCACGGCAAGCUCGGACUGUCGCAGCUUCGAGUCAAGCUCCAAAGUCUCGUGUUUCUUCACGAGAGCCUGGAGCUCUUGCUGCACCUCGCCCACCCGUGCCUCUUGCUUUUCCCGCUCGAUGCGCUCCUUGGCCGCUUUGUUUUUGGCCUCGGACAGCUCUUGCUUCAGGGUCGCCACUUCGGUCGUGGCCCCUGGCACAUCCAUGAUGAUCCUCUCAGUUCGCUACCACAUUUUCUUUUUUCUAUAGACAAGGUAUUACUUACCUUUGUUCUCCUCGAGCUGCCUCUUGGCAAGGCCGAGCUCUUUCUCUGACCGCUCGAGGUCCUGCUUCAGUGCGGCGACCUUCGCAGUUAGUGCGGCAGAGGUCAACAGCGAAGCCUGCAUACACAUACAGACAUACUUAUAUUAGUCUCCUGCAGAUAUUAUUGAUCCUCUAUUCGGCUUUUCUUUGUGAACACCAAACAAAGCAUCAGGGGCUACUGUCUAUGCGGUAAUAUUUCCCUAUAUUUUAAAUACUUACCUCAAAGCCUGUUAGAAGGCCGGCACAUGCUUUAGUCAGUCCGCUCUUGGCGGACUGAAGCUCUUGAUCACUGCACUCAUAAUAGUGCGGUGCUCUUCGUCGAUGAAAGCGCCGCGAAGCGCUCUCAGCAGGUUGUCCGGUGCCUCUGGAUGGACAGAGGUCACCGGCAUGGGUGACUUGCCCCUCUUGGAAGAGGGCCGCCUGCUCGAGUCCGAAACCGCUGGAGGUUCCAGCACGGUGUCCGGCUGAGGGCCGAACUUGGAGCCCCUGGGAGCCUUGCUCCCUUUGCUCCUGGAGUCCGGAAGGUCGCCUUGAGGUGCCUCCGGGACUGUUGUCGGAUUUCGGGUUCUGGCAGACCCUUGAGGUUCGAACACUAGGGUGCGCGCGGAGAUUUCGCCUUCUACCUACCUGCACCCCUCCGCCUCGCUAAGAUCCGAGCUAUGGAAAGAAUGACACAAGAGACGCAGGGUUUAUACUGGUUCGGGCCACCGUUGUGGUGUAAUACCCUACUCCAGUGUGUGGUGUGGUGGAUUGCCUCUUGGGCUGAUGAUGAAGAACAAUAUAAGGAAGAAUAGCCUCACGAGGGUCUGUUCUUUGCUGGGGGAGGGACGAACUGCUAGGAGGAGUUCAAUCACCCUUCUCUCUCUCUGAUUUCGAUCCGAUCCUUGAUCCUCGAUCUCUGUCUCUAACCUUCCUUUUACCUCGAACCCGAACCAGAACCCCCAUCCUUGUGGGUGGUUGGUCCUAUUUAUAGGCAAUGGCCCUGGGCCUCUUCCCAAAUAUUGAGCGGGGAGGGCGCCAACAAUUGGCCAUUUUGAAGGGGAACAUCUAGUACACUUAUCCUGACUAAAGUUGGUCCUUGCCUGCACAAAGCUCUGGUGGUGACACCGUCUUGGGCUCCACGAUGACCUCCGUCUUGCGGUCCUCCUGGUCUUGGUCUUGUUGCACCGAAACGGCAACCUUUGCCUGAUGCCUCGGUAUUCCGUGGCUGCACUUGUCCCCUUUGCACCAAAGGGGAAAGGAGGACACUGCGCGGGCUGGCGCCCGCCUGGCGCCCUUGGUCGUCAUGGCUUGCGUCACGGGCACCUCGUGAGGUACCCCGCCUUGAUCUUUCCGCCUCCUCGCGAGCCAGCCUGGUGAGGCCGUGCCUGAGAAAGCUUCGUGUCGUCCGCCCCGCGAGGCUUGGCCCCUCGCGAGGGUCUUGGGUCUGUGUUGAUGAAGAUGGGCCGUGCUGGGCCUCCCUUUGAGCCACGUCGCAGGCCGCAGGCAGGCAAGUUUGGGGACCCCCGUUCCCAGAACACUGACAGUAGCCCCCGGGCCCAAGGCGCGCCCGGACUCGGCCGUGUAGGGAGGCGGAAGGGCAAGAGCGAAGCGCCGCGGGCCCUAAUAGCCCGCGGUCUUGGGCGCCGCGUGGCGGUUGAUUGGACGUGGGUGUCUCCACUUCCCCGUGGCGCCUCGGCAACUACACGGAUUGGACAAGUCCCUGCAUGCAAAGCGGGUCAUGAUUACCUGCGAUAGUGGGGGCCGACGGUUGGCCCUCGCCGGCUAUAAGUACGGAUCGGCGCGCGCCCUUCCAGUUCAUCCCCCUUUGCUUCCCCUUCUUCUUCAUGGCCCCGUCGAGGAGGUUCUCGGCCGCAGAGAAGGGGAAGGCUCGCCGGGUAGAGCCUGCCUCUCCCCCGCCCAAGCGCGACCGAGGGCGCCCUCGCAAACAUCCUGUGGCCACCACGGCAGCUCCCCGCGGCCGCGGAGACGGUUUCCAGCAUGGUGACGGGCGGACUGCUGCGGCCGGGGGGCGCGCUUCGGUCGCGCGUCCCCCUAGGCCGCGCUUUCGCGCUGCACAGGUGAUGCCGGAGUUCGUUGUGUGGUCGGCGGAGCCGACUAGCACCCGGCUUCCACUUCCUCGCUUCUUCCUCGGCGAGCUCCCGGCCGGCGCCCCGGGCGGCCUCUGGAUCUAGGCUGACGGCUACUGCAGCUGGGCCUCAUGGGCUUCGUUGGAGGUCUCCGUAGCCGGUAGCCUGGCCUUGGCUCGCGGUUGGCAGACGUUUGCCCACGCGCGUGGCCUGAGCCGUCGGUGCACCCUGCACACUUCAAGUUCGACGGCGAUGCCACCCUCUACGUGAGGGUGUUUGGGGAAGAUGGUCGCCGUGCAGGGUGCUGCCCUGAGGACGACGACCGCGGACAGGAACCCAGCUCUGGGGAUGAUGGAGAGGACAGCGCUCGCGUGACUGGUGGCGCUCAGGGUUCACCAAGCUUCUCUGGUUCUUCUUCAGGCGGCGACUCUUCUAACGGUGGCCGCGAUCAGCCUCCACGCCGUCGUAUCUGCUUGGGAGGUGGUAGCGUGUCUGCCCGCCGUCGCGCCUCGGUGAAGCGCGAGAGGGAGUCGCCUGAGACCCGGGGGCAGCUCGAGUCUUCCCUGCAGGCCGGUGUGAGGCGAGCUGCGCCUGAUUCAUUCUUUCUUUUCCUUUUUCCUGCGUAAAAAGACAGUAGUGUGGAGCCCCGCGGGGGCGUGUUUGGGUUAUUGCUGUUAAUCAUCGUUUGCUUCUGUUAUCGUGCCUUCUGGCUACGUGCCCGCGCGUGGAUAGUUCCCGGCCCCAGCCGUGGGGGUCGACCGACCCAGGCCCUGUGUUCGUGUCGCGGUGCCCGCGGGGCACGGACUGGAGGGGUGCUCCUGUAAUGGACCCAGGUCGCGAAACCUUUGAACGACUAGGACAGGAACACUCGCGAGGGUGCUCGGCUGCCCCCCCUCGUGAGGCCUUGCAUAAGAGAAAUUGAGGCAGGAGAGUGAAAAGUCGAAGAACCACAAGCCAGAGACGGCAACAACUUCAAUGAAUCUUCGAAUGAGAAUGAACAAGCCAACUGCGGAAAGCAAAUGAAAAAGCCGCGUCCGGCACCUAAUCUAGUCUUCGGCGUCUUCUCACUAGCGCGGAGCUAAGUGCUGCCACUGGGUGUGGGAGGGAGCCCCAGGGCCUGAGGCCGGCGCUCCUGAGACUCCGGGGCGUGUACAACCCCAACUCAUUAUUACGUGCGAGUGUCACGGGCGGCGAGCUUCACAGGUGUUGGCCUUCUUCAUAGGCUCCAGGCCUUUUCCAAAACGCGACGGCUUCACAGGCAUUCGCCUUCUUCACAGGCUCUGGGACUUUUCCAAAAUGCGACAGCUUCACAGGCAUUCACCUUCUUCACAGGCUCGGGGCCUUUUCCAAAGCGCGACAGCUUCACUGGCAUUCGCCUUCUUCACAGGCUCCGGGCCUUUUCCAAAACGCGACAGCUUCACAGGCAUUCGCCUUCUUCACAGGCUCCGGGCCUUUUCCAAAACGCGACAGCUUCACAGGCAUUCGCCUUCUUCACAGGCUCCGGGCCUUUUCCAAAACGCGACAGCUUCACAGGCAUUCGCCUUCUUCACAGGCUCUGUGCCUUUUUAGGGGUAGAACCUCCGGAGGUGCUGGAUGUUCCAUGCGUUCUGGACCGGCACCCCUCCUGAGUCUCCAAGCGCGCGGAGGCCGGGCUUGGAAACAUGAACAACCUUGAACGGGCCCUCCCACAUGGGAGAGAGCUUGUGCAAUCCCUCCCUUGAGAGAACCCGCCUGAGCACGAGGUCCCCUACCUUGAGAGUUCUGGGGCAGAUGUUGCGGCAGUGACAUCAUCGCAGUGCUUGUUGGUACCUCGCCGCUCGCAGCGCGGCUUCUCGGCGACGUUCCUCCCACAGCACGAGGUCCAUCCCUCACAUGGCGUCCUGCUGCGCCUCGUCAAACGCCAGGACCCGCGCGGAGCGACGUCUGACCUCGUGAGGGAGGACCGCUUCGGCUCCGUAGACCAGGAAGAACGGGGUCUCUCCAGUCGGCUUGGUCGCGGUUGUGCGGAUGGACCACAACAUGGAUUGAAGCUCGUCAUACCAUCCUCUGCCGCAGGCCUCUAACUUCUUCUUGAACGUCCUGGCCUUGAGGCCCCUCAGGACCUCUGCGUUGGCUCGCUCGGCCUGGCCGUUGCUUCGGGGGUGCGCCACUGAAGCGUAGCAUAUCUGCGUUCCAAGGUUAGCACAGUAUGUUUUGAAAAGGUUACUGGUGAACUGCGAACCGUUGUCCGUGAUGAUGCGGUUUGGCACCCCGAACCGGCUCACGAUGCCCCUGAUGAACUUGACCGUGGAACCCGCGGGGAUGGUGCGGACGGCCUCGACUUCAGCCCACUUGGUGAACUUGUCCACGACGACGUAGAGGUAGCGAUAGCCCCCUGGCGCCCGAGGAAACGGGCCCAGGAUGUCCAGCCCCCAGACUGCGAAUGGCCAUGAAAGGGGUAUAGUCUGCAGGCCUCCUGUCGGCUGAUGGAUCUGCUUGGCGUGGAACUGGCAGGCCUCACAAGCUUUCACUAGUUCGACGGUGUCAUUGAGUGCGGUGGGCCAAUAAAACCCAUUGCGGAACGCCUUGCCGACGAGGGUCCGUGAUGAUGAAUGAUGUCCACAGUCUCCGCUGUGUAUAUCUUCUAGCAGUUCCUUUCCUUGCUCCCUGGAGAUGCAGCGCAGGGAUACACCGUUUGGUCGCUUUCGGUAGAGCUCUCGAUCCUUGAUGCAAUAUGCCGUGGCCUGCCGUGCUACAUGCUCUGCUUCCUCCUCCUCCUCCGGCAGGGUCCCUUGUGUUAAGUAACUCCGGAGCUCCGUGAUCCAGCACCCCUCCUGAGGUUCUAUCGUCAGGAGCAGGCAUGCUCCUGAGGCCGGGCCACAGGCCGGGGCUCCUGAGACAGGUGGCUGGGGGAGCUCCUCCCGAGGCUGAGCUGUGUUUGACAAUGACGGCAAGGCUGAGGGCUCAAAGAGCCGCUCCUCGAAAAUGCCAGGCUCCUGAGGUAACCGCCUGGACGCCCGUUUGGCGAUGUCGUCGGCCUCCUGAUUGGUGCCACGGGGCACAUGCUGCAACUCCAACCCCCAGAACUGCUUCUCCAUCCUGCGGACCUCUGCAAGGUAGGCUUCCAUGUGCUCAUCUUUUGGCUCGUAUACCUUGUUGGAGAAAUUGACAAGGAGCUGCAAAUCGCCCUUGAUGGUGAGGCGUUUCACCCCCAGGGCAGCUGCGUCCUUCAAGCCUGCUAUUAGACCUUCAUACUCCGCUAUGUUGUUGGAGACCUUUUCGCCUUGCUGGAAAUAGAGCUGCACAGCGUAGUAGACCUUAUCCUGAGUGGGCAAUAUAAGCGCCGCCCCAACCCCAGCGCCAUGCCUGGAGAACGCCCCAUCGAAGUACAUGACCCAGCCUUCUGGCGCUCGCUUCCCGGGGAGAGGGACCGAUCCUCGUCGGCCUUGAGGCCUGGUGCCUCCGUCCAUUCUGCCACAAAAUCCACCAAUGCUGCUCCCUUGAUGACUCUGGUCGUGCUAAAUUCGAGCUCAAACGCUUGCAGUUCUAUGUUCCACUCAGCAACCCUUCCAGCUGAGUUAGGGCUCGUAAGCACUCUCUCCAGGGGGUAUGACGAGACGACCUUGAUGGGAUGACCCUGAAAAUAGUGCCGCAGCUUGUGCGAGGCCACCAGUAGCGCGAGGAGGAGUUUCUGAGGCAUGGGGUACCAUGCCCUCGCGUCCUGCAACACCGUGCUGACGAAGUACACUGGGUGCUCAAUGAGGUUGGGUGCGUCAGUGCUGGUGGCUCCCUUGGGAGACCAUGGCGCCUCCUGAGGUGACAAGGCCUCCCGAGGCUGGCCAUCUGGGAGAGGGGCCUCUUCCGCCUCCGGUGCACUCCUCUGCGGCGGCUGAUCCUCCUCAGCCGCGGUGGCAGUUUCUGCAGGCCUUCCUUGUUCCUGUUUUGCCUUGUCCCGGGCUGCUACUGUGGCUUUGAUGCGACGCUCCUCCCUAACCGCCACCAGGGCUACGCUGGCGGAGUAGGGAGUGGCGGCGAGGUAAUGCACCAGGGGCUCUUGAGGGUGCGGAGCCACCAUGACCGGUGGGCUGGUCAGGUAUCUCUUGAGAUCCUGGAAUGCCUUGUCGGCCUCUUCAGUCCACUCAAAGGGCCCCUUUUUCUUCAUUAGCUGGAAGAAAGGUAGUGCUCGCUCCCCCAACUUGGAGAUGAAGCGCCCUAGCGCGGUCACGCGCCCAGUGAGCUUCUGCAUUUCUCUGAGGGUCUUUGGCGGGCUCAUGUCCUCGACCGCCUUGACCUUUUUCGGGUUAGCCUCGAUGCCUCGGUGGGACACGAGGAAACCCAAGAGCUUGCCCGAGGGGACUCCGAACACACACUUCUCCGGGUUGAGCCGUAGGUUCACUGCGUUGAGGCUCGCGAAGGUCUCCUCCAGGUCUUGUAUCAGGGUCCUGGCCUCCCGAGACUUUACCACAAUGUCAUCAACAUAAGCCUCAACAUUCUUCCCGAGCUGCGGGCCCAAGGUGAUGUGCAUCAGCCGCUGAAAGGUCGCCCCUGCAUUACGCAACCCGAAUGGCAUGCAUGUGUAGCAGUACACCCCACACGGGGUUAGGAAGGCUGUCUUUUCGACGUCCUCUACCGCCAUCUUGAUCUGGUGAUACCCGGAGAAGGCAUCCAAGAAGCAUAGCAGGUCGCAUUCCGCGGUGGAAUCGACGAUUUGGUCGAUGCGGGGGAGCGGGAACUGAUCUUGCGGGCAUGCCUUGUUGAGGUUGGUGAAGUCGACACACAUGCGCUCCUUCCCUCCCUUCUUUGGCACAACGACAGGGUUGGCCAACCAAUCCGGGUAUCGGACCUCGUGAAUGACCCCAGCGGCUUCCAAUUUCCGGGUCUCUUGGACGAUGAAGGCCUGCUUUUCUGUGGACUGCCGCCUUGCCUUCUGCUUCACAGGGCGCACGUUGGGGCACACGUUGAGGUGAUGCUCGAUUACACUCCUAGGGAUCCCCGCCAACUGGUCAGGCUCCCAAGCGAAUACCUUCUUGUUCACGCACAGGAACCCGACCAGGGCCUCCUCUUGCUCGGGUUCGAGGUUGGCGCCUAUGGUGAAAGUGGCAUUGGUGGACCCGUCCUCAUCGACGGGUAUCUGCUUGGUUUCUGCCUUGUCUUGGGUGAACAACUGUUUCUUCUUGGCGGGUGCAGCCCCCUUGGGCUCGGGGGUCUCCGAGUCGGCGAGCUGUGCCAACGCCGCCGUCUUGAAGGCGAUCUUGAGAACCCGCAGUGCGUCUCCGGUGUCCCCGUGCACGGCGAGGACACCGCUGCUCCCGGGCAUCUUCAUGAGGUUGUAUGCCGGGUGUGUCGCGGCCAUGAACUGGGCCAGCGCUGGGUAGCCGAGGAUGGCGUUGUAGGGGAGGCCGAUGGGGCGAUGUCGAAGUCGACCAACUCCGUGCGAAAGUUUCUAUAGGUGCCGAAGGUUACUGGGAGCCUGAUCUGUCCCAAGGAGCUGGAUGAUCUGCCCCCAACGCCUGAGAAGGGCCGGCUGGGUUGUAGCCGUUCCAGGGGUAUGCAGAGGAGGUUGAAGGCCUCGACCGAGAGCACGCUGAGGCCCGCACCACCAUCGAUGAGAGUUCUGGUGACGGCCACCUGGCAGAUGGUGGGGGUGCACAGCAUGGGGAGCGCACCCGAGCAUGCCGAGUUGGAGGGGUGGUCAAGCUGAAGGUCGGGCCGGCCUUUGGCGCCGCCCAGUCCGGGAGAGCCCCCUGCCGCGUGAAAGCGGUGCUGACCCGACGGAUGAAUGGCUUGACGUGGUGACUUGUAGGCGGCGCUUGCGAGCCGCCCAGGAGGGCCGCGACGACCGGGGGUGUUGGUGUAGCGUGAUGCGCGGGGAAGAGGCCGCGAGGCUCUUCCCAAGAGGCCACGGAGGCUGCCGGCAGGUGGAACAGCCAUGCGCGCGGAGCGCCGGUGAGGGCCAUGGGGAGCCAGUUGGCCAUGACCCUAUCGUCACCUCCAGCUUCGAGGUUGGCCUCCUCGUACGCCAGCAAGAAGGCCAGCGGAUCAGUCGCGCCGCCGUAGUGCGGCGGCGUCGUUGGCUUGAACUUGUCCGACCGCCGUACCCGUUGCAGGGCUGUGGCCAGGGCUCGGAGCCCCUUGGCCCCCGUGCUGGCGCCGGCGGCCGGAGCGGGCGACGCGCUACUCAUCGCGAGGCAGGUUGUGGCGGUGGCGGAAGGGAAAACUCCGGUGCACCCCUACCUGGCGCGCCAAAUGUCGGAUUUCGGGUUCCGGCAGACCCUUGAGGUUCGGACACUGGGGUGCGCACAGAGAUUUCUCUUUCUACCUACCUGCACCCCUCCGCCUCGCUAAGAUCUGAGCUAUGGAAAGAAGAACACAAGAGACGCAGGGUUUAUACUGGUUUGGGCCACCGUUGUGGUGUAAUACCCUACUCCAGUGUGUGGUGUGGUGGAUUGCCUCUUGGGCUGAUGAUGAUGAACAAUACAAGGAAGAACAGCCUCGCGAGGGUCUGUUCUUUGUUGGGGGGGGGGACGAACUGCUAGGAGGAGUUCAGUCACCCUUCUCUCUCUGAUUUUGAUCCGAUCCUUGAUCCUCGAUCUCUGUCUCUAACCUUCCUUUUACCUCGAACCCGAACCGAAACCCCCAUCCUUGUGGGUGGUUGGUCCUAUUUAUAGGCAAUGGCCCUGGGCCUCUUCCCAAAUAUUGAGCGGGAAGGGCGCCAACAAUUGGCCAUUUUGAAGGGGAACAUCUAGUACACUUAUCCUGACUAAAGUUGGUCCUUGCCUGCACAAAGCUCUGGUGGUGACGCCAUCUUGGGCUUCACGAUGACCUCCGUCUUGCGGUCCUCCUGGUCUUGGUCUUGUUGCACCGAAACGGCAACCUUUGCCUGAUGCCUCGGUCUUCCGCAGCUACGCUUGCCCCCUUUGCACCAAAGGGGAAAGGAGGACACUGCGCGGGCUGGCGCCCUCCUGGCGCCCGCCUGGAGCCCUUGGUCGUCAUGGCUUGCGUCACGGGCACCUCAUGAGGUACCCCGCCUUGAUCUCUCCGCCUCCUCGCGAGCCAGCCUGGUGAGGCCGUGCCUGAGGAAGCUCUGUGUCGUUCGCCCCGCGAGGCUUGGCCCCUCGCGAGGGUCUUGGGUCUGUGUUGAUGAAGAUGGGCCAUGCUGGGCCCCCCUUUGAGCCUCGCCGCAGGCCGCAGGCAGGCAAGUCUGGGGACCCCCGUUCCCAGAACACCGACAACUGUCUCCCCCAGCUCGGUGCCCCUUGAGACAAUACCUCGGCAUUGUCCGUAGGGCAAGGAGAGGAGGCGGUUGGAAGUGUAUCACUAUUCAUGUCCGACGAGUCCAAGGAACCGUCCGAUGAUGAUGCAUCGAUACAGGCUUGGGGCGGACUGCAUAAUCAUAUUCGACGUUAGGAGAAGCAGUGCGACAAAGGUAUGCUAUGAGUUACUCUGGUAUCCGAAUACUUACGACUUCGCCAGGGGCUUGGCCCUGAGCAGCCACUCGUCUUUGCCGUCGGCGGCGGUGGUGGAGCAGUUCGGAAGGAGAGUCCUUCCCUUCUUGGACCCUUCGGCCUCCCCGGUUGGGGCGGCCUUCCUUUUCUUGUCUUCCCCGGCUGGAGCGGGAGAAUCUUCAUCUUCCUUCUCCUUGUUUUCACGGGAGGAGUGCGUCUCGGUGUUAUCGGACGAUGAGUCCGAUACCACCUGGCGCCCGGAACUCUUUCGGGUUCCCUUGGCCUUCUUCUUCGUCUACUCUGGCACCUCAUAAGGAGCCAGAGUCCGCAUCUCCGUCAGGAGAGCGUCUGCAGGGUCUUCGGGCAGAGGGGCCGGACAGUUAAUCUGCUCCGAUGUCUCCACCCAGUCCUAUCAAAGGCAUGGGAGCUCAGACCCCGCACCUGGUUAAGCUAUGGGAAAUAAAUAUCCCACCAAAUGUACAGAACUUACCGGAUUCGCAGGGCGCUUCGCGCUUAGCCCGCGGUCCUCGGUAAGAGAAGGAGGGACCUCGGCGCCCUUGAACAGCACCCUCCAGACGUCCUUAUGCGUCGUGUCGAAGAGCUCGUGUAGAGUCUGGUGCUGGGCCGGGUCGAACUCCCAUAAGUUGAAAUCCCGUUGUUGACACGGGAGGAUCCGGCGGAAGAGCAUGACCUGGACUAUGUGACAAGCUUAAGUUUAUUGUUUGUCAUGUUCCGGAUACACUUCUGGAGUCCGUCCAGCUCCACCGAUGAACCCCAGGACAGGCCCUUCUACUUCCAAGAAGUGAGCCGCGUGGGGAUUCCGGAUCGAAACUCGGGGGCCGCCACCCAGUUGGUGUCGCGCGGCUCGGUGAUGUAGAACCACCCCGAUUGCCACCCCUUUAUGGUCUCCACGAAAGAGCCCUCGAGCCAUAUAGCGUUGGGCAUUUUGCCCACCAUGGCUCCACCGCAUUCUGCUUGUUUGCCGCCAACCACCUUCGGCUUGAUAUUGAAGGUCUUCAGCCACAGGCCGAAGUGGGGCCGGAUGCGGAGGAAAGCCUCGCACACGAUGAUGAACGCCGAGAUGUUGAGGAUGAAAUUCGGGGCCAGAUCAUGAAAGUCUAGCCCGUAAUAGAACAUGAGGCCGCGGACAAAUGGAUGGAGGGGAAACCCCAAUCCGUGGACGAAAUGGGGGAGGAAAACCACCCUUUUGUGAGGUUCCGGGGUAGGGACGAUCUGCCUCGCGGCUGGCAGCCGGUGCGCGAUAUCCGCGGCUAAGUAUCUGACUCCAUGUAGCUUUUUGAUGUGUCCCUCCGUGACGGAGGAGGCCAUCCACUUGCCUCCCACUCCGGACAUGUUUGGAGAGAGUUGAGGAGAAGGAUGCAGACUUGGGCGCUGGAGUUCGAGUGCGCGAGAAUGGAUGAGCAAGGAGGAAGAAGGCGUGGGUAGAAAAAGGUGAGAUCUUAUCCCUUUAUAAGGGCGAACUAAACUAUGCGCCCCCACUAGCCUGAUAAAACUCGCUUAUCGCCCAAGUGCCGUAAUUGAUGGCGCGGUUGGGUUACCCACGUCCGUAUUGAUGAGAAUCCCGUGAUAAGGGGAACACGAUCUCAGCUUUGACAAGACGUGUCAAGAAACCGCCUCGCGUUAUGUGCGGGGCUGGUUAAAGAAAAAUGGUUCAAAUAAUUACCGGGCCGUGGCGUGAUGUCAUGCUGCCAAAACGUGUCAGCACAUUAGAUUUGUGGUAAUAUUAUUCUCUCUACGGUGGUAUGUGGAACUUAUUUUGUAGGGUCGGACACUAUCCUUGUAUUCAAAUUCUUCCGUGGUGUAUUCGGAGCAGGAACCCGCCUUGCAAUGCCGAAGACAACACUGCGCGCCGGACUCAUCGUCAUUGAAGCCUGAUUCAGGGGUUACUGAGGGAGUCCUGGAUUAGGGGGUAUCCGGACAGCCGGAUUAUAUCCUUUGGCCAGACUGUUGGACUAUGAAGAUACAAGAUUGAAGACUUCGUCCGUGUCCGGAUGGGACUCUACUUGGCGUGGAAGGCAAGCUAGGCAAUACAGAUAUGUAUAGCUCCUCCUUUGUAACCGACCUUGUGUAACCCUAGCCCUCUCCGGUGUCUAUAUAAACCGGAGGGUUUUAGUCCGUAGGACAACGUACAAUCAUACCAUAGGCUAGCUUCUAGGGUUUAGCCUCUCCGAUCUCAUGGUAGAUCUACUCUUGUACUACUCAUAUUAUCAAGAAUAAUCAAGCAGGACGUAGGGUUUUACCUCCAUCAAGAGGGCCCGAACCUGGGUAAAACAUCGUGUCCCCUGCCUCCUGUUACCAUCCGCCUUAGACGCACAGUUCAGGGCCCCCUACCCGAGAUUCUCCUAUUUUGACAAUGACAGUGAUCGACGGCGAUCUACGCGCCAUCGGCUUCCUCCACGGUGUCGUGGUCAUCGCCCAGCCUGCCGUCCAUGAGCCCCACCACCCCGGCCGCUGUCACGCGCUGCAGCACCUUUGUCGCUAGGUACUGGUCGUUGCCGUCUAGGCCUGGCGCUCCAGUAGCUGGCUAGCUAGUGAUGGCCUCGAGCAGCAGCACGUGAAGCCAUACACGCCGGACUUCUUGGAAACAAUGCCCAUGCUGAGGAAGAAGGGUCCCACAUAGCCCGCGGCAGCGGCCGAGAAGGUGCCCUCACAAGCCGACCCCGGGUCACAGACCCGCACGCGACCGUCGCCGUCCACGAGCAUGUUGGAGGAUGAGACGUCAUCGUGCACUAUGGAGAUGUCAUUGUGGGGGGUGCUCCAGCGCAAUGGCCAUGUCGUCGAGGACACGCAUGCGGUGGCGCCAGGUGAACGGUGGUGUGGUGGAGUGGAGCUAGUCAGCCAGGCUGCCGCGGAGCAUGUACUCCAGCACCAGCGCUCCCCACGAUGCACAACACUAGCGCACCACGGCGCAUGCUGCUGUCUCGUUGUAAAACCUUGUUGUCCUCACCCCAUCCCAUGCACCAUGUGAUCCGACCUAGCGACGACGUGGUCACCAUCUACGUAUUUCUUGCGUCACCUAGCGACCCCUCUCGCUGGUCUCACAUGUAUGUCAAUACGUCAUCAUGGGCAUGCAUAGGUGGACUAUGACAGGAAAUAGAAUAAGGAGUGGCUAAGAGCUGGACGAUGAGACUCCACGAGGGAAACGAGCCACUGGAGGCAUGAGGGGCACAUCAUUGGUACGUGAUUGUCUGAAAUUUAAACACAUGGACAUACUUUCAGUCAUUAGAUUUUGUUUAGCCACGGUAUUACAUCUAUGUGUUGUGUUGGUUUGCAGGCUACGUUUAUGCCUAGCUUGCCAGGAGGGAACGCCAUCUACCAAGUAUACGAAUUUUUUAGAAUUGAUAACAAAUUGUAACUUCUGAUGGAAUAAUCAAACUCCCAAUCCUGCCAUGUCCCGUCCGGCUUCUACGUACUUCCCUUGAACUCUACCCUCGGUGUGCCUUGCAUCCCCGACGAUGUUCUGCGGCCCAGUUCCUCGAUCCGACCCAUCCUGUGCAAAAAUGGGUAGUAAUAUGCGGGGAGGUGUAUGGACUAGAUGCACAACAUGAAUCUUGGAUGGCAACCAUCAUGUCCAUUUUCAUAAUAUUAAUGUUUUAAAGUUUUGAUUUUUAAAUAUUCCCUUGCGUGGGCGCAAUGCAGGGUGUGACAUGCGGUGGUGAGCUCAUUGACGUGGGAUUGACCAUGUUCGGGUGCGUUGUGCUCAGGCGAACACCGCUAUCAUCAUCGAUGAGGGUGGCAAGGAGGACAUGCACUAAAGGUGUGGUGACGUGUUUAAAUAUAUGACAUGGCCUGUUGAGAGUUUUGAGUUAUGCUUAUUGUGCAAGAGGCAAGAUAAAUUAGAAGGACUAGGUGCAUCGACAUUAAUUCUUUGAGAGUCUUGUUCAAUUCUUUUAGGGUGUCCCUCAGGAUAAAGUGGCUCCUGAGUCAUUCUACCUCCUUUAGUCAUUACUCUAACAACAUGAUCAUUCAUAUUAUUAUUCAUUUCAUGGAGUAACACUCUUUGAGACUUAGCAACUUGUUCUAACUGGGUUUUAACCAUAGAAGCAUGUUUUCCUACUCCUCUAACAUCAUUUGUGAUUCUAAAUAACAAGUCACUCGAGCGAGCUAUCAUAUCAGAAUUUUGCCUCAAUUAUUUCAUAACAUAGCCAUUGAAAUGAUCUUGCUUCAUAAUUAAUGUAAUUGUCAAACUCAUAUAAGCAUUGACUAGGAGGUUUAUUAUAAGGGAUAUCACCUUCAUCAAACUUUAAAAGAGAAUUUACCUCUACCAUAUGUGGUGGUGUGUCAAGACCAUGUAUUUCUUCAAUAGGUGGUAAAUUCUUAACAUCUUCAGCUUUGAUACCUUUCUGCUUCAUACAUUUCUUUGCCUCUUGCAUGUCUUUAGGAUUGAGAAAUAAAAUAUCCCUCUUCUUCGGAGUGGGUAUAGGUGGUGGUUCAGGAAGUGUCCAAUCAUCAUGAUUCUUCAAUAUAUUAUUCAACAAUUCCUCAGCUUGUUCAAUAGUUCGUUCCCUGAAAACACAACCAACACAACUAUGUAGGUGGUCCCUAUAAGCAUCGGUUAGUCCAUUAUAAAAGGAGGGCCGUGGCUACCUUAUAAUGGGAUUAAGACCUUUCUAUACUCAUACGUGCAUAUCUGCUUUUGUCCCGAGGCAAUCCUGUCGGGCAAGAGUGCUGCGUCUCCACCACAUUCCCCUCAUCAAUCCACCAAAGCAGGAGUAGGGUUUUACGCUUCGCGGCGGUCCGAACCUGGGUAAAAACUGCCCGUGUGAUUGUUGUCGUGCUGCUCUAUGCUCUUUGCUCUUUGUGCAAUGUUCUCUUCCCCCUGCCAAACCACAAGGGGCCAAUGGUCCCAUAGGUGGCCAUGUUCUCCCAUGACAUCUUUGGUGCACCAGGUAGGGGGAAGCGCUUGCGCAAACCUGAGAUUGUAAGCAGGGCGUCAUCUUCAUCAUCAUUUUCUUCAUCGACGGCUCCAUCGUCCAUGGCGCCCAAGAAGAAGCCCGGUGCUGCAGCUCACAUCCACCUUGAAGGCCACCUCGCACACAUCUGCCGAUUCCAUGGGGGCUAUGGGGACGUGGACGUUGUGGGGGAUGUGGCCGGCGCAGGCGGUGCCGUCACCACUCCCCCUGUGGCCGAAACGGGAGCAGGAGGCACUGGAGAAGGACAACACCAACAACAUUCCAGCGGCCACGCUCCGCAAGGUGCGGGUGGAGAGAUUAUUCUAUCCCCACCUCUCCGCCCCACCGAAGCACGCAGCCGCAGUGAUGGCGCUCUCUCUGGGGCGAACUACAACCCUUUGGCCGCCCCCGCUGCGGGUGCGGCUACAGGACACGCGCCACCCCCGGGAUGAGCUGACCGAGCCGAUGCGACAAACGCGACAGCCGAUCCCCAAGCGCACCUCCCUCGUCACCAUGCCACCUUGGCGACCGGCUCACGACGACGAGGGCACGGUCUUGCCGCCAUUGGCACCGUACGAAGCCAAGCGUCGUCGCGAUAUGCGUCAUCAUAUAUGUCGAGUACCGCUUGAGAUGCCAUGGCGCAGGUCCAGCUCCUGUUGAGAUUUCUGCCAACGACUUAUCAGAUGGAUGAGUGGAGAGCCACCACUUAGAGUUUGAUUGGUUUCGCCGAGGCGGGAGGAUCACAGCGAGCAGGACCGUCAUGGCCUCCACAGGCGGUGACAAUGGCCUGAGCCACUGACCAUACCCAGGAAGUCACCCCCACGAUGCAAUCCCCUCUAUGACAGCCAGCGGAGGGGCCGUAGCUAGAGCCACGCGACAAAGAACCCGAUGACGUGUCGAUGGCGUCAUCCGAUCCUCGAGCGUUGUGACCAGCAACGAGUCCUGGAAGACAAGCGAGGGGAAGACGCAUGCGUCACCAUCGAACGACGCUACGACACCCGCCGCCAGUCCGACAGGCGCAACAGCCCGAUGUCGAUGAGCCCAUGCCUGGUGAAGGCGGAUACCUGCCUUUCGAGGUUCGGUGCCCUCCCUUCACUCACGAGAUGCGACAAGUCCGUUGGCCGUCUACUCGCACAUUCAAGCCAGAAAUACCAGAAAAGUAUGAUGGAAGGUUGAACCUGGCAGAGUUUUUGAGCAUCUACACCAUCGCUGUUCAAGCUAUUGGGGGGAGGGACGAGAAGGUAUUCACCAACUACUUCCCUUUGGCACUCAAGCCAAAUGUGAGGACGUGGCUGAUGCACUUGCCAAAGAACUCCAUCUCGACCUGGGCUGACUUGUGCCAUGAGUUUGUUGGCGCCUUCUUGGGCGGCCAUCAAGAACUAGUGCGGCCCGUCAUCUUGCAGCUCCUCCCGCAGAAGGAAGGAGAAAGUUUGCGUAAGUACAUGCAGAGGUUCAGUCGGGUGCAUAGGAACAUUCCAGACAUCCACCCGGCAGAUGUGAUAGCUGUGUUCCAGUCCAAUGUGCGCAACCGCAGGAUAUGUUCCAAGAUGAACGUCCGGCUACCCAAUACUGUGAAUGAGCUAUACACUCUGGUGGAUAAGUGUGCCCGAGUGGAGGAGGGGAGGCGACUCCCCGGUGAGGAAUAUGACAUCGACGUUGAUUCAGAAGACGACAACAAUGCCAUGAAUCAGAAGAAGAAGAACAAGAAACACAACAAGAAGCGCAAGGAUAAAGUAGUGUUGGCUGUUGAAGGAUCGAGCACUCCAAGUACCGGCAAGAAGGCAAGACCGAGGCUCCCAGCAAGGAAGUUGCCACAUGCACUGACUAUCGAGAAGCUGCAGCUGGAGAGAAGGCUGGGAAAGCUGACGGACCAUACUGCAAGAUCCAUCGGACUAAGGGCCAUGAUCUGCAAGAGUGUCAUUAGGUUGAGAAACUCGUAAAGAAGCAGAGGGCCGAGUACAAGAAGUGCGACAAGGAGAAAGAUCAAGAUGGCGUUGGCAGGAUGAGCCGAGGCGGCAGAACGGGUCGCCCCGGCAAGGAUCCCCAGUAUCAGGAGAAACCCUCCAGGGGCCAUGAGAAGAAGGAAUGAAAUGAUGAGAGUGAUGAAGGAGAUGAAGAGGAAAUCAGCGAGCAGGAGUUCCAGAAGGCCACUAACGCCCUGUGCAUUGAUGGAGGUGCAUCCUUGCACUCCUCUCACCGCCAACUUAAACAAUGGGCGCGUGAGGUCAAUGCCGUGGGGCCAGUGGCAGAUUCUCGGAAACCAUUCAAGUGGUCCCGCACGCCCAUCAUCUUUGACGAAGAGGAUCACCCUGACCGCACUACUUCGGUAGGGUGUUUGCCGUUGUUGGUUUCACCAAUGAUCCACAACCUCAAGGUCACAAAGAUGUUGGUUGAUGGCGGGGCUAGGUUCAAUCUAAUCUUGCCUAAGGUCAUCAGCAAGCUCCAGAUAGCAGACGAAGAACUCAAGGUUACUGGUACGUUCCAAGGGAUCAACCCCAGCAGGAUUUGUCCUAAGGGGAAGAUCACACUACCAUUAACAUUCGGGGGGGGGGGGAGUUGAACUACUAGACUGAGAAGAUUGUGUUUGAUGUGGUUGACCUCCCCCUGCCGUACAAUGGAAUCCUUGGUUGCCCAUCCCUAGCAAAGUUCAUGGAAGCAUCCCACUAUGCCUACAACACUCUGAAGAUGCUAGGGCCAAUGGGCGUAAUUUCCAUUCCAUCAGACAAGAAGGAUGUAGUUAUAUGCGUAGACAAGAUGUACCGUGAAGCAAUCGCUGCAGAAGCCGCAGAAGCCACUGCUCCCGCCAAGGAAAGCAAGCAAGAAAGAAAGCUAGCAAGGAUGCCAACAAGGAAUACGGGAAGCACACCUCUUUCGGAGUGUGCUGCGCCUGUUGAUGACUUGCCAGAGAGUUCCAAUAGCAAGAGAUCCAAAGCUACUACACCGGCUGUGAAGAAGCUCCCGACAGGGCUGGCUGGCGCUGAUGGUACCUUUACUAUCAGCGCCACCCUCAACGACAAAUAGGAAAGCGCGCUCAUUGCCUUCCCACAGGCGAAUGCCGAUGUGUUUUCUUGGCAACCAUCUGACAUCCCCGGUGUUCCCAGGGAGGUAAUUGAGCACCACCUAGCUGUCUGCCUGCAUGUCCAGCCCGUCAAGCAGAAGGUCCAAAAGCAAGCUUUGGAGCGGCAAUAGUUUAUUGCCGUAGAGAUCAAGAAACUUGAGGCUGCUGGCCUGGUCUGGUUAGAGGAGUAUUGCGUCCAACGUGAUUAGCAAAUCCAGUUAUAGUGCGCAAGGUGAAUGGAAAGUAGAGGCUCUGCAUAGGUUUUAUAGAUCUAAAUAAAGCAUGCCUAAAGGACCUGUUCCCCUUGACACGCAUCGACCAAAUUGUGGAUUCCACCUUCGGGUGUGACCUGCUUUCUUUCCUGGAUGCCUACUCCGGAUACCACCAGAUUUUCAUGUCCAAGAAGGAUGAAGAGAAGACUGCGUUCAUAACCCCAUGCGGCACGUACUAUUUUGUACAGAGGCCCUUUGGGUUAAAGCGCGUUGGGUCCACUUUUGCAAGAGAAGUAUAGAUUGGCUUCGAGUCCUAGUUGUACAGGAAUAUUGAAGCCUACAUGGAUGAUAUAGUGGCCAAAACCAAUGACAGAUUGACUCCCAUUCAGGAUUUACAAGAGACCUUUGCAAAUCUACGCAAGAUCAACCUAAAGCUGAACCCGGAGAAGUGUGUGUUUGGCGUUCCUUCCAGCAAGCUACUUGCCUUCUUCGUAUCCCACUGGGGGAUAGAGGCCAACCCCGACAAGAUCAAGGCGAUUGGAUAAAUAGAUCUCGCGGGAUCGUGAGAUAAAAUAAAUAUAUAAAAAUUAAAGCAAGGUAUUUUUGUAUUUUGGAUGAAUAGAUCUGAAAAUAAAAGCAAAUAAAAAUAGAUCAUGAAGGCAAAUAUAAUAAAGGAGAGACCCGAGGGACGUAGAUUUCACUAGUGGCUUCUCUCGAGAUUAGUAUUGGGAAAUUGAUAGAACUUCAAAUAUUCAUGACGAUAUCCAGGUAAUGAUCAUUAUAUAGGAAUCACGUCCAAGAUUAGUAGACCGAGUCCUACCUGCAUAUACUACUAUUACUCCACAAAUCGACGGCUAUCCAACAUGCAUCUAGUGUAUUAAGUUCAUGGAGAAACGGAGUAAUGCAAUAAGAAUGAUGACAUGAUGUAGACGAGAUCUAUUUAUGUAGAAAUAGACCCCAUCAUGUUAUCCUUAAUAGCAACGAUACAUACGUGUCGGUUCCCCUUCUGUCACUAGGAUCAAGCACUGUAAGAUCGAACCCAUCACAAAGCACCUCUUCCCAUGGCAAGAAAAAACGAUCUAGUUGGCCUAAUAAACCAAAGAUUUGAAGAAGAAAUACGAGGCUAUAAGUAAUCAUGCAUAUACGAGAUCAAAGAACUCAAAUCUUUACCUAAUAUUAAAGGACAAAUUGUUUCUUCACUUUUUUCGUCCAUCAAAGUGUUUUUCGUAUGUUCUCUAUUUUUUCGUCUGUCUUUUUAUAUUUUUCGUACGUAUGGUAUCUAUUUUUAGCCGUCCGUCAUUUGAAUAUAGAAAAAAAAUAUCUAAAAUAAACUGCAUUUUGAGGGAGUCGAACCGUGCCCGUGUACAUUGAGUAAUACUAGCACAUAUGCCUGUGCGUUGCAACAGGAAACUUUGAUGUUUUGUGCAAUGACCCACAGCACCGAUGUCGGUGUCAAAACCGGCGGAUCUCGGGUAGGGGGUCCUGAACUGUGCGUCUAGGCCGGAUGGUAAUAGGAGGCAAGGGACACGAAGUUUUACCCAGGUUCGGGCCCUCUUGAUGGAGGUAAAACCCUAUGUCCUGCUUGAUUAAUAUUGAUGAUAUGGGUAGUACAAGAGUAGAUCUACCACAAGAUCGGAGAGGCUAAACCCUGGAAGCUAGCCUAUGGUAUGAUUGUUGUUCUGUAUGUCGUCUAUCGACUAGCCUGGCCCUGGUUUAUAUAAUGCACCAGAGGCUUAGGAUAACAAGAGUCCUAGCCAAAUACGCCGGUGGGGAGGAGUCCUUGUCUUGAUCGCCAAGUCUUGUGGAAUCUUCCCUGUAUGCGGCAGCUGUCCGAACUGGCCGAUGAGUAUACGGCCAUGGGGGUCCUCAGCCCAAUCUAACAGAUCGGGAGAUGACGUGGUGAGUACCCCCUAGUCCAGGACACCGUCAGUAGCCCCCUGAACCGGUCUUCAAGUUAGGGACGCUCCUCGAUUCUUCCGAACCAUUCUUCAUCUUCGGUCGUCGGUCUUGAAAACUGGUUCAACAAAUCUUCUCAUCUUCGAUCUUGAGGAUCGCCGAAAUGCAUUCGACAAGUUCACACAUCGGGUAUCCGAGGAGCCCCUUUAAGUUUCCGGCCUUUAUCAGUGCCUUGUUAUUUUUAUGCCACACCUCGGUUUUGAAGUUGUUCCUGGGCGGCAGCGUCCUUUUGCGUCCGAGCUCCAACGCCGGACUGCAUUCGAGGUAUCUUUCGUAGCCGAGCACCAACGCCGGACCGCUUCCCAGCUCCAACGCCGGAAUGUAUCCGAGCUCCAACGCCGGACUAUGUAUUUGAGCUCCAACGCCGGACUGUAUCCGAGCUCCAACGCCAGACUAUGUAUCCGAGCUCCAACGCCGGACUUUGUAUCCGAGCUCCAACGCCGGACUAUAUCCGAGGUGUCGUAAAUCACCUUGGUUCAAAGAAGUUUGAAGGAGUUUAGCCGAGCUUAAUACCGGAAAUGCCCUCUAUGUAGCCAGCCACUAGCGCCCGAGCUUUAUGCCGAGCUGCUUCCGAGGUGGUGCACCACCCCGAAUGUGGGCCGAUUUUUGUCAAUAUGUUUGAUUGGUGCAAUUUAUUCUCUGCCGAGAUAUAUAGCCAGUAGCCCUCAAGGUGUGUAUCGGUCUAAAACCCGAGAUGCACCUGAAGGAUGACGUAAGACCGCUGAUCCCAGUAGCCGCUGAGACUCAGGUUGAUUUGCAAAAUCGGCCUGAGGAUCAUGUCCAAGCUCGGCAGAAUACUUCGGGACACUAAAAGCGGCGUGCUCAGUCCUCGAGACUCAGGUUGGGUGCGGCCGACCAACCUGAGGAUCAAAAUCUCCUCAGAAACUAUAUUGCACAUAAAAUUUUCUGCAUUGGACAAGCAAUGCAGUAGCCCCCGAGACACUGGUCGGGUGGUAACACCAGAUCAGGGGAUCAAUGUGCCCCUUUAAUAUUUGUAAAUAAUAAGCCCGAAGCCCAGUAGCCCCCGAGCCUUAAUGCGGGCACGGGUGGCCGAAUUAAGGAUCAAUAUCCAUAGUAAAAUCACAAAUUAUGUGUAAUGACUCUAUGUAUCCAAGUACUUUACGUCAUUAAUGCUCGGAUCUGCAUUGUACAAAACUUUGUUGACCGACCAUCGGCUUCCACCUCCUCGGCCAGUAGCCGAGGAGUGUUUGUCCUACUUUAUAAAGCCUUUAUGAGGGCAAAGAUUUACAACAAACAAGGCAAUCUGGCCAUACGGUUUUAUAAACAAAGGUACCCAGAGAGUUAUAUUACUGUUUAACAGAAGAAAUGUCUUCCAAAGAAAAUAGUCCCGCUAUCGGUUCCUUUCUUUGGGUUGUCAUGCUAAGCAUGAUCAUUAAACCUCAGCUCUAAUGUAAGAGCAAAAUAUUGAGGAUUUAGUUUGGGAGGCCAGUUAAUAGCCCCCGGUAGUGUUCGACGACAGUCGGGGUCAAGCCGUAAACAUUUCGGCCAAUGUUAUGAAUGGCCCAUCAUUUAACAUAGUCAUCGCAUCGCUGACCAGUUUACGCUUAUUGUGAAAGUCAGUUUUCGGCUUUCUCCACUGUGGUGCUUAACCAUGUGAGCUGGAAGCACAAUCGCAGUGGUUCUCCCUUUGCACGCCUAGCCGAACAAAACGGAACGUAGGAAGCAUGUGUAGGAGCCGGGCAACCCAACUAUUGACGGAAGACACAAUUGGAAACCAAUGCAUAUAUAGCAAUAUCUGAGAAUGUUUUUGCCGAAUCCCUAAAGGUGUCCGGCGUUGCACUGUGAGACUAAUGCUGGAAAAAGCACAAAUAGUUUAAAAGUGCCAAAAAUCUUGGAAAACCAAGAAACGUCAGUACAAACAUGAUGUCCGAACAAUAUCAAGUGUUCGGUGCCAAUCCGAAAGUUGGUCUUAGAAAAAGAAGUGCUUCUGUCAUGCUUUAACAUGAUACAUCCUAUCUCAAGACUUCGAGUGGGUCAGCCUGCGGCUUCAACCUCCUAUCCCGAGGGUGGAGUACUUAUCAUCAGGCUAGUUUAGCAAACUAAAUUCUAGCGGCUUUGAGAGAGAAAUUAGGCUCCCCGGCUAGUGACCGCACACUCAUGUCGAAAAAAGGAGUGAUAAAUAAUAAUAAUAAAACUUUGCAACGACUAAGAAGAAGAACACUUAUUAUAAAACGGCUCAAAUAAACUUAAGAGCCCCCAAGUGACUUGGGUAGAAGAAUGAUUGCAUGUACCGAAGUACUUAUAUCAUAUCUAUGUUCGACCGAACUUUAAACGCGUCUUAACCGACCGUCAGCUUCUCCCUCUUCGGUCAAGGACCGAAAAGUGUUAUGUACUCCAUCGGUCGAGAAUAUCGACGGUGUUUCCAAUAACCAGGCAAUCAGGCCAUAAGUUAAAAAUUUGGACAAGGAAAUUUUUUACAAGCAACUUUUUUCCAAAAAAGUAUAAUGCUUGGUCGAACCGAACACAAGUUAAAAAUUAAAACUUUGAGCAUGAAAGCGACUUAGCUGGUUAAUGUGUUCGGUAUUGAUGACGCGGUCCGAGCUUGGUGCGGGGCAAGGUUCCAUCCCUCAAGCUGGUCCCGAGGUGGCGGAGCGGAGAGCUCGACACGCCGAAGUGGUGACAUAGCACGGUCAAUGCAGACCGGCAGAGUGACGCCGAAGUCCCUGGAUCAUUUUCCUAUGCACAAAAAAUAGUGCAAACCGGAGAUAAUAGUAAUAAUGAUAAUAAAAAAAAUGUUGCAUAAUAAAUAAUUUAUGCAAAGUGAGGAAUAGAAGAAAUAUGGCCUGGCGCCUAAGUUAAUGUCGAUGCAGGGCGUCGGCGUGAUGUAGUAAAGGCGUGGCAAAGCCUGAAUUCAUAGGUCGGUCCGAGCUCCAGAUGCGGCGUUCGCCGGACUAUGUAUAGAAACUGAUUGAACCCCCACGCGACCGUCGUUAAUGCGGUCACCAUUUGAUAGACCUGUGUACAUAUCAUGGACAAACCAGAGUAAUAAUUCCUUGGGAAAAAUGAACCCAAACAAGCAAAAACUACUGGGAUUAAUAGCACCUGGUUUAUUUGUUGUAGCAAUCCGAAGGAAGGUGAUUCCCAAAAUUCAGACUCAAUCCGCGCACCCAUUGCCUGAUGGGCGAUAAAGCGACGACACGGCGAUGCUAGCGAAGGUCGGCUCGCCGAGGCAAAGCCCUUGGUCCAGUUAACGUGACGGAGCUGGUCGGCUAGUGACGCCGAAGUCUCCGGAGUAUAGGUUGAUGAAGAUAUGGCGAAGCCCCCGGUCCAGCCGAGAUGUCGAAGCCUCGAUGUCAGCCGAUGAGUCGAAGUAGGUUGGCGUGACAGACACCAGCUUGAAGAAGCAAUAGUGCAGUCCUGCCGAUGCAGGUCAUGACAUGGUCGAUGCCGGCUUGAUGAAGUGACCGUGCGGUGUCGGAUUUCGGGUUCUGGCAGACCCUUGAGGUUCGAACACUGGGGUGCGCGCGGAGAUUUCACCUUCUACCUACUUGCACCCCUCCGCCUCGCUAAGAUCUAAGCUAUGGAAAGAACAGCACAAGAGACACAGGGUUUAUACUAGUUCGGGCCACCAUUGUGGUGUAAUACCCUACUCCAGUGUGUGGUGUGGUGGAUUGCCUCUUGGGCUGAUGAUGAUGAGCAAUACAAGGAAGAACAACCUCGUGAGGGUCUGUUCUUGGCUGGGGGGAUGAACUGCUAGGAGGAGUUUAGUCGCCCUUCUCUCUCUCUCUCUCUGUGUGUGAUGCUACUCGAUCCGAUCCUAGCUAGUUUCUCUCUUGGCUUCUAGAUUCUCCCUUCCUGAUUGCCCCCCUACCCUGGGGGUGGCUAGUCCUAUUUAUAGGCAAAGGCCCUGGGCCUCUUCCCAAAUAUUGAGUGGGAAGGGCGCCAACAAUUUUCCAUUUUGAAGGGGAACAUCUGGUACACUUAUCCUCACUAAAGUUGGUCCUUGCCUGCCAAAGGCUCUGGUGGUGACGCUGGCUUGGCCUCCACAAUGACUUCCUCCCUGCCGUCGGACUGGUCUUGGUCUCAUUGCACCGAAACGGGUGCCUUUGCUUGAUGCUCUCGCAUGCUCUUGCUCCCUUUGCACCAAAGAGGACAGGAGGACACUGCGCGGGCUGGCGCCCGCCUGGCGCCCUUGGUCGUCAUGGCUUGUGUCACGGGCACCUCGUGAGGUACCCCGCCUUGAUCUCUCCGCCUCCUCGCGAGCCAGCCUGAUGAGGCCAUGCUCGAGGAAGCUCCGUGUCGUCCGCCCCGCGAGGCUUGGCCCCUCGUGAGGGUCUUGGGUCUGUGUUGAUGAAGAUGGGCCGUGCUGGGCCCCUCCUCGAGCCACGCCGCAGGCCGCACGUAGGAAAGUCUGGGGACCCCCGUUCCCAGAACGCCGACAGUAGCCCCCGGGCCCAAGGCGCGCCCGGACUUGGCCGUGUAGGGAGGCGAAAGGGCAAGAGCGAAGCGCCGCGGGCCCUAACAGCCUGCGGCCUUGGGCGCCGCGUGGCGGUUGAUUGGACGUGGGCGUCUCCACUUCCCCAUGGCGCCUCGGCAACUACACGGAUUGGACAAGUCUCUACAUGCAAAGCAGGUCAUGAUUACCUGCGAUUGUGGGGGCCGACGGUUGGCCCUCGCCGGCUAUAAGUACGGAGCGGCGCGCGCCCUUCCAGUUCAUCCCCCCUUGCUUCUCCUUCUUCUUCAUGGCUCCGUCGAGGAGGUUCUCGGCCGCAGAGAAGGGGAAGGCUCGCCAGGUUGAGCCUGCCUCUCCCCCGCCCAAGCGCGGCCGAGGGCGCCCUCGCAAACAUCCUGUGGCCUCCACGGCAGCUCCCCGCGGCCGUGAAGAUGAUUUCCAGCACGGUGACAGGAGGAAUGCUGCGGCCGGGGGGCGCGCUUCGGUCGCGCGUUCCCCUAGGCUGCGCUUUCGCGCUGCAGAGGUGCUGCCGGAGUUCGUUGUGUGGUCGACUGAACCGACUAGCACCCGGCUUCAACUUCCUCGCUUCCUCCUCGGCGAGCUCCCGGCCGGCGCCCCGGGCGGCCUCUGGCUUCAGGCAGACGGCUACUGCAGCCCGGCCUCAUGGGCUUCACUGGAGGUCUCCGCGACCGGGAGCCUGGCCUUGACCCGCGGUUGGCAGACGUUUGCCCGCGCGCGUGGCCUGAGCCGUUGCUGCACCCUGCACUUCAAGUUUGACAGCGAUGCCACCCUCUACAUGAGGGUGUUUGGGGAAGAUGGUCGCCGCGCAGGGUGCUGCCCUGAGGACGACGACCGCGGCCGGGGACCCAGCCCCGACGAUGAUGGAGAGGACAGCGCUCGCGUGAUUGGCGGCGCUCAGGGUUCCCCAAGCUUCACCGGUUCUUCUUCAGGCGGCGACUCUUCUAGCGGUGGCCGCGGUCAGCCUCCACGCCAUCGUACCUGCUUGUGAGGUGGUAGCGCAUCUGCCCGCCGUCGCGCCUCGAUGAAGCGCGAGAGGGAGUCUGCCUGAGCCCCGGAGGCAGCUCGAGUCUUCCCUGCAGGCCGGUGUGAGGCGAGCUGCGCCUGAUUUGUUCUUUCUUUUCCUUUUUCCCGCAUAAAAAGACAGUAGCGUGGAGCCCCGCGGGGGCGUGUUUGGGUUAUUGCUGUUAAUCAUCGCUUUGCUUCCGUUAUCGUGCCUUCCGGCUACGUGCCCGUGCGUGGAUAGUUCCUGGCCCCAGCCGGGGGGGGGGGGGCGACCGACCCAGGCCCUGUGUUCGUGUCGCGGUGCCCGUGGGGCACGGACUGGAGGGGUGCUCCUGUAAUGGACCCAGGUCGCGAAACCUUUGAACGACUAGGACGGAAACACUCACGAGGGCGCUCGGCUACCCCCCUCGCGAGGCCUUGCAUAAGAGAAAUCGAGGUAGGAGAGUGAAAAGUCGAAGAACCACAAGUCAAAGACGGCAACAACUUCAAUAAAACUUCGAAUGAGAAUGAACAAGCCAACUGUGGAAAGCAAAUGAAAAAGCCACGUCCGGCACCUAAUCUAGUCUUCGACAUCUUCUCACCAGCGCGGAGCUAAGUGCUGCCACUGGGCGUGGGAGGGAGCCCCAGGGCCUGAGGCCGGCGCUCCUGAGACUCCGGGGCGUGUACAGCCCCAACUCAUUAUUAUGUGAGAGUGUCACGGGCGGCGAGCUUCACAGGCGUUGGCCUUCUUCACAGGCUCCGGGCCUUUCUUGGGGGGAGCAGGCUUCACGGGCAUUUGCCCUCUUCAUAGGCUCCGGGCCUUUUCCCAAACGCGACAGCUUCACAGGCAUUCGCCUUCUUCACAGGCUCUGGGCCUUUUCCAAAAAGGAUAAUCUUCACAGGCAUUCGCCUUCUUCACAGGCUCUGGGCCUUUUCCAAAAAGGAUAAUCUUCACAGGCAUUCGCCUUCUUCACAGGCUCCGGGCCUUUUCCAAAACGCGAUAGCUUCACAGGCAUUCGCCUUCUUCACAGGCUCCGGGCCUUUUCCAAAACGCGACAACUUCACAGGCAUUCGCCUUCUUCACAGGCUCCGGGCCUUUUCCAAAACGCGACAGCUUCACAGGCAUUCGCCUUCUUCACAGGCUCUGGGCCUUUUUAGGGGUAGAACCUCCGGAGGUGCUGGAUGUUCCAUGCGUUCUGGACCGGCACCCCUCCUGAGUCUCCAAGCGCGCGGAGCCGGGCCUGGAAACAUGAACAACCUUGAACGGGCCCUCCCACAUGGGAGAGAGCUUGUGCAAUCCCUCCCUUGAGAGAACCCGCCUGAGCACGAGGUCCCCUACCUUGAGAGUUCUGGGGCAGAUGUUGCGGCAGUGACAUCAUCGCAGUGCUUGUUGGUACCUCGCCGCUCACAGCGCGGCUUCUCGGCGACGUUCCUCCCACAACACGAGGUCCAUCCCUCGCAUGGCGUCCUGCUGCGCCUCGUCAAACGCCAGGACCCGCGCGGAGCGACGUCUGACCUCGUGAGGGAGGACCGCUUCGGCUCCGUAGACCAGGAAGAACGGGGUCUCUCCAGUCGGCUUGGUCGCGGUUGUGCGGAUGGACCACAACACGGAUUGAAGCUCGUCGUACCAUCCUCUGCCGCAGGCCUCUAACUUCUUCUUGAACGUCCUGGCCUUGAGGCCCCUCAGGACCUCUGCGUUGGCUCGCUCGGCCUGGCCGUUGCUUCGGGGGUGCGCCACUGAAGCGUAGCAUAUCUGCAUUCCAAGGUUAGCACAGUAUGUUUUGAAGAGGUUACUGGUGAACUGCGAACCGUUGUCUAUGAUAAUGCGGUUCGGCACCGCGAACCGGCUCACGAUGCCCUGAUGAACUUGACCGCGGAACCCGCGGGGAUGGUGCGGAUGGCCUCUACUUUAGCCCACUUGGUGAACUUGUCCACGGUGACGUAGAGGUAGCGGUAGCCCCCUGGCGCCCGAGGAAACGGGCCCAGGAUGUCCAGCCCCCAGACUGCGAACGACCACGAAAGGGGUAUAGUCUGCAGGCCUCCUGCCGGCUGAUGGAUCUGCUUGGCGUGGGACUGGUAGGCCUCACAAGCCUUCACCAGUUCGACAGCGUCAUUGAGUGAGGUGGGCCAAUAAAACCCACUGCGGAAUGCCUUGUCGACGAGGGUCCGUGAUGAUGAAUGAUGUCCACAGUCUCCACCGUGUAUAUCUUCCAGCAGUUCCUUUCCUUGCUCCCUGGAGAUGCAGCGCAGGGAUACAUCGUUUGGUCGCUUCCGGUAGAGCUCUCCAUCCUUGAUGCAGUAUGCCGUGGCCAGCCAUUCCACACGCUCCGCUUCCUCCUCCUUCUCCGGCAGGGUCCCUUAUGUUAAGUAACUCCGGAGCUCCGUGAUCCAGCACCACUCCUGGGGUUCCAUCGUCAGGAGUAGGCGUGCUCCUGAGGUCGGGCCACAGACCGGAGCUCCCGAGGCAGGUGGCUGGGGGAGCUCCUCCCAAGGCUGAGCCGUGUUUGAAAAUGACGGCAGGGCUGAGGGCUUGAAGAGCCGCUCCUCGAAGACGCCAGGCUCCUGAGGUAACCGCCUGGACGCCCGUUUGGCGAUGUCGUCGGCCUCCUGAUUGGUGCCACGGGGCACAUGCUACAACUCCAACCCCCAGAACUGCUUCUCCAUCCCGCGGACCUCCGCAAGGUAGGCUUCCAUGUGCUAAUCUUUCGGCUCGUACACCUUGUUGGAGAAAUUGACAAGGAACUGCGAAUCGCCCUUGAUGGUGAGGCGUUUCACCCCCAGGGCAGCUGCGGCCUUCAAGCAUGCUAUUAGACCUUCAUACUCCGCUAUGUUGUUGGAGACCUUUUCACCUUGCUGGAAACAGAGCUGUACAGCGUAGUAGAGCUUGUCCUGAGUGGGCGAUAUGAGCACCGCCCCAUCCCCGGCGCCAUGCCUGGAGAACGCCCUAUCGAAGUACAUGACCCAGCCUUCUGGUGCCUCGCUUCCCGGUGAGAGGGACCGAUCCUCGUCGGCCUUGAGGCCUGGGGCCUCCAUCCAUUCUGCCACAAAAUCCGCUAAUGCUGCUCCCUUGAUGACUCUGGUCGUGCUGAAUUCGAGCUAAAUGCUUGCAGUUCUAUGUUCCACUCAGCGACCCUUCCGGCUGAGUUAGGGCUCCUGAGCACUCUCUCCAAGGGGUAUGACGAGACGACCUUGGUGGAGUGACCCUGAAAAUAGUGAUGCAGCUUGCGCGAGGCCACUAGUAGCGCGAGGAGGAGCUUCUGAGGCAUGGGGUACCGUGCCCUCACGUCCCGCAACACCGUGCUGACGAAGUACACUGGGUGCUCAACGAGGUUGUGUGCGUCAGUGCUGGUUACGCCCCCCGGAGACCAUGGCACCUCCUGAGGCGAUGGGGCCUCCGGAGGCUGGCCAUCUGGGAGAGGGGCCCCUUCCGCCUCCGGUGCACUCCUCUGCGGUGGCUGAUCCUCCUUAGCCGCGGUGGCGGUUUCUGUGGGCCUUCCUUGUUCUUGUUUUGCCUUGUCCCGGGCUGCUGCCGUGGUUUUGAUUCGACGCUCCUCCCUAACCGCCACCAGGGCUGCGCUGGCGGAGUAGGGAGUGGCGGCGAGGUAAAGCACCAGGGGCUCUUGAGGGCGCGGAGCCACCAUGACCGGUGGGCUGGUCAGGUAUCUCUUGAGAUCCUGGAACGCCUUGUCGGCCUCUUCAGUCCACUCAAAGGGCCCCUUUUUCUUCAUUAGCUGGAAGAAAGGCAGCGCUCGCUCCCCCAACUUGGAGAUGAAGCGCCCUAGCACGGUCACGCGCCCAGUGAGCUUCUGCAUUUCUCUGAGGGUCUUUGGCGGGCUCAUGUCCUCGACAACCUUGACCUUUUUCUGAGUUAGCCUCGAUGCCUCGGUGGGACACGAGGAAACCCAAGAGCUUGCCCGAGGGGACUCCGAACACACACUUCUCUGGGUUGAGCGCAGGUUCACUGCGUUGAGGCUCGCGAAUCUUUCCUCCAGGUCUUGUAUCAGGGUCCUGGCCUCCCGAGACUUCACCACUAUGUCAUCGACUUAAGCCUCGACGUUCUUCCUGAGCUGCGGGCCCAAGGUGAUGUGCAUCAGCCGCUGAAAGGUCGCCCCUACGUUACGCAGCCCAAAUGGCAUGCAUGUGUAGCAGUACACCCCACACGGGGUUAGGAAGGCUGUCUUUUCGACAUCUUCUACCGCCAUCUUGAUCUGGUGAUACCUAGAGAAGGCAUCCAAGAAGCAUAGCAGGUCGCAUUCUGCGGUGGAAUCGACGAUCUGGUCGAUGCGGGGGAGCGGGAACGGAUCUUGCGGGCAUGCCUUGUUGAGGUUGGUGAAGUCGACACACAUGCGCUCCUUCCCUCCAUUCUUUGGCACAACGACAGGGUUGGCCAACCAAUCCGGGUAUCGGACCUCGCGAAUGACCCCAGCGGCUUCUAGCUUGCGGGUCUCUUGGAUGAUGAAGGCCUGCUUUUCUGUGGACUGCCGCCUUCCUUCUUCUUGUUCGCGCGCAGGAACCUGACCAGGGCCUCCUCCUGCUCGGGCUCGAGGUUGGCGCCUAUGGUGAAAGUGGCAUUGGUGGACCCGUCUUCAUCGACGGGUAUCUGCUUGGUUUCUGCCUUGUCUUGGGUGAACAACUGUUUCUUCUUGGCGGGUGCAGACCCCUUGGGCUCGGGGGUCUCCGAGUCGGUGGGCUGUGCCGACGCCGCCGUCUUGAAGGCGAGCUCGAGCACUCGCAGCGCGUCUCCGGUGUCCCCGUGCAUGGUGAGGACACCGCUGCUCCCGGGUAUCUUGAUGAGGUUGUACGCCGGGUGCGUCGCGGCCAUGAACUAGGCCAGUGCUGGAUAGCCGAGGAUGGCGUUGUAGGGGAGGCCGAUGGGGGCGAUGUCGAAGUCGACCAGCUCCGUGCCGAAGUUGUCGUAGGUGCCGAAGGUUACUGGGAGCCGGAUCUGUCCCAAGGAGCUAGAUGACCCGCCCCCAACGCCUGAGAAGGGCCGGCUGGAUUGCAGCCGUUCCAGGGGUAUGCAGAGGAGGUUGAAGGCCUCAACCGAGAGCACGCUGAGGCCCGCGCUGCCAUCGAUGAGAGUUCUGGUGACGGCCACCUGGCAGAUGGUGGGGGUGCACAGCAUGGGGAGCACACCCGAGCAGGCCGAGUUGGAGGGGUGGUUCUCCGAGCUGAAGGUCAGGCCGGCCUUGGGCGCCGCCCUGUCCGGGGGAGCCCCCUGCCGCGUGGAAGCGACGCUGACCCGACGGAUGAACGGCUUGACGUGGUGACCAGGAGGUCCGUGACGACCGGGGGUGUUGGUGUAGCAUGGUGGGCGAGGAAGAGGCUGCGGAGCUCUUCCUAAGAGGCCACGGAGGCUGCCGGCAGGUGGAGCAGCUAUGCGCGCGGAGCGCCGGUGAGGGCCAUGAGAAGCCAGUUGGCCAUGACCCUAUCAUCACCUCAAGCUUCGAGGAUGGCCUCCUCGUACGCCAGCAAGAAGGCCAGCGGAUCAGUCGCGCCGCUGUAGCGCGGCGACGUCGUUGGCUUGAACUUGUCUGGCCACCGUACCCGUUGCAGGGCUGGGCCCAGGGCUCGGAUCCCCCAGGCCCCCGUGCUGGCACCGGCGGCCGGAGUGGGCGACGCGCUACUCAUCGCGGGGCAGGUCAUGGUGGUGG
rnacentral:lncRNA from 1 species